CAGCACUCCCCUGGCGGCCCUUGCUUGCCUGGCAGCCCUUGUGGCCCUGGCGACCCUUUUGGCCCCGGCGGCCCCUUCUCCCCCUGUGGCCCCGGCGGCCCCUUCUCCCCCGGCGGCCCCUUUUGCCCAGGUGGCCCCUUCUCCCCCUGCGGUCCCGUCGGCCCCUCUGGCCCCCGCCAUCGGAUGCAAUAGAAAAGGAAACCACAAAGCAUGAUGGUAACAAUGACUAAACCAACAAUAACGACAAUAACCCACGUUGGGAUGUUAUUGUCAUCGGAUGAUAUGGGAUUCGGAUCGAUCCAUGGCGAUGGAUGAGGAAAGUAUUGGAAACACGGAGUUUGUGGACAGUUAUUGUUCUCCAUCAAGAAAACUCUGUGGAGGUAGUUCAAUGCGAGCGGUGAGUCUACAAACAUAUUAUGAAGCAUCAAUCCAAGAGCCAAUUUACCUUUUCAUCAUGAUGAAUUGAUCAUAUGAUCUGAGUGCGAGAUCAAAAUGAUUCAACACGGAAUUCAAUGAUAUAUAAUGUGAGUGGAAGUAGAUGCUUGCACAUAUACCCUCACAAGAAGAAUCGAGCAAAUCCGUGAAUGAUGUUGGGCCAAUGCUUAUGCAACCUGCAAAGAAGUGAGAAUUUUCAUCCGGUGGCCUCCUCGUCCUAAUAACUCUCUAUUGCUGCCCCAAACCCACCACUCCCCCGCCCCCCUUCUCCCUCCUCUUAUGGGGUGGGUGGGGUGGGUUAGGUAAAAUGUUUUAAUCAAUGCAUUACUCAUCCUGACAACUCCCUAUGAGGGUGAGUUAGGUAAAGUGUUUUAAUCAAUCACUCGUCCCGUCCUGAUGACUCUCUAUUGCUACCCCCAAACCCCCCCUCCCUCCCUUUUUAAUCAAUGCACCGCCUCUCUUUUUUAAGGAUGUACUAUAACGAUUGAAGACAUAUGGACAAAAAGCUAGGAAAUUUCAUUCAUGUGCCAAAGAUCCAAAAAAUUAUCAAAAUAAUUAUAAAUUUAUUAUAAUUGUGUCAAUUUAAUUUUAAACAUUUUUUUACCAAUUAAGUAUUAAACCUUUUAUAUUUAUGUCCAUUUAGUUCGUCCGAUCAAAAUUGACCGGCCAGCACUAACAUGAACACGAGGCAUCUUACAUGGCGCCAUCGACCCUAACAUAGAUAUUUUUUAGUAAUAUUGUAACAUUUUUCUCGAUUUUUAUUCCUAUUUUUUUAUAUAUUUUAUUUUCUUUUUUUCUUUCUUUCGUUUUAAUUUUUUUCUUCACUCCCUUCUUUCUCCAGCUAGUCACCAGUGACCACUGGGAAGGAAGCUUCAGGAAGAAUGGAGCGAGCUUCAAAUACUGUCCAGACUCGAUCAUGUCUUCAUGGGUGAUGUUCGGGAGCUAGGAAUUAGGCCCAUUGAAAUGAUACACGUGUUUGACUAUUCAUGGUCUAAGGUGGUAAGAUUUCGGUGAAGGGCCAAGAAAACUAAUCAGGUUCGAAAUGAGAAAUUAUUAUAUGCUCUACAAAACGUGUGACCCAAUAUCAUCUCAAUCAUUAAUCAAGUAGAUCUUGCUAUGAGCCCCAAGAUCAAUUGUUGGACUGGGUUUCGACAUAAGAUUUAUUGAACAUACAAUAACAUUUCAUGCAAAACAGGCAAACAUGGCUUGAAAAAUAAAAUUCACUCUACUAUCCAAAGUCAAGUCCACAAAAACUUAUUUUAGAGCCAAACUGUUAAGGAUAUAAGUGACCCACUGUCAAUUUGUUUCUAUUUCGAGUAUUCUAAAAACGUAGGAAAAUGUUCUAAGAUCCUUCUGAACUUAAACUGUCUUAGAUGGACACAUAAAAAAACCACUAAUCUCAGUCCUCGCGUUGGUCUGUUCUUGUCCCCAUCUCUCUUAUGGUCACGUCCUGUCCAAACGAUAUUAAAAGACAGCCAUGUGGCCAGCUAAUUAGAACGGUGGAAUUAAAGAAGAAACGUGGGCAAAACGACGUAAAGGCAAAGUCCGUCAUCUCAUCACCAUGGCCAUGAUCGUGCAUUUUUAGAAUCUUGUCCCUCCGACUUUAUUCGCCAUCACAUCGUUUUCUUCCCCCAACUGCGGGACUCUUGAGUCCGUCGCUACCCUUUCGUCGCAAUGAUGGUUCCAAUGCCAUAACAAAAGACGAUGGAUAGACCCAACAAAUGCACAAAUUGAAUCUAGUCGAAAAUGGACAAAUUCAAAUUAACACAUUUCAUUCAUUUUGAUUUAUUUUCAUGCAAUACAAAUUAUGUUACUCAUACUUGACCUAAUUCAUAUCUGAUUUGACUCAUAUUUCUUAAACACUUCCAUAUUUAAACUAAUUUAAGAAAAUCCAAAAUGAAGUGAGUAAAUUGUGAACUUAUUUAAUACCCAUAUUAUUUUGAAUUUAAGUCAUUCAUAUAAUAAAAAAAAAUAGUCUUAUAACCCAUUUUAACAAGUCUACUAUCAGAUAAACAUGAUAUCCCGACAUUUAUGAAAAAUUGUCCCAAUUAUGUCACAUCGCAUAUACAUGUAAGAAGGAAGAUUGGGACAUCUCCCAAAAAUCAAGUACGUAAUCGACAUUGCAUAGGUUGAGAAAAGAGCAAGAAGAACUAUAAAUUAUUCCUUUAAUUCUACUUGAUUCAAAGGAAUUGAUAUGGAAAAACACAAAAGACUAGCGACUAAUUAAGAUAUGGAAAAACACAUAAUGGAAAUAUUGUGUCGGAUUCCAAGGAAUUGAUAAUGUUCAGAAACCACAUAAAGAAAAAGGCGCCUUUUGUGUUGAGAACCGCACUCCUUUCUCAAGAUAAGUCGACAGCGUCCUCCACAGUGUCCGCAACCUGCAUAGGUAAGCAUAAAAGAGUUCAACCGGGGUAAGCGAUUUUUGGAUACACUUUUAACCUUGGAAAAUUUGGAGGGAAGUCAAAUUCCCCAUAAAAGUUGCUUUCAAUUGGGCAUAUUUUGGAAAUACUGACAUUUUGCUAGGCUGAAGAAGGAAAAGAUUCAAUCAUGUUUCAUCCAACCGAUUUAGAAUUGACCGAUCACCCAGAGCAUAGCAAAUCAAGGUAUGUAAGUAUGGGAGGGUUUUUUAUGAUGACAGCUCAAAACCACUUGAGGCCAUGUCUGGUUCAUGGCAUGGAAUCAUGAAAAGGAAUCUCAAUCAAGCAAUCGAAUUCCUAGAUGUGGGGUUCAUUCUCUAUUGUUUGGUUUCAAUUUAAAUAUGAAGGGAGAAAUGUCCGAUGUGAGAUGCAAUUUGAGAUAAAAACAUGUCAGAAAUGGAAUGUGUAAAAUAUUUCUUCCAUCCACAUAUCUAAAGUGGCUAAUGAAAAGGUAGGGAUAGAAACAGAAUGAAGAACCACAAAUGAUGCCCCGACAAUUUCCUGAUUAUUGUCAUCUAAAAUGAUCAUACAGUUCACACAAUCAUUUCACAAACACAUUACAUACAGUUCCUCAAAAUUGAGUAAAGCAUUUCACACAGAAUCUGCAACAAUGAAGAUAAAGUCAUUCCCGCAUAACUUCAAACUACUUCACAGCUGUUACCUCAAGCCAUUGUGAUAUUCUUGUCCUUAUUGUGUUUAGAGUCAGACCCACUCACGAGAACAAAUGGAGUGACAGCAACUCAGCCAAGUGUGUUAAUGAAACUUUAUAUCCCCACCCAAGCCAACGUGAUGCUCGUAGUUGGCAUCUCCAUUAACAGACCAGACAAGUUUCGUAAUAGCGAGAAAGAGAAAUAAUCUCACCUUGUAGAGGAAUGUGAGCGCCAUGGAAUCAAGAGGCAGGCGAAACUCCCAUGGAAGGAUUUGAAGAUGAUGAAUGGAGAGAGAGAGAGAGAGAGAGAGAGAGAGAGAGAGAGAGUUAUGGCUUUGUAGGAUUUGAAGAUGAUGAAGCUCAAGAGUACUGAGCGUGUUGGGCUCCUGAAUGUUUUUUCCUCCUAGAAAUCCCAGUACCACCUCUACCUGAGCAAUCCAGUUCUGCAUUAGGAGUAUCCGUUAACUAGGCACUUUGAUUCUAUGAUCAUAAAUCCAUCCAAAGAUGAGCUGCAAUGGCAUUCCACUUCCUCUUUAUUACUCCAAGGUGAACCAAACAAGGCCUAAGUGAUUACACGAUGCACUAUACUUCUGAAUGUUUUCAUGGUGGAAUCAAUGAUCUGCAGUCUCAACCAUGACUUUCCAUAGGAUCACGUAUCUAAAAUCUCUAAACCAAAGAAGUGAACAUGCUGGAAUGCACACAAUUCGCUUACUUAGGAACCUACCAUCAACUCACCCCAACGUACAUGCAAGGAGAGAUGGGAGAGACAGAUAGAGAAAUGUCUGGAUUUUGUUAAGAGUACGAAUACAUACCACGUCCAUGAGAAGUUCUGAAUGAUUAUCUUUUCCCUUGAAUACCCCAGUUCUUGUUAAUAUAGAAAACCAAGGAUCUCCUGCCUGAAGGAGUUGUUAUCAGUACUAGUGAUUGUGUUCGGAAAUAAAAUUACUGAUAACACAAUUCUCAGUAUGAAAUAUACCUGUCGUGCACCUCUAAUGUCGAUUUUGGAUUAUCCCCUAUCAUGUAUAGUGUUCUGAAACAACGAAUUCCAGAGUAUGUAUAAUUCUCCACAUCUAGGUUGCUUAACAAAGAUGGCAUAAGAUUCCUUAACACGGUCUCAGCAUUUCCAUAGACAAAUGGAUUUGGCCUCCCAUACGAUGUAUAUGCCAGCAGAAUGGGAUGUAUUCUGCAGGACAAGGACAAGUAAACAAUGCAUAACACAAGAUUGAAGAUUAAUGCAUGUCACUUUGCCGCAUUGAGGUAAACUAGGCCCACACAAGGAUCUUAUGGGCCUUUCUUUAAUUUUUUGUGCAGAAUAUUAGAUCAAACUCCGUGCAGAACUAACAUUGAGAAGCUGAAACCUCACUAUCUUACCUGUUAUAGAUUGCUUCUAACGCAAUCCUGAACGCUCCCAUACCCAGACAUUCGGCAGGAAAAGUAGCCUGCCUUUGACUUUGUUAGCUAGUCAUCAGCCAGUCUUUAGUUCCGCCAAGGCUUCAAAAACUCAAGAUUGCAGCUGGCGUCACAAAUGGCAUAGCUUACCUGGUAUUCGAGGUCAUUAUUUGCAAAAACUAGGUGCGGUUGCUUUCCAGCCUCCCUUCCAGGAAGCCCCCCAGUUCUUAAUAUGUCACAGAGCACCUAAACCCAAACUUGAGUAUCACAGAAUUGUUUUUAAUACACACACACAGACAGAUAGAUGAUUACACUCCAUUUUAUCACUUUUUCCAAACUCGAUGUCAACACCCACUAGACUUUUAAAAAGAUGAUGACUAAAGUUGCAGAGCAGUUACCGAACAACCAAACAAAGCGUUGUCUUUUGAUAAUCAGUUCAAAGAUUUAGAACUAGCGUGAUGAAAAGCCCAGUAUGGACUCGACAGCCGAAUUAGAUAAUCUAAGAAAGGACAAGAUCCUUUAGAGUGGUUACAACCUAGACAUCUCUGCUCCGGUCAACAGAAUCACUGACUACAAAUGCUGCCUGAACUCUCUGCGUUUGCACAGCAAUUUAAUUCUUUCCUAUCAUAUUAGAAGUGCUAUAAUUUAUGUCUAGAUAUUUUUUGUGGAAGGUAAACAAAUUUUUAGUUCGUUUAUUUUUAUAAGCAAUAUAAAUAAUUAUUUUUAUGAAAUGUAUUUAAAUCAUUCUCUUAAUCAAAGAUACACUCCCUUUACAUCUGUGUUGUAGUUCCAUCUUCACUCUCGAUUGUAUUAAUUAAUCAUAUGAGCCAAAAGUAAAGCAAAAUAUAUUUGUGCUCUAUAGGCAAUUUUAUUCUAAACAGCUUUUCAUCAGCCAACAUUUAGUUUUUCUCAUGGACUAAUGGCAUCUGUUUUUAUGGUCGUGGUAGUAAAAAAAUUAAAUUGGAAAUUAGAACAGGUUUUGAAUAGAGGAGAUUAUGUAAAGCCAAAAGAAGCAACAUGGAUGGACCACUUUUCUUAGCCGUCGCAUCAACAAACAAACGGAGAAAAUGAUGGAGGUGCAAUCCUAUUUUGAUGACAGCUUAGCAGCGUACUAUUGCGGGCCAACGGAAGCAUGUGAUCAUCGUCUUUUACCGAGACAAUGAAUGAUUUGAUAGCCCAACGGAAGCAUGUGAUCAUCGUCUUUUCGUCUUUUACCGAGACAAUGAAUGAUCAGGUAGCCUCGUUGAUGACAUGGAAGUGACAAGCGGUCCUUCCACUAGUGCAUCUACUUUCGGACAACGAUGGAUUCCCAUUAUAUUAUUUCGUGCCUUGGCCUGCAAUCAGGCAUAAGGGAGAGCAUUAAAUUCCAAAAAUAAGCCUAUUGACAUUCUCUUCCGGGUGCUUAAUUCAGAAGAAAAACAGCUUCGUCUUAUCAUGUCAUGCUGUCAUCGUUACACUUAAGUAGUUGAAAAUAAUUGAAACGCCACGUUAGAUGAUUUCAAUGAGAUUUAGCUAAAAUGUUUUAUCGCAUUUUCCCUUCUAAGUUGAAGACUACGUUAUUUUAGUAAAAAAAAUUUAUUUUUUUAUAUGACCAAGGAACCAUCAAAGAUCACUCUGUCAUACGAUCCUCUAGGCACUGUUAGACCUCGUCGAGAACCCCAACACAAUGACCUCCCGCUUACAACACUUUAGCAACGAGAGAGUUCGAACCCUCGACCUCUGCGAUGAGAGAAAGAACUCAUAUCAACUGCGCUGCUCGUGAUUGUGUUAUUUCAGUUAAAAAGUUUAUACCUUGAUAGGUUUGAAAUUUCGUUAUAAUAAUUUUAGGAGAGAUUGUACAAUUAUCUCGGAAAUAUGACAAUUCGAAUUUCUUAAUCUCGUGCUCGCACUCAACUCAAUACAAUAUAUAUACUCGCAUUAGACUCGAUCCAACUCUAAUAUUAAAAACUAAAUUAUAGUGUAAAGCUUCAAACUCCAUCUCAAGUUCUCAUAAAAAAUUUCAAAAAUAAUGAUUUUUUUCUAUUGUCCUUAGUAAAAUCCUUUUAAUUACUGUAGUAUUACAAAAUUUGACACCUCCGACAUGGCAAUCCAUAUUGUUGGUCCAAAUACAUAAAAGAAGGGGUGAAGUGUUUUUUAUACAUAUAAAAAUAUUUAUCUUUCUAGAACCAGCACCUUAUUUAAAAAAAAGAAUAUAUGCAAUUAAACUGUUAAUUUGCAAUAAGAAACUUAUCGAGUUUAGGGAAAAAUGAAUUACAAAAGCUAUUUAUAGAGUUUCAAUUAGGAUAUGCUUUCUCUUCUAGCUCUAGCUGCCCCAUUAGAUUGAAAUUCACUACUUUGGCCAAUAGUGCAAUUGCCAAGAACUUUGUAUCAUGCGGACUCGACUCCUCCUAUGGCUAUCUCACUAUAGACUAAAUAAUUAUUAGAUCUCUUUCAAUAGUUGUUCUCACACCUUGUGCACACAACACGGUAGACAUAUUCUCCCCCAAAAUUAUUUAACCUCAUUUCUAAGUGUUUACAAAUAAUCAUUUGCAUAUUUCGUCUCUUACCUAAACAAUUGCAGUCUCUCUAAGCACAACCACUUCUUCCGUGUGCAUACAAAUGAUAUUGGCACCCUUGCUAACUUUUAGGAUCAAAACUAAAUAGAUUAUAAUGAAACAACAAAGAGAUGGAUCUCAAGAACACUCAAUGUGUUUCGAUUUUUCUUGUUGCAAGCACUCAAUCACAAGUUACGUUUUACUCGUAGUUUGUCCUUAUAGGCAUCCAAAAACAACCCUCCUAUUCCAACCAUUUGAUUCGAGUUGAUCACAUAUUUCAUUUCAGCACACAGAAAAGAGACAUUUGGAGGGGGUACUUAGAGAUCAUCGACAAAUGAAAAAAUCAAAAUGAUAAGGAGAGUGAGCAGAAGUUGGUAAGUUUAUAAAUUGACUUAUUAUAGUGUUUGCAAUUUAUUGAUGAUGCUUGUGAAAUUUCCAAAGAGUUGGUUAUUCUUUAAUUUAUUUCAAAGUUGGUAAAUUUCUAACGGCAUUGAUAAGUUAUUGAUAGGUCAUUGGGCAAUCAAAUUGACGGUCAUGCUUUUCUUUUAUCGACUGUACUAGAUCUUAAUGUUGGCUGGGUCUACCUGUGUGGGGCCUGGUUAAUGUUAAUAAAUAAAAGAAAAGGUCAAAAAGUCAAAAAAUGCAAUAAAGGAAAAGAAAGGCGGGCUGCUUAUUCGGAGAAGAUAGGAAAUAGGCUGCCAAAUAUUGUCAGAGUUGACUCAAAUUUCGAUAUGUUGUUAUAAGACUGAGACAGAUGAGUCGAGACAGGCGAGUCCAUAAGUUUCAUUUGUCAAUCCGUUUUGUUCACUGAACACUUUUUCUAAAUUAUCUCAAAUUUCUCCAAUUGCGAUUAGGGUUUCUUACUUCAUAUAUAUUAAUUCGCUUUUACAGUGACGAAAUGUCAUUAUUGUUGAUAUUGAAUCUCUAAUAUAUUACUAAAGAAGAACCUCUGUGCAUCUUACUAUUUUUUUGUGAUUAGUAAAAGUUUUUGAAUCGUCCAUAUUUUUUUCACAUUGAAUUUUCCACGUAAACUUGUUGUGUUUGCUUUUGUCUGUUUUUAUCAUUUUGGCAUUUUUUUUAUUCAUUACGAGAUUAUAUUGUGGGAAUAUAUUGCCUGUUAUUAUAGGGGUUGAGUCGAUUUUGGUCCAUUUAAUCUUGGGAAGAAAUUGAUACAAGAUUAAGUUAAUUUUUGAUGAAUUGUUGCCGGUUCUCUCGAACUUUGUAUCAAUAAUUUUGGAAAUCCAUCAAGUAAGGGAAAUUUUCCGCAUUUUCCUUUGACUACCCUGCACUCAGUCCCGAAAGCUUGGGUUAGCCACAUCUUUGAUUUUUUGUCUCAUCGACCAAUAGCAUUUGAUUUUAUGGUGUUCGUGGUCGUGAAAAAGUAUGAUUUCUGUCCCAAUCGCGUCCUCAUCGGCAUCUUUGAUUUUUUUUGUCUGAUCGACCAAUAGCAUUUGAUUUUGUGGUCUCCGUCGUCGUGAAAAAUAUGAUUUCUACCCCAGUCGUGUCCUCAUCAGCCCAAAGCAUUUUACUUGAUUUUCCCAGAACUGCCCCAGUCAAUAACACUUCAAUUCGUGUUAUAUUAUGGGGUUGUUUGGUUCAGCAUUCCCAAGGGGCUUUCAGCCCCGAAAGCCCCUUGGGAAAAAUUUCAGCCGUUUGGUUAAUCAUUUAGAGCUAUACUUUGGGGAUGCUAGCAUUUGGAAUGCUCUAGAAUGCUGAAAGCCCAAAGCAGGUCCCCACCUGCUUUGGGCAUUCGGCAUUUUCGGAAUGCUGAAGGGGGGUUUAAUGAUUUUUUUUCUUCCGAUAUUGCCCUCACUGAUAAUUGAGUUUUCUUAUUUUACCCUAAAAAAUAUUGUUCAUCAUCUUCCUCGCCUUCCUUGUUUCUUCAAGACCAAAGCUCAUCUGGCGGAGCUCAACCGGCCGGAGUUGGUCUCCCACGCAUGGCCAUCGCCACACACCGCCGUGCCCACGCACCACCGUCGCCACACACCGCCGUGGCCACGCACCACCGUCGCAUGGGUCGUGACCUCAGCGGCGUCGCUUAGGUCGCGCAACCCACGCGACGGGCUGAGUGGUGCUCAGCCGACCAGAUCCGGUCGCCACGCACCACCGUUGCGUGGGUCACGGCCUCCGGCAGUGUCGCACGACCCACGCCACGGCUCAGCCGCCCAGAUCCGGUCGCCACGCACCGCCAUCGCGUGGGUCGCGCCUCAGGCGGCGUCGCGCGACCCACGCGAUAGGCUGAGCGGUGCUCAGCCGGCCAGAUCCGGUCGCCUUGAGGCCGCGCGACCCAUAAGACGGCGGUGUGUGGGUCGCGCGACCCGCAGACGGCGGUGCGUGGGUCGCGCGACCCGCCGCCUCCCCACCACCACAGCCACCAGCCGCCUCCCCCACCACAGCCAUGCACCGCCGUCGCGUGGGUCGCAGCCUCAGGCGGCGUUGCGCGACCCACGUGACAAGCUGAGCAGUGAGCAGUGCUCAGCCAGCCAGAUCCGGUUGCCUCCCCACCACCACAGCCACCGGCUGCCUCCCCCACUAGGCUCUGAUUGCCUCCCACUCGCUCCCCUACUCUGCAUCAACCUCUCCUCCUCCUUUUUCCUUUUUCUUUUCAUCUCAAAGCUAUUUUGCAAAAUGCUACACCAAAAUAAGAGUUCCCAAACACUUCAGCAUUCACCAAAUGCCCAUUCUUCUAAAGAUACUUGGGGAAAUGCAAAGCCAUUUCCCCAAAGUUGAACCAAACAGCCCCUAUGAUCUGAGAAAUGGAUGUUUACUGCGGGGUUCGUCCAAAUCGAUUUCGUCCAGCGGCACGAUAAGAAGAGAUGCUCCAAUAUUCCUUUUUUCAAACUUUCUUGCAAGAUUGAUUGUAGUUUUAUUUUUUAGGAGUCGUGCUUGGAUUGGAUAUGUUCAUGUUUCGGAGGAGGUUCAUGAAAUUUUGAAGACGACUCGCAUCAUACUUGUCAGCAUGUAGGGAUGGAACUAUCAUAUAUUUUUAGUGGGGUCAAUGCCCUAAAGACUGUAAAAUAAGGUAUUUCAUUUAACAAAAAAAUUAUAAAGAUGCGAUCGAGCUAUUUAUUGAUUUGAAGUAGUUUUUCUACGCGAAGUCUGACUUGAAAUCAAAGCUUUGACAUUGAAUCGUGAAUGUGAACAAAAUUCGGUCUCAAAUCCUUGUGCUCGAGUUCGACUCAAUAUAUUAUAUAGGGCUCGAAAUUGAACUCGAUUCAAUUCCAUUAUUAAAAGCUCGAUUGUACUCAUUUGACUUGUUACGUAGGAUGUUUCUUUCUAUUUUUCCUAAUCAUAUAUUGUACCUUCUGCAUAGCCUGGUCAUGCCAUUUGAUUGCUUUAUCUUCUGACUCUAUCAAUCAUUGUGUUUGAUUGGUGGUGUGGUUGUCUAGUAGUGCAAUGUCUAAGCCCGAUAAUUUUUUUAUAAUUGUUUAUCUUUUUACUUUUCUGUUUUUUGCGUCAUAAAGAAGUUUAUAGUACAUGGAAAGACAAGAUACUGGUUUUGAUUUCUUGCAAGUUAGCGCAUGGUCCCUUAGAGGGCGACGAGGCUAAGCCUAAUUACAUCGAUGAACAAUGGAAAUUACUAAAAAGGCAAUGUAGGGUUUCAUUAGGCAUCAUCAAUUGGAUUUUAUUUCUUUAGAUAAACUAUAAAGAUCCCAUCCCACUGCUCCUUUUGCUCUUCCGAUUUCCAUCUUUUGGCAGUGGAAAACUGUAGCCACAACAACACCGAUAUAAAUUAAGGAAUUGUUAUGCUAGCCGGAUCCUAUGAGAAACAAUCGAUGUCAUCUCAUCCAUUGAUCGUCAGACUUUCAGGAUUAUAUGUCACAAUUGCACUUCCAUUUGUUGUAGAAAACUUCCUUAUUUGUUUUGAAGCUGACAAAACGUUUCCAUCAUUCUAGUCUGAAGACUUAUAGACUCUUUCGUCAAAGUCUAAAGACUGUCAUACCACCAGACUCAAGAUUUAAAUUCUGCCAUUAUCGACAGUUUCUAGACCGAUGAAGAAGACUUAUCCAGAAUUGAGUAUUUCUUUAAGGAUUUGAUUCGAGUGGCUAAAGAAGUUCUCACGGCUGGAGAUAGCAUCUCAAGAUUUAUAAUUCGUUUUGAAUUUAAAUCGAGUAAUUUGGAUCUAUUGAUUGGCGAAGUAUACUUGGAAAGUUCUACUUAUGGAAACCUAAAUUUGAUUGUAUGGGCGAGCAAAAUUGGUGGGCUAUCAUCACAUUCCUUAAGUAACUCGAGAUCUCCUUAAUUGAUUCUGUUCAACGGGUAGAUUGGAAGAACUCAUUUGGAAGGUGCCAACAGUUAUGAAGGCAUGGAGAAGUAUAUAAGGAAGACGCUCUAGUUAUUUGAGUGUGCACGUGAUAGAAAAAUUCCAAAGUCUGAAGUUCAUUGUUCUUUGCCGAUUCAAUCGUUGAGCGUAAAUAUGUAAUCAAAAGAGAGUUUUAAUACUUGUGAAACCUUGAGGAAGUGUAGCAGAGUCUCUACACCGUGGAAUCAAUGAUGUGAUACUGUAACAACUAUUUUGAUUCAUAGUGAAAUCUAGCCGGUGGGUUGUCAGUGCGGGAGAGUGGACGUAGGCUUAGAUUAAGCCGAACCACUAUAAAUUUGUGUUCUUAUUUCCUUCCCUAAACUCUUUUAUCUUGCUCGUAACUCUAUUUAAUUGUUAGAAUCUAAUUUCCUCUACAAAGUCUGUCGUCAACCAGAUUCAGGUUAAAAGUUUUAUACUAUAUUUUGCAAAAGUUGCUUUUGCAUCUAUUUACCCCAUCUAGGUGCUCGUACUAGCAUUAUCAAUUGGUAUCAAAGCAUGUGUACUCAUUUAAUUGAAGUGUUUUUACUUUAGAGUUAAAGAUCCGUGGCUAGUAUGUUGGCUCCAAGUUUGGUUGAAGGGCAAAGUAAUACCAGACCGCCCUAUUUUGAUGGAAGGGCAUAUAACAUAUGAAAAAACAAGAUGAAGGCAUUCCUAAGAUCGAAAUACCCUCUAGAAUGGGAUGUGGUAGAAAAAAGAAUCAUUCCUAAAGCUGCAUCAGUCUCAAGAAGGGGAAAAGAAGUUGCAAUGGCUAGUGAGAUGGCUCAAGAAGAGAUAACCAAGAGACAAGCUCUUGAUGCAAAAGCAAUUUAUUUCUUAUAUUGUAUAUUAUCUCAUACUAAAUAUAAUAGAAUAUUUUCUUGUGAAACAGCUAAAGAAGUCUGGGAUAGGUUGCACAUCACCUAUGAAGGAACUGAUCGAGUGAAAGAAACCAGAAUCAAUAUUCUGCUCGGUCAAUAUGAAGCCUUCAAGAUGAAGCCAGGAGAAUCUAUCACUGACAUGUUUAGUCGCUUUACAGAAAUCGUGAAUGGUCUUGAGUAUCAAUGUUAACCAGUCUAAAGACCCAUGAAGGUUAAUAAAUUGCUGCGUGGACUUUCCAAAGAUUGGAAUCACGUAAAGAAACAAAGGAUCAUGCCACUCUCCGUUGAUGAAUUGGUUGGCACACUUUAAUCCUAUGAAGUUGAGCAAAUCAAUGAAGAUGAAGAUCCUAAAGGUAAAAAAUCUAUUGCUUUAAAAUCUAAUGAUGAUUCUAAUGUUACAGAUUCUAAAGACGAUAUGGACGAUGAAGAGCUUGCUCUCAUUAUAAGAAGGUUUAGAAAACUGAACAAAAAGGGAAGAGGAUUCAAUUGAAAGAAACAAAGUUCUCAAAAGUUUCAAAAUAAAUCAGCUAAGGACGAUGAAUCCAAUAAAGAUAUGAUUUGUUUUGAAUGCAAGAAAAAGUGACACAUCAGACCCAACUGUCCCUUGCUGAAGAAAAAGAAAGGAAAAUUUGAGAAAUACAGAAAGCCAUUCAAAGCAUAAACUUGGAAUGAUACCGAAUGCGAAGAGAGUGAUGAUGAUUAUGAUAAUAUUUGUUUAAUUGCAAAAUCGGAAUCAGAUUCAGACUCUAAGAUAGAUACAGACUCAGACAGUGAAUUCGAGGUAAGUAAUUUAAAAAUUCCUACUAAAGUUUCAAAAUAUAUUAAUGAACUGUGUCUUAGUCUCAAAACCUCUCUCAAGAGGAUUUCCGAGUUAAAAAGGGAAAAUUAUACACUGAAGCAACAUGAGAUUGUUUGGAAAGAAAAGUUCAAAAAUUUAAAUAAAAUUUUUAUUACUUUGAAAGAAAAUGCAGACUCUCUUUCAAAAGAAAAUACAUUUUUGAAAAAUGAUAUUUCAAGUAUUUCAAAAAGGUUUUCUAUAAGAUCUGAGAAAUUGGAAAAAUAUUCUUUAAGCACAAAGACCUUACUUUAACAAAUCAAGCUUGGGAAUAACUUCUGAAACCAUUCCUCUAAUUGAUUUUCCAAAAGUAAAGGAAAGAAUCAAACAAAGACCUACAAAAGCAUUCUAUAGAAAUCAUUUUCAAAAAGUCUUUGUAAAACCUAUUGGCCAUAGUACUCUUAAAUGUUCUAAGUGCAAUAGCUUAGAACACUUUGAGAAAGAAUGUCCCAUGAUUUGGAAACUUGUUAAGAAGGAUUGGGCAAAGACCGUAUAUUGCACUAACUCCAUUGGACCCAAGAAAGUGUGGGUACCUAAGAAAGUUUGAGUUUCUUUUUUAAAUGUAGGUCACUAUCAAGAAAAAGGUCAAGUAGUACUUGGAUAGUGGAUGCUCAAGACAUAUGACAGGGGAUUCAAGUUGUUUCAUAAAGCUUAUGCAAGUUAAUGGUGGAAAAAUUUCUUUUGGUGGAAACAACAAAGAAAAAAUUGUUGGAUGUGGAACAGUAAAGAUUGGAAGUCUCACAAUCAACGUCUCCUUAGUAGAAGGACUCAAUUACAACUUGCUAAGUAUCAGCCAACUGUGCGACACAGGUUUCAAAAUCAAAUUUCAAGAAUGAAUAUGUUCGAGAACCAGUAAAGACUUCUCUCAGACUUUCACAGGGCGAAGACAUGGGAACAUCUAUCUUUUGGAUAUCAAACCAGAAAAAUCUCAUUGUCUAAUUCCAAUUCAAGAGAAAGCUAAUCUCUGGCAUCGAAAACUUAGCCAUAUCAAUAUGAAGCAAAUAGCCAAGAUCUCUGCAAAGAAGCUUGUUUGUGGACUACCCAAUUUGACAUUUCAAAAAUUUGAAUUAUGCAUACCAUGUGUGUUGGGAAAACAGGUUAUAAGUUCCUUUAAACCAAUAAGUCAAGUUUCCACUAAUCGUGUGCUGCAGCUCCUACAUAUGGAUCUCUUUGGAUCAACUAGGACUCAGAACAUUGGUGGAAAGAAAUAUUGCCUAGUAGUAGUGGAUGAUUAUUCACGAUUUACUUGUGUAUACUUUUUGGCGAGUAAGUCUGAAACCUUUUCUUAUUUUAUAAAGUUUGCUAAGAAAGUACAAAAUGAGAAAGGGUAUGUUAUUUUGAGUAUACGGACAGACCAUGGAGGUGAGUUUGAAAAUCAAAAUUUUACUAAAUUCUGUGAUGAAUCUAGUUUUCAGCAUAUGUUCUCCUCUCCAUACACUCCCGAACAAAAUGGAGUUGUGGAAAAGAAGAACAAAUCGUUGCAAGAUAUGGCUAAAACACUUUUAAUUAAAAGUAACAUUUCUUCUCAUUUUUGGGUUGAAGCAGUUUCUACAACAUGUUAUAUUAUUAAUAGAGUCUUCUUAAGGCCUAUUUUGGAGAAAACUCCCUAUGAAUUGUUCAAAGGAAAGAAGCCAAUUGUUUCCUAUUUUCAUGUGUUUGGCUGCAAAUGUUUUAUAAUGCAAAUGAUUGAAUUGGUAAGUUUGAAGAAAAAUAAGACGAAGGCAUCUUCCUUGGAUAUUCAACCACCAGCAAAGCUUACAGAGUAUAUAACAAAAAGACUCAAUCUAUGGAAGAAUCGAUGAAUGUCAAAUUUCAAGACCUUAUACAAAAUCAAUCAAUCUACACUCAACUUGAAGAAUUUGAACCUACUCUAAUCUCUAUAAAGUCUAAAUCCCCAGAAGCAGCUCAGACUUCAGAAGAUCAACAACAAAUGAUCAUUGAAGAAUCAUAUGAAGAAAAAGAUCAAAAGUCUGUCAGACCAACCAGCAACUGGAAGCACAAGUUCAGUCAUUCUAAAGAACUUAUUAUUAGUGACAUUGAUGAAGAGAUUCGUACAAGAUCCAAAAGGCAUGAUGAGUCUAACGAUGUGGCUCUUAUUUCUGAAAUAGAACCCAAAAGCAUAGAAGAAGCUUUAACUGAUGAAAGCUGGAUUGAAGCUAUGCAAGAAGAACUCAGGCAGUUCAGUAUUAACGAUGUUUGGGAACUGAAUCCUAAACCAAAAGGUAAAUAUAUUAUUGGAGCUAAAUGGGUUUUCAGGAAUAAGAUGGAUGAGAAAGGAAAAGUUAUAAGGAACAAAGCAAGACUCGUAGCCAAAGGAUAUACGCAAGAAGAAGGGAUAAAUUAUUAUGAGACUUACGCACUAGUAGCAAGAUUAGAAUAAAUUAGAUUAUUACUUGCUUUUACUUGUUAUAAGAAUUUCAGAUUAUUCCAAAUGUACGUCAAAAGUGCAUUCUCGAAUGGAUUUAUCCAAGAGGAAGUUUAUGUGGAACAACCUCCCUGUUUCGAAGGCCCAAGGAAACUAGACUCUGUAUUUAGAUUGAAAAAGGCGCUAAUGGUUUAAAGCAAGCACCUCGAGCUUGGUACGACAGGUUAAGUAAGUUUUUAAUUCAAAAUGGCUUUGUUAAAGGUAAAGUAGACACUACUUUGUUUAUUAAAAGAGAAAGUAAAAACUUUUUACUUGUUCAAAUCUAUGUUGAUGAUAUUAUUUUUGGAUCACCUAACGAAAAUCUAUGCAAGAAAUUCUCUAAGUCUAUGUAGGAUGAAUUCGAGAUGAGCAUGAUGGGUGAACUAUCCUUCUUUCUCGGACUACAAAUGAAACAAUUGAAGGAAGGAAUUUUCAUUCACCAAGAAAAAUAUGCUAAAGAACUUGUUAAAAAGUUUGGUGUGGAGAAUUGCAAAAAGACUGAUAUACCAAUGUCAAGUUCUUCAAAGCUGGACAAAGAUGAAGGAGGAAAGCAAGUUGACCAGAAGUUGUACAGGAGUAUCAUUGGUUCACUUCUUUAUUUUAUUGCUUCUAGACUUGACAUUUUGUUUAGUGUUUGCAUUUGUGCUAGAUUUCAAUCAAAUCCUAAAGAAUCUCAUCUAAGUGCUGCGAAACACAUCAUCAAAUACGUUGCUACAACCUCCAAGUUAGGUCUCUGGUAUCCUAAAGAAGAAGACGUUACUCUCCUUGGAUAUUCAGAUGCAGAUCUAGCAUGAUGUAGAGUUGAUAGAAAGAGCACCUCGGGCACUUGUCAAUUGCUUGGUAACAGGACAAUAUCUUGGUUUUCAAGGAAGCAAAGUACUGUAGCUCUUUUAACAGCAGAAGUAGAGUAUGUGGCUCUUAGAAGUUGUUGUUCUCAAAUCUUAUGGAUAAAACAACAACUGAGAGACUUUGGAAUAGAAGAUUCAUGCAUUGAGAUCAAAUGUGACAACACUAGUGCGAUUAAUCUCACCAAGAAUCCAGUUCUUCAUUCAAGAGCAAAGCAUAUAGAGAUUCGACAUCAUGUUAUUAGAGAUCAUGUUCAAAAUGGAGAAGUAUUGAUUCAAUUCAUUGACUCAAAGAAUCGGCUGGCGGACAUAUUUACAAAAUCUCUGGAGAAAAGUCAAUUUGAGUCUAUUCGAUCCAGUCUUAAUAUCUUAAAGUCUGAAGAAGUUCAGACUCAGGGAUAAAAGUCUAAAGAUGCUCAGAUUCAGAAGAUCAAGAAUCACGACUGUAAGUUAUUUCGGUUUUAGAAACUUAUCUUUCGGAUAAAAACUCAAAAAGGUAUGAUGUUAUCUUCCCAAGUUUUUGUAAUUAUAGCAAUCAUUCCUUUUCGAAAAAGAAGUUAUCUUUUUGAAAUGACAGUUAUCUAUUUUCAAAAAGAUAGUUAUUUUUUGAAAAUGCAUUUUCUAUUUUUCCUUUUACGACAAUCUGUAUACCCCAUUUCGAUUGCCUUAUAUACUGAUCAUCUUCUUCACGAAUCCUAGAACCAAAGAACUUUACUUUCUUACUUUUUCUCUAUAGUUUAAUCCUUAAAGUUUUCAUCUUUCUCGUGAAUCGAAUUCGGAAACUCUCUCAAAGAUUGUGAUAAUGUCUUCUCAAAGAAAGUCCUCAAGGAUUGCAAGCAGGGGACCACAGCAUAUGCAUGAGGAUCCUAUGCAUUUUAACUUGACCGAGGAAGAAGAAUCUCCAAGGCAUCAGCAGAGUCCACAACAUUCUCAACCGCGCCAUUCUCCUCAGGCUAGACCACAGCAUGUUCAGUAACAAUAAGCAUAGGAAGAAAUUAUUGAGGAUGCCAAACCUGUAAGAACUCUAAGGCCCGCUUUUACCUUCAAACUCUACUUUACCUUAAUGGAUGGAGGUUUUCCAUUAAACUUUAUUGAUGAAUUUUUGAAAGAAAAGGGGUACCGAAAUGAAACCCAUUUCUUACGAACGAUGGAACGUUUGGGAAUUGCUCAUGUGGGCUUGGCAGAAAGAGCUUUUGCGAAUAUCCCAAGUGAUCCACAUGUUAGAGGACUUAGUCAACCUGAUGGAAAUGAUGAUGAAAAGAUGUUCACUCAUUUUAAGCCUAGAAUGGGUGUUGCUGCGAAUAUUCGAGGAAAAAGAGCAGAUCUGUUUCGUUCUGAGGAACAUAAGCGAUUUUACUCUAAGUUGCUGAAGCGAGGGGUGAUGAACCCAAGGAGUGUGGGUUUUGAUUUUCUCGACUCUCUGAACGUGAAGUUGCGAGAGAAAUUUACUUUACUUCAACUUGAACGAUUUUGCUCUAAGACAACAGUGGCUCAUCCAAAACUUACUGCUUAUUUCUAUUCCAAUCUACGCUUUUUGGAUGCGAAUAGAUUUUCUUUCAGUGUUAGAGACUAGGAUUAUGUAGUUGAUAUGGACAUUCUGGCUGAUGUGAUUGAAGUAGAGAGAGGGAUGUUCCAAUUAAUUAGUGUGUCUAUUGGUCAUGCAACUGUGGAGCUUGUUCAGGAUGGAAUGGCAGAAGGCCGGAUUUUGUACUUGAGGAUGAAUGCCUCAAAUGUCUUGCUUCACAAGAUUGUGAUUAACUAUCUUAGACCCAAAUGUACAUCAAAGAUUAACGUCUCCAAUUCAGAAGCAAAGCUGAUGUAUGCUAUCAAUACUGGUAAAAAGUUCUCUCUGCCACACACUUCUUUAUUUAGCACUUGUUACUCAGCUAUUCAGACAUUUUAAUAUUCAACUUCCCAAAAUUUUGUGUGUUCGAACCUGUAAUCAAAUGGUGGUGGGACUAAAGAUGGUUUCAAAAAUGCAUCUAAAGGAGCUAAACAAGGCUUUAGAGCGCUUUAAGAAGAAGACCCCUAUCAAGACUCGUCAAGACUCUGUGGCUGCAAAACGCAAAGGCAAGGAGCCCAUGACAGCUCCAUCCAAGAAAAGGAGAGCACUCAUCUUGCAGGAUGAAGAAGAUGAGGAAGAUAUCACCAUUUCCGCUCUUGCCUUAAGGAACUUACAGCGUUUUGUUCCAAAGACAGAGGAUAGAGAGGAUCAAGACAGAGAAGAAACAGAGCAGAGGAGUGAAGAGAGGGAAACGAUGUGGAAAACAGCAGAGGAAGAAAGAACUGUAGAAGAAGAGGAAAGAGGAGAACAAGGUCAUCAUGUCACUGAAGAAGAGACAGAGCAUGAAGAGUACUUCUCUCCACCUGAAGGCAUUCAAACAGGAGGAGCUGCUGAGAAAAGAGGUAUUUCUUCACUUGCUUUUACUAGUGAUGAUGUUAGUUGUUCUCUUGCCGAUCCAGAAGAUGUAUAUGCCUCUCAAUUUCCUAAAGAAGGUAAUAAGGUUUCAUCUUCGAGCCUGGCUGCUCAUGCUGAAAUGCCAUCAUUUGCCAAUACUCCACAAAUUGAUCAUGCUGAAGCAAGCACUCAAACUGACAACUCAACAGACUUUAGAAGAUUGCUUGAUGUUCUUAUGGAGAAGAGAGGUCAGAUUUAUUCCUUGGGAUGUGAAUUUCAAAAUAUGUAGAAUGUCAAUCAAGCCUCUUCAGUUUCUUUGCACAAUCAAGUUCAAGUAAUUGCCAAGGGUGAGGAAGUAGCGCAACUGAAGGAGGUUCUGAGAAAGUUGGAGGAGACUAUCAAGUCGAUGGGAGAUUUCCAGCUUGUUCACGUUCCAAAACAAUCUUAAUUUUUUUUCCAAAUCUUUAUUUCGUCUCUACCUUUUUAAUGCUGACAAAAAAGGGGGAGAAGUUGGUGCAUAUUUGACUUUAUUUGACUUUACUUUUUUACUUUACUUUUGUUUGGUUGUGAUUGGUUUGGACUAUGUUUUGAUAGGUUUAGACUAUGUUUUGAUCGUUUAAUGCUUGCAGUAUCUUAAGCAUUGGUAUUCAUGGUUGGACUGUGUUUUGAUCGUUUAAUGCUCGCAAUAUCUUAAGCAUUGGUAUUCAUGGUAAAGAUAGUUGUUUUUACAGGACUAAUUCAUUUCCUGUGGAUGCAGUCUGACUUGCAUGUGUUAAGCAUGCCGCCAGUGUUCAUCCUGAGCCAGGUCUCCAACAAUUAUUCCAAUAAUUACAUAUCCGAUUUGACCUAUGGACGAAUAUGCAAGCAUACGUUUCAUGCUUGUUUGAGUAAUAGCAAUGAGAUUCCCCAAUAUCAUGCUAAGAAUAGCUAGGAUUUCCAGAAGAAGAUGCCAUUCGUUUGAUGAGAAAUAAAAAGGAAUAUCGAAAAUAAUACUGAUUAGAAUCAGGGACCAAGUUUCAUUAUUUGAUACUAUAUUUAUUCUAAUCCAUUUAUCUUUCAUGAGGUAUCCUUGUUUGCUUGAGUAUUGUCUUGCAGGUCAAAAGUAUCCAAAUUUGCAGAAAAGUUUUGUCAUUAUCAAAAAGGGAGAGAUUGUUGGAGAAAACUAACUUAUUUGUUUUGAAGCUAACAAAACGUUUCAAUCAGUCUAGUCUGAAGACUUGUAGACUCUUUCGUCAAAGUUUGAAGACUGCUAGAUCGCCAGACUCAAGAUUUAAAGUCUUCCCUCAUUGACAGUUUCUAAACCGACGAAGAAGACUUAUCCAGAAUUGAGUAUUUCUUUAAGGAUUUGAUUCGAGCGGCUAAAGAAGUUCUCACGGCUAGAGAUAGCAUCUCAAUAUCUAUUAUUCAUUUUGAAUUUAAUUCGAGUAAUUUGGAUUCGUUGAUUGACGAAGUAUACUUGGAAAGUUCUACUUAUGGAAACCUAGAUCCUGAUUGUAUGGGCGAGCAUGAUUGGUGGGUUAUCAUCAUAUUUCUUAAGUAACUCGAGAUCUCCCUAAUUGAUUAUGUCCAAUGGGUAAAUUGGAAGAACUCAUUUGGAAGGUGCCAAUGGUUAUGAAGGCAUGGAGGAGUAUAUAAGGAAGACGCUCUAGUUAUUCGAGUGUGCGCGUGAUAGAAAAAUUCAAAAGUCUGAAGUUUCUUGUUCUUUCCCGAUUCAAUCGUUGAGCGUAAAUUUGUACUCAAAAGAGAGUUUUGAUACUUGUGAAACCUUGAGGAAGUGUAGCAGAGUCUCUACACUGUGGAAUUAAGGACGUGAUACUAUAACGACUCUUUUGAUUCAUAGUGAAAUCCAGCCGGUGGGCUGUCAGUGUGGGAGAGUGGAUGUAGGUUUGGAUUAAGCCGAACCACUAUAAACUUUGUGUUAUUAUUCUCUUCCCUAAGCUCUUUAAUUUUGCUUGUAACUUUAUUUAAUUGUUAGAAUCUGAUUUCCUCUACAAAGUCUGUUGUCAACCAAAUUCAUGUUAAAAGUUUUAUACUAUAUUUUGCAAAAGUUGCUUUCGCACUUAUUCACCCCCCUCUAGGUGCUCGUACUAGCACUAUCACCAUUCACUCGCGGAACACUUCUUAGAUAUGUCCUUCCUCAGCACUUCAUUUCGAGUAGGGAUUAAUAGUGCCCCCAUACAGAUUGGAGUAUGAAGCCCACCCAAAAAAUCAAAUAAAAUAUCCGUUCUAUUUUGCCGGUAUCACCAACUGACUUAGUUCCGAUGAUUCUCUUCGGAAUAUGAGGCAAUAAUAGAGCAAAUCUGUCAAACGGUUCUCCACCAAGAGCAGGAACUCUUUUAUUAUGUAUGUUGGAUUCAUUGGUCAAUUUAUGACAUUUUUGUAUAGAAAUUACGAAAAAAUGCAAAUAGUUAUAAUUCGUUAUAACUGAAAAAUUUAUUUAUCGAUGACCAUAAAACUGCUCAUGUAUUAUAAGAAGAAAUUCGAAAAACCCUCCAACACAAAAGUUAUUCAUCACAUCAAAUCUCCAACAUUUUAUAGUAGAGUAGACAAUGUAUCACCGUGCAUCAUUCAAGUUUCACACACAAACAUAAAUAGAAGCUUCUAAAUUCAUAAGCAUACAAUAAGAUAAGAAAAACUAUUGUAAUUUAUGUCUCAUUUAUUGUCUAGAUUAGACAGGCCACUCCGUCCAGUGCCCACAGUUAGGGCAUUUUUAAUUGAAAAAGCUAGUACUCUUCCAUGCUUGCACUUCUCACAAAUAAAUGGGCCAUCUCUGCUGGCUAAUUGCCCCACCGCAGCCGUUGCCACCCCCACUUUGCCGCCGCCACCCCCACUUUGCCGCCGCCGCCUCCACCACCCUCGCCACCGCCGCCCUCAUUCCUAUGGAUACCACUCCCACGAAUGCCGCCCCUGCUCGCACUUGUUGCACUUGUUGCACUUGUUGCACUUGUCGCGCUUGUCGCGCUUGUCGCGCUUGCGCUUGUCGCGCUUGUCGCACUUGUCGCGGUUAUCGCACUUGUCGCGUUUGUCGCACUUGUCGCACUUGUUGCACUUGUCGCACUUGUCGCCCUUUUCGCCCUUGUCGCCCUUGUCGCCCUUCUCCCCCUUGUCGCCCUUGUCGCCCUUCUCCCCCUUGUUGCCCUUGUCGCCCUUCUCCCCCUUGUCGCCCUUCUCCCCCUUCUCCCCCGGGUCGCCCUUGUCGCCCUUCUUCCCCCGCCGCAGGAUGCAAUAGAAAAAGAAACCACAAAGCAUGACGGCAACAAUGACUAAACCAACAAUAACCCACGUUGGGGUGUUAUAGUCAUCGGAUGAUGCGGAAUUCGGAUCAAUCCAUGCCGAUGGAGGAGGAAAGUACUGGAAACACGGAUAAGUUUGUGGACAGUUACUGUUCUCCAUCAAGAAAACUUUGUGGAGGUAGUUCAAUGCGAGCGGUGAGUCUACAAACAUAUUAUGAAGCAUCAAUCCAAGAGCCAAUUUACACUUUUAUCAUGGUGAAUUGAUCAUAUGAUCCAAGCACGAGAUCGAAAUGAUUCAAGACAGAAUUCAACGAGAUAUAAUAUGAGUGGAAGUAGGUACUUGCACAUAAACCUUCACAAGAAGGACCAAGCAGACUAGUGAAUGAUGUUGCUUCAAUGCUUAGGCGACUCGCAAAGAAGUGAGAAUUUUCAUCCGGUGGCCUCCUCGUCCUAAUAACUCUCUAUUGCUGCCCCAAACCCCCCCCCCCCCCCCGCUCUCCCUCUUCUUAUGGGGUGGGUUAGGUAAAGUGUUUUAAUCAAUGCAUCACUCAUCCUAAUAACUCUCGAUUGUUGCCCCCAAACCUACCCCCCUCUCCCUCUUCUUGUGGGGGUGGGUUAGGUAAAGUGUUUUAAUCAAUGCAUCACCUCUCUUCUUUGAGGAUGUACUAUAAUGAUUGAAGACAUCUGAACAAAAAGCUAGGAAAUUUCAUUCAUGUGCCAAAGACCCAAAAAGUUAUCAAAAUAAUUAUAAAUCUAUUAUAAUUGUGUCAAUUUAAUUUUAAACUUUUUUUUUACCAAUUGAGUAUUAAACCUUUUAUAUUUAUGUCCAUUCAAUUCAUCCGAUCAAAAUUGACCGGCUAGCACUAACAUGAACACGAGGCGUCUUACAUGGCGCCAUCGACGCUGACAUGGAUAAUUUUUAGUAAUAUUGUAAUAUUUUUUUCGAAUUUUAUUCCUAUUUUUCUUUUUAUAUUUUCUUUUCUUUUUUCCUUUUUUCUUUCUUUCGUUUUUAUUUUUUCUUCACUCCCUUCUUUCUCCGACUAGUCACCAGUGACCACUGGAUAUGAAGCUUCAGGAAGAAUGGAGCGAGCUUCAACUACUGUCCAAACUCAAUCAUGUCUUCAUGCGCGAUGUUCAGGAGAUGGGAAUUAGGCCCAUUGAAAUGAUACAUGUGUUUGACUAUUCACGGUCUAAGGUGGUAAGAUUUUGGUGAAGGGCCAAGAAAAACAAUUAGUUCCGAAAUGAGAAAUUAUUAUAUGCUCAACAAAACGUGUGACCCGAUAUCAUCUCGAUCAUUAAUCAAGUAGAUCUCGCUAUGAGCCCCCGGGAUCAAUUGUUGAAUUGGGUUUCGACGUAAGAUUUAUAGAACAUACAGUAACAUUUCAUGCAAAAAGGGUUAUAGACGUGACUUGAAAAAUAAAAUUCACUCUACUAUCCAAAAUCAAGUCCACAAAAACUUAUUUUAGAGCCGAAUUGUUAAGGAUAUAAGCGACCCACUGUCAAUUCGUUUCUAUUUCGAGUAUUCUAAAAACGUAGAAAAUGUUCUAAGAUCCUCCUAAACUUAAACUAUCUUAGAUGGACACAUAAAAAAACCACUAAUCUCAGUCCUCGCAUUGGUCUAUUCUUGUCCACAUCCCUCUUAUGGUCCCGGGACUCAUGUCCGAACGAUAUAAAAAGACAGCCAUGUGGCCAGCUAAUUAGAACAGUGGAAUUAAAGAAGAAACAUGGGAAAAAGGAAAAGUCCAUCGUCUCGUCACCGUCGACCACAAUCAUGUGUUUUUAGAAUCUUGUCCCUCCGAAUUUAUUCGCCAUCACAUCGUUUUCUCCCCCCAACUGUGGGACUCUCGAGUCUGUCGCUACCCUUAUGUCGCAAUGAUGGUUCCAAUGCCAUAACAAAAGAUGCUGGAUAGUGGAUAGACCCGACAAAUGCAUAAAUUGAAUCUAGUUGAAAAUGGUCAAAUUCAAAUUAACAUAUUUCAUUCAUUUUGACUUAUUCUCAUGCAAUACAAAUCAUGUUACUCAUACUUGACCUAAUUCAUAUAUGAUUUGACUCAUAUUUCUAAAACACUUCCAUAUUUAAACUAAUUUAAGAAAAUCCAAAAUGAAGUGAGAGUAAAUUGUAAACUUAUUUAAUACCUAUAUUAUUUUGAAUUUAAGUCAUUCUUAAAAUAAAAAAAAAUAGUCUUAUAACCCAUUUAACCAGUCUACCAUCAGAUAAACAUGAUAUCCUGACAUUUAGGAAAAAUUGUCCCAAUUAUGUCACAUCGCAUAUACAUGUAAGAAGGAACAUUGGGACAUCUCCCAAAAAUCAAGUAUGUUAUUGACAUUGCAUAGGUUGAGAAAAGAGCAAGAAGAACCAUAAAUUAUUCCUUUAAUUCUACUUGAUUCAAAUGGGAUGUUGACUGCCUUUGGGGAGCGACAUAUGUGAAAUGCAAUAAGCGAAAUACAUAGAAGACUAGCGACUAAUAGUCACUAAUUAAGAUAUGGAAAAACACGGAAUGGAAAGAUUGUGUCGGAUUUGUUGACACCUAAUUUUUUUACCCAAAUUAUUGCAUAUAGAUUAUCUAGGUGUUUAAAAUGGAAGAUGUUUUUCCUAAAAAAAAAUUUAAAAAAUUAAAAAAAAAAGAUAAAAAAAAAGUUGGAGCUGAUGAUCUGAAUGUGACUAGCCAAGGCCAGGAGGUCAGAUUGGAAUUAAAAUGACAAACUGGGGCCAAAAUGCAAUUUCCAAAAGUUGAGGGACCAAUUUGCAAAUUUUGCAAAAUUUCACCCGAGCCCUUAAAUCAUCAUCUUAGCCCCCAAUUAAGUUGAAAUUGAGCUUGGGCCAGGUCGAAUCAAUCAAAUCGGGCCAAAAUGACCAAAUUUGCAUUAAAUUGGGUAUUUUCGGAUAAGAAAAUGGCUAAUUUUGAGGGACUUUCUUGCAAAAUUGGAUGGGCACAAUUGCAAAAUCUGAUUGAGGUCUUAAGCUACUAUACAUGAAAUUACUAAUUGAUUAAAAACCACAGCCAAGUUAAUGGAUUAAAGCACCCAAACCAGCUGCCAAAUCUCAGUCCAUGAUUUAGCCUCAUUUUGAAGCUACUAAGUAAGCUUAUUUGUGGCCCCACCAUAUCCUACUCAGCAUCUCAAUCAGCCUGAUCUUUGCACGUGAUGGAAGACCAUAUAUAGCAGUGCAAGUAGACGGAAAUUGGCCAGGGAUAAGCUGCCGAAAGUAUGGGAAAAUCGCAGCAAAGUCCGCACACUCAAUAGCUGCAAAAGUUAAAAAAUUGGCCAAGUCAGAAGAGUAGGUGAACCAGCUCAGUUUGCAGGCUUGGUAGGUGGAUAAAAGACUGACCAAAAAUCCCUUAAUUCGGGGAUAAGAUCACUGAAGCAAGUUCUUUCAAGGGAUGAGAGAGAGGAGACAAGAAGGGGAGGGGAGAGCUGGGAAUCGUUCCCUAAAGACACCUUCAGAAGCAACUCCAGAAAGAAAAAACUUGGAAAAUCCAUACUGACCUUGAGAGAGAAAAGUGAGAUUUUCACAUACCUGCGGCCAAAAUUAACCAAAACCUUCAACUAGAGAGUGAAACUUCACUCAAAGAUAUUUCCAACCAUAGGUCUCACGUCCCAAAUGGAGAUUGGGAAAGCCUCCUAAAGCCCACCGAAAUAGUGCCCUCCUGGCAGGCCAAGAAAGUCCGAAAUUUUUUUUAGGUGUCAAGACUGGUUGGUCACGAGUGAGGAAAGCCAGUGUUUUUGAGAAAUUUUAGAGACAAAUGAGGAAAAUCUUGACUUUUAACCCAAACUGCAAUACCUAUAGUUUGGUGUGGUGUCAAUUUUUUCAACAAAAUACGUCUUGAAGUCUAAUGUUAGAGGUCAACGAAAACCUUCGUUGUCAGUUCUUUUUUUUGCAUAUCUCAUUUCCAGUUGAAGAAGCCAACUUCGAUAGGCCCCCGAGGAUAAUUUGUCGGUUUCAUUGGCCAAGAAUCACUUGAAAAGGAAACUAGGAAGAAAAGUAAGCAUCCUAGAUGUAUUUAUUUUCGAGUUUGAGCAUGUUUUGAUCAUGAAAAUAAAGAGGAAAACCAGCCCGGAAAACUAAUUUCUGAGGCUAAAAUUUUUCCAAAUGUUUGAAAUCUCUUCAAGAGUUUUGCAUGUGUGCUUCUUGGAGAGGUCGUUUUGAUGUUUUUCGAUGGGUCAUUCUCUAUGAUGUUUGUUGCAUUUGAAAGCCCAUGUUACCUACUUUCACGCGGAUUAAGUAGCAUUUGCCUUAGAUCUCGUAUGUGAUGAGUGUCGGGGCUUGAAUAUGGGCAUGCAACCUAUUUGCUUGACUUGGGUUCAAACCCAGAUUUGCAAAAUCUCAAACCCGUGCAUUUGAGGACGAUUUUAGCUUGGUUCUAGUGUAUUUUUAGCUAUGAUUUCUAUCUAAUCUUGUUCUUUGCAUGUGGUAGUAUAAUAUUGAUACUUUAGUUCCACAUGAGAUUGCUUAUGAGUGGAGAUUGAAGGCUGCAAACAUGGCUCGAGGAGGCUAUUAGGGAUAGUUUAAUGCACACCAAGUGUUCGACAAAAUGCUCAAACUAAGCUUCAAUCUUGAAACGGUCGAUUUGAGCUUGAUUAUUGUGAUAUUCAUGUGCUGUGUUACUCCAUGUUAGCAUAGAUCGAUUUAAGGAAUUAUUAUUAAUUUAAAAAAAUUAAAAAAAAAGAGAAAAAUAUGAAAAUUUCAAAAAUAUUAGAAAAAUGUUAGAUAGCAUCAAAUUAGGAUAGAAAUGACAUAUAUGAAAUUUUCCUAAUUUUAAAAGGUCAUUUUCCUAAUUUAAUGCUAUUUUGGUAUUUUAUAACCAUUUUUGUAAAUAAUCCAUUUUGCAUAGAUUAAAACUAUUUAAAGUAAUUUCAUGCAUAUAGAGCAAUUUCAUGCAUAUUUGAAUUCUCAUUUUGCUCAUGGGGGUCCUGCCCGGGGCGUGAUAACAAAGCCAUGUAAUAUUGUUUGCUCGACUUGUAUCGGGUUGACCUUUUCCGCGUUUAUUUUCAAGUCAUUUCAAUUUCUUGGAUGUUUACUUAUGCGCCCUUUUUCAUUAAUUUGAGUGUAAAUUUCUCUUCUAAAUUAUGUUAGGAUUAGUCUAGACAUUAAAAAAAAACUACAAAAACAUUUGCAUGGACACUUAGUGAUUUGAUAAAUAUCAAAAUUGGUAAUUAAGAUUGUGUGGCCAUUUAGAUAAACAACCUUCCAAGUUAGUGGUACUGCAAGGGCACUCAUAGAAACAUUGGCGUAAAGAAGUCCCCGUUCCUAGAAAUCUCUGGUUGCGUAGGAAUCGAGACAACACUCCCGUGUCUUGAUUGGUUUCUAGCCGACCCCAAUAGGCUAGUGGCGACUCCUAGAAUUACAUAGAUUGUUAAGAACUAAAAUUCAAAAUCCAAUGUCGCGUGAGGUAUGGGCUAGGGAGAGCUCGCGCCUAAUUUAGGGCCAUUGGUCCACCUCUUUAGGCAAAUACCCCUAAACCUUCUUCUUUUUCCUCGGGCGGAAAAAAGGAGGUCGUGACAGCUUGGUGACUCCGCUAGGGACUUGGUCGCAAACCUUAGAGAACUUAGGCUGUAAUAACUUGGUUGGUUGUUCACUAACAUGGUCUUCAUUUGAUAGCGCGUGUCAAAGUCGCGUGGAAAACAAGGUUAGCCCGCUAACAAUGUGUUAAAUGUUUUUGUAGGUUUGGAGUAUUAAGGGGUUGAGUGUUUGUUAACCCAUCUCUUUUGUAUGGAGGCGUAGGAAUGUAUGCCUAUAUGGAUGAAAUUGAAGUGUUGUUUGGAUAGCAAUCGAUGUGUGUGCAUUUAUACUUAUCUUAGCACUACACAUUUACACACUCCACCCGUGAUCUAAAACCCUGAUUGCAUUAGGAAGCCCAUAGGAGGUGCCAAAAGAUGGAACCCGUGCGGGAAAUGACCCAUGGUUAUCCACUUUUGGUCCCGCUCAUUUUGAUUAAUGAUAAAGAGAACUGUCCGACGUAAGUGCGGAGUGGGGAAAACUCUUUUGAUCUAAUCAAAAUGGGGACUUUAAGCCUUUAGAAUUCCACCUUUAUGCAUCAAACCUCACAAGUUUACAUUCGCAUGUCUAUGUGAUUGAAAAAAAAUGUCUCUUCACCCACUGUAAGUAUGAUUUCUCCAUCUACUUGCUCACCUCGGAUUGAAAUUUUCAUUUUUUGAGAUUCAUAGAAAUCAAUGGAAUGCCCUUGAAAAUAUAGGCUUGGCACUCACUUUUGAUAAAUAAGCAUUUCAAAUACCUAUGAUCUACUGAACAUAUGUUUUUGUUUAAAUUUUCAAUUAUGAACUUAAAGUCACAUUUUGUAUAGGAAUUCUUCCAAAUCAAGAUUACAUUUUGGGGCAUAGAAUUAAAAUCAAAUUUCUAAUAAAACUCUUUAUUGGUCACAUUUCAAAAUUCAAAUUCAAAUCCCUUGUAUUGGUCACAUUUCAAAAUUAAAAUUCAAGAGGCAGGCGAAACUCCCAUGGAAGGAUUUGAAGAUGAUGAAUGGAGGGAGAGAGAGAGAGAGAGAGAGAGAGAGAGAGAGAGAGAGAGAGAGAGAGAGAGAGAGAGAGAGAGAGAGAGAGAGUGUGUGUGUGUGUGUGUGUGUGUGUGUUCUGGCUUUCUAGGAUUUGAAGAUUUAUGAAGCUUAGGAGUACUGAGCCUGUUGGGUUCGUGAAUGUUUUUUCCUCCUAGGAAUCCCAGUACCACCUCUAGCUGAGCAAUCCAAUUCUGCAUUAGGAGUAUCCGUUAACUAGGCACUUUGAUUCUACGAUCAUAAAUCCAUCCAAACAUGAGUUGCAAUGGCAUUCCAUAUCUUGUUUAUUACUCCAAGGUGAACCAAACAAGGCCUUAGUGAUUACACGAUGUACUAUACUCCUGAACGCUUUCAUAUUGGAAUCAAGGAUUUGCAGUCUCAACCAUGACUUUCCAUAGUGAUGGUUUUAUUAAUUAUUGUGAUGGGCCUAAGUUGGCCCGUUUGCCCAUGUUGGGCCUAAAAGCCCGGCCCACAAGAUUAGUGCCCAUGGAUGAAGGGAUAUGAUGAAGGGACAUGUUUCUUUUUGGAGGUGACGUAUAUAAAGGGAAAUAAAGAGGGAGGAACGCACCUUUUGGCAUAACGUAUGUUCCUCCCCCUUCUCUCCCUAAAAAACGCUCCAAAAGAAAGAACAGUGCACAAGAGGCGACACCCAUCUUCCCUUCAAGGUGAAUUGGUGUCAUCGGAUCGAACAUGGCCAAAUUCUCUUUCUCAUAUCGGCGUCGGUGUUUAAUUUAUGGCUAACAAGGUACAUUCAAUUCUAUGAUGUGCCUUAGGAUCGGUGAUGCAUGUGUUUUUUUCCCGGGCUCGUCUUCCGCACAAGUUUUUGAGUACAUGGUUAUAGGCAUGUGUGGUUCAGUGAUUAAGGGAAUCACUAGUGAAAACGGCGCCUUAAAGAACACACACAAUUGUCUAUUGAUCAAAUCAUUGUAGGCAUGUGUGGUUCGAUGAUUUGGGAUAUCACUGGCGAAAACGGCGCCUUAAAGAAUGCACACAGUUGUCUAAUGGAUACGUCACCUUAGCGAAGUUGACGCCCGAGAGCAUUGAGAUGGCUCUGUGACUAAGAGUGUUAUUGAAGGUUACAUGGUAUGAGAUGAAUGACCUAGUGAGGAUCCGAUUGAAAUGUAAUCGACUAAGUCGAUUAAUCAUUGCCUUGAUUUGAUGUUGUGAAUUGAUUGAUUGAAUGGGAAUGACCAUGAGAUAGUCCGAUUGACAUGUAAUCGACUAGGUCAAUUUGAUCGAUGCUUCGAUUAGUUAUGUGAUUGUUUGGAUGCCUAUUUGAACUGUGCUAAUAUGCAGGUGGAAUCUGAGUCCAAGGUAAGUCCUCUGACCUGUGCGUGUUUAGGCAGCCUAUAGUAUAAUGGUUUACUAAUCGGGCCUUAGUGGGGUAGAACUCACUGAGACGUAGUCUCAUCCCAAUUUGGGGAAAACAUUUCAGGACCCCGAUGAGGAGAAAUCUGAGAAAGAGAGUUCAGAGGUGAAACCUGAGGAGGAAAAUUUUGGAAGAAGAAGAUAAUCCCGAGAGGGGCUUGAGUACGGCCCGGAUGGACUGAGAUUCUAUCUUCUUUUGAGAUCUCUAUUUUGAUUUGAAUAGAGAUAGAGUAAAAAGUGAUAUUGCUAGUAUGAGUACCUAGAGGGGGGUGAAGAGGUAUAUAAAAGAUUUUUCUUCAACAAUUGCACAAUACUAGACAGUUGAAGGAAACGAUAAUCAAAGUAAGACUGAGAGAAGAGAAAAUUGAACACGCAGUUUAUAGUGGUUCGGCUUAUAUCAAGCGUAUGUCCACUCUUCUUCACUGACAGCCUAUUGGCUGGAUUCCACUAUGAACAAAAGAGAAGUUACAGCACAUCUUUGCCUUGAUUCCACAGUGUAGAUGUUCUACCACACCUCCUCAAGAUUUCUCACAAAUAUAGACUCUCUUUUGUAUACAAGUAUUCGCUCAAAGGAAUUUUCUAAACAAAAAGAACUUCAGACUUUGGAAUUCUUCUAUCGCGAACACCUUGAACAACUAAGACAGUCUUCCUUAUAUACUCCUUUAUGCCAUCAUACCCGUUGGCACUUACCAAAGGAAUUCCUCCAAUCUACCCGUUGGACGGAAUCAAUUAGGAAGAUUGUUCAAGCUAUUAAAGGAACGUGUUGAUAGCCCAUCAAUCAUGUUCGCCCAUACAAUCAGGAUCUCGGUUUCCAUAAGCAAAACCUUCCAAUAAUAUUUAGGCAAUCACUGGAUCUUCAAUUAUCGAGUCAAUCUUCGAUCAAUCAAAGGACUCCGUUAUGUCUUCUCCAGCCACAAGAUCUUCUCCAGUUGAUAAGGUUAAAUCCUUAACGAAACAUCCAGUUCUGGAUAACCUUUCUUCAGCGGAUUAGAGACUGUCAAUGAGGAUAGACUUUGAGUCUUGAGUCUGGCUGUUCGGAGGUCUUCAGACUUUAAAUAGCAUAGUCUGCAAGCCUUCAAACUAGACUGAUAGAAACGUUUUUGUCAACUUCAAAACACUUCAAUAAGAUUUCUCCAACAAUCUCCCCCUUUUUGAUGGUGACAAAACUUUCCUGCAGAUUUGGAUAUCUUUGACCUGCAAAACAUUUCUCAAACACAUAUGCAUAUCUUAUAGAGAUAAAUGGCUAACAGGAUAACACUAGAAUCUGCAACCACAGAAAAUAAGUUAGUUCAGUAUAUGAUGAAGCCAUUCAUAAGAUAUCAAUAUUAGUUAAUAGAAGCAGUCAAGUCCAAGUCUAGUUCAGUUCUCAUCCAGACACAAAACAAAGUCAAACAGAGUUCAAACCACAAAGCAAUCCAACAAACAAUUAAAAGUUUAAUGAAUGAAAAGUUUUUGUUCAAAUCUUGCAUCUCUCCCCCUUUUUGUCAUCAUUAAAAAGGAUGAGAUGAAGUCAAGAUUGCUUGGGAACGCGGACAAGCUGGAAAUCUUCCAUAGACUGAACGAUGCCUUCCAGUCUUCCUUUAGUUGUACAAUCUCCUCACUCUUGGCAUUGGCCUGAUUCUGAACAGAUAGGGCUUGCAUUUUAUCAUUCAAUGAACAUGAAGAAGCUUGACCUUCAUUCUUCAAGCUUUGAACUUCGCAUCCCAAGGCAUAAAUUUGACCUCACAUCUCCAAGAGAAUAUCCAUGAUUCUGCGAAAAUCUGCUCCAUUAUCAGUAUAAGUACUUGCUUCGGCUCGAUCUGAUGGAGUAAAUGCAGACGAUGGUAGAUCAGCAUAAUCUCGCAGGUUUGGCGAUGAAACUUCAUGACCUUCUUCUGGAAACUGAGAUGCAUAAACAUCCUCUGGGUCUACUGGUGAGCGACUGACUCCUUCACUUGCAUCAGGACAUGAAGACUUCACUCAUUUCUCCUGAUCUCCCCCUGUUUCCAUGCCUACAGGUGGAGAAGAGUGUUCCUUAGGUUCUCCUUCUUCUCUUCUUUCUUCUUCUGGUCUUUCCUCCUCUGUUUCUUUUUCAGCUUCUAUUUCUUCUUCUUCCUUCUCCUCUGCUUCUUUCGUCAUUUGUUCCGAUUCUUUCUAUGGAACAGGACGACUUAAAUUCUUCAAAGCCAAUGCAAAGAUGGUGAUGUCUUCCUCAUCAUCUUCAUCCUCAACGAGGAGAGCUCUUCUUCUCUUGGAUGGAGCAACCAUGGGCUCCUUCCCUUUUCUUUUAGCUGCAGAAGAGAUUUGAUGAGAUUUUGUAGGAGUCUUCUCCUUGAAUUUCUCCAACUCCUUGCUUAGUUCCUUCAGACGCAUUUUGGUCACCAUUUUCAGUCCUACCACCAUAUUAUCGCAUGGUCGAACACAAAAGAUUUGUGGAGGCUGAAUAUUCAGAUGUCUGAAUAACUUCGUAACAAGGCUUAGGUAAGGGAGUUGACCUCUGUCCUUCAUCAUUGCUCUAUACAUGUGAAACAUCACAAUGUGAGGGAGAGAAAACCUUUUUCCAAAGAGAAUGGCAUACAUCAGCUUGGCCUCUGAACUUGAAACAUCAGUCUUGGAAGUUGAUUUCGGUCGGAGGCAAUUAAUCACAAUCUUGUGAAGCAAGAUGUUGAAUGCACCCAUCCUUAAGUAGGUGAUCUUUUCAUCUGUUCUCCUGUACUUCACCAGUUCAAGUGUGGCCCGAGCAAUGGAAACUUUGAUUGGUUGAUAUCUUCCUCUUUCGACUUCUAACACAUCUGCCAGCAUAUUCAUAUCCACAACAUAGUCUUGGUCUUUAACGCUGAAAGAGAAUCUAUUCGCAUCUAAAAAGCUUAGAUUUGAAUAGAAAUAUGCAGUUAAUUCAGCAUAUGCCUCUGUAGAGUCAGAGCAGAACUUUUCAAGUUGAAGAUAACUGAACUUUUCCCUCAAGUUCAUAUUCACAGCAUCCAGAAAAUCAAAAUCAACACUCCUAGGGUUUAUUACCCCACGCUUCAGCAAUUUCGAGUACAGAUCCUUUUGCUCCUUCGAUCUGAACAAAUCUCCCAUUUUUCCUUGAUUUUCAAUCGCAACACCCAUUUUUGGUUGAAAUUGACUGUAUAAUUUGUCAUCAUCAUUCCCAUCUGCAGGAUUCGGCCCCCAGUCACGAGGAUCACUUGGGAUAUUUGCAAGGGUUUCCUCAGCCACCCCUUUUCGAGCAAUUCCCAAACUUUCCAUUUUUCGCAGAAAGAUAUAUUCGUUCCCAUGUCUUUUGUCUUUAAGAAACUCAUAAAUGUAGUUCAAAGGAGUACGAAUUCCUUUUAAGGCACGAUACAACUGGUAAAUAUAAGCGGACUUUUGAACUCUUACAGGGUUUGCAUCCUUGAUGAUUUCUUCCUGUUGUUGUUGAUCAACGCCUUUAGGACUAGAUGGAGGAGAAUGACGCUGCUGAGAAUGUUGUGGGCUUGCUUGCUGUUCUAGAGUCACUUCUUCUUCAGUAAGAUCGAAGUGCGUAGGCCCCUCACUCAUCCGCCGUGGUCCCCUGCUUGCGAUUCUUGAAGACUUUCUUGAAGAUGACAUCUUUCUCAGUUUUUGGAAGAUUCCUUGCUUGACUUUCCCAGGAAAGAUGACAACUUUUUGAGUAUUAAACGAAGAAGACAAAUGGGAAUGGAGGAUCGAUGCUUUCUAGGGUUUUUGAGAGAAAAGUGAAGAGGAAUCGACAGUGCACGAUCGGUUAAAAAGAGGAUAAACGAACCGUCACAAGGAAAUAAAAAAUAUGCCUUUUCAAAAUAACUAUCUUUUUCCGCAAAAAUAGCCAUUUCAAAAAUAACUUCCUUUUUGAAAAUGAAACGAUGCAAUAUUUACGUCAAUUAAAUAUAGCAACAAUUUAAACACAGUCUGACGAUCGUACCUUUUUAAGAUGAGAUUCAAGAGAGAAAGACAGUCUGACUGACGUACCAAGACUGUCUUUCAAAUAAAUUCUUGUAAGUCUGAGUCUAAAAGUCUUUAGACUUUGAUAUCCUCAUACCUCAAAAUGUUGAGUCUGGAAUGUAUAGACUCAAAUUAAUUUUUCUCCAAAGGCUUUGUGAAUAUAUCCGCCAGUUGAUUCUUUGAGUCAACAAAUUGAAUUGAAACAUCUCCAUUUUGAACAUGGUCUCUAAUAAAGUGAUGUCGAAUCUCUAUAUGAUUUGCUCUUGAGUGGAGAAUUGGAUUUUUGGUGAGGUUGAUAGCGCUGGUGUUGUCGCAAUUAAUCUCCGUGCAUGAGUCGUCAAUUUCAAAGUCUCUUAGCUGCUGUUUUAUCCAUAAAAUUUGCGAACAGCAGCUUCCAAGGGCUACAUACUCUGCUUCUGUUGUUGAAAGGGACACAGUGCUUUGUUUCCUUGAAAACCAAGACACUGUCCUGCUUCCAAGCAACUGGCAGGUUCCCGAAGUGCUUUUUCAAUCAACUCUGCAACCGGCUAGAUCUGCGUCUGAAUAUCCCAGAAGAUUAAAGUCUCCCUUCUUAGGAUACCAAAGACCGAUGCUUGAUGAUGAAGCAACGUAUUUAAUGAUGCGUUUCGCAGCACUGAGAUGGGAUUCUCUAGGAUCUGAUUGAAACCUAGCACAGAUGCAAACACUCAACAAAAUGUCAGGUCUAGAAGCGGUAAGAUAAAGAAGUGAACCAAUGAUGCUCCUGUACAGCUUUUGAUCAACUUUCUUCCAUUCUUCAUCUUUGUCUAUCUUCAAAGAACUUGACAUUGGUAUGUCGGUCUUUUUGCACUUUUCCAGUCCAAACCUUUUGACAAGAUCAAUAACAUAUUUUUCUUGAUAAAUAAAAGUUUCUUCCUUCAAUUGUUUUACUUGAAGACCUAGAAAGAAUGUUAACUCUCCCAUCAUACUCAUUUCAAAUUCAUCCUGCAUAGACUUAGAAUAUUUCUUACACAGAUUUUCAUUAGAGGAUCCGAAAAUAAUGUCAUCCACAUAUAUUUGAACAAGUAAGAAACUUUUGUUUUCCUUUUUGAUAAAUAAAGUCGUAUCUACUUUACCUUUGACAAAACCAUUUUGUAUUAAAAACUUACUUAAUCUGUCGUACCAAGCUCGAGGUGCUUGCUUUAAACCAUACAAAGCCUUUUUCAGUCUGAAGACUGAGUCUAGCUUCUUUGGGUCUUCAAACCCUGGUAGUUGUUCCACAUAAACUUCCUCAUGGAUAAAUCCAUUUAGGAAGGCGCUUUUGACGUCCAUUUGGAAUAGCCUGAAAUUCUUAUAACAAGCAAACGCAAGUAAUAGUCGAAUAGCUUCUAACCUUGCUACUGGAGUGUAAGUCUCAUCAUAGUCUAUUCCUUCUUCUUGCGUAUAUCCCUUGGCCACGAGUCUUGCUUUGUUUCGUACGACUUUUCCUUUCUCAUUCAUCUUGUUUCUGAACACCCAUUUAGCUCCAAUAACAGUUUUACCUUUUGGUUUUGAUGUCAAUUCCCAGACAUCAUUAAUGCUGAACUGUCUGAGCUCUUCUUGCAUAGCUUCAAUCCAGCUUUCAUCAGAUAAAGCUUCUUCUAUGCUUUUUGGUUCAAUUUCAGAAACGAGAGCCACAGCACUAGACUCUUCUCGCCUUUUGGAUCUGGUGCGAAUUCCUUCAUUAAUUUCGCCGAUUAUAAGAUCUUUGGGAUGGCUGGACUUAUGCUUCCAGUUACUUGUUGAUUUGUCUGGUUGAUGAUCUCUCUCUUUGUUUGGAUCUUCACGAACAUCCUGAUGCUGGUUUUCCAGAGUCUGAGAUGCUUCUUGAGUUGUAAGCUUUGGAAGGUCUGGAGCAGGUUCAGACUCUUCUUGAUGAGUCUGAUUUGAUUCAUCUUGCGUUGAGUCUUGAAAUUUGACAUUCAUUGACUCCUCCACAGACUGGCUCUUCUUGUUAUAGACUCUGAAGGCUUUGCUUGAUGUAGAAUAUCCAAGGAAGAUACCUUCAUCUGAUCUUUCUUCAAACUUACCAACUCGAUCUUUUGCAUUUUUCAAUAUAAAACAUUUGCAACCGAAUACAUGAAAGUAUGAAACAAUAGGCUUCUUAUCUUUGAACAACUCAUAAGGGGUUUUCUCUAGAAUAGGUCUUAAGAAGACUCUAUUGAAGAUAUAACAUGCUGUUGAAACAGCUUCAGCCCAAAAUUGUGAAGAAAUCUUGCUUUCAAUUAAAAGAGUUCUAGCCAUUUCUUGAAGAGAUCUAUUCUUUCUUUCCACAACUCCAUUUUGCUGAGGAGUAUAUGGAGAUGAUAACACAUGAUUAAAGCCAGAUUCAUCACAAAAUUUUGUAAAAUCUUGAUUUUCAAAUUCACCUCCAUGAUCUGUUCUUAUACUUGAGAUAACACAUCCUUUUUCAUUUUGAACCUUUUUAGCAAACUUUUCAAAAUACGAGAAGGUUUCGGACUUACUUGCAAGGAAAUAUACCCAAGUAAAACGGGAGUAAUCGUCCACAAUUACUAGGCAAUAUUUCUUACCUCCAAUACUCUGUGUUUUGGUUGGUCCGAAGAGAUCCAUAUGCAGCAACUGUAGUACAUGAUUAGUAGAGACAUGAUUUAUUGGCUUAAAUGAAUUUCUUACCUGCUUUCCCAGAAUACAUGGAGUGCAUGGAUCAGUCUUUUGAUAAGGUAAUUUGGGUAGUCCUCGAACAAGCUGCUUUGAUGAGAUUUUGGCUAAUUGCUUCAUGUUGACAUGACCAAGCUUUAUGUGCCAUAAGCUUGCUUCAUCUUGAAUUGAGAUAAAACAUUGCGAUUCAUUUGGUUUCACAUCCAGAAGAUAGAUGUUUCCAUGUCUACGACCCAUGAAAGACUGAGUAGAGUCUUUACUGAUUCCAGAACAUAUUCCUUCUUGAAAGAAGAUCUUGAAACUAGUAUCACACAAUUGACUAAUGCUCAGAAGAUUGUAAUUGAGUCCUUCCACUAAGGAAACAUUUCUUAUUGUGAGAUUUCCAAUUUUCACAGUUCCAAAUCCCACAAUACUUCCUUUGUUGUUUCCUCCAAAUGAAACUUUUCCACCAUUUACUUGAGCAAGCUUUAUAAAACAAUUUGAGUCUCCCGUCAUGUGUCUUGAGCAUCCACUGUCAAGAUACCACUUUACCUUUUUCUUGACGGUGACCUGCAUUUAAAAAAGAGUCUCCAGCUUUCUUUGGUACCCAAACUUUCUCGGGUCCUUUGGUGUUAGUAACAUAAGCAGUAUUAGCCCAUAUUUUCUUAACAGGUUUCCAAACCAUAGGACACUCUUUUUCAAAGUGAUCCGGACUGUUGCAUUUUGAACAUCUUAGAGCAUUUUUACCUACAGAUUUUACAAAAACUUUCUUGAAGUGAUUUUUGUAAACCUCUCUCGAGAGUCUUUUCUUAAUUCUUUCUUUUACUUUAGGAAAAUCAAUCAAGGGAAUUGUUUCUUCUGACAUACCUAGACCGGACUUAUUGAAGUAAGGUCUUUGAGCUGAAAGAAUUUUCUCAAGUUUUUCAGACUCUAUUGAAAAUUUCUUUGAUAUAUUUGAUAAGUCUGUUUUUAAAAAAGCAUUUUCUUUUAAAAGAUUAUCUUCAUUUUCUUUAAGAUUAGAAACAGUCAAGUCUAGACUUUUAACUCUUUCUACUAAAACAUUUUCCUUUUGUUUUAGAGCUGAGUUUUCCUUUUUCAGUUCGGAAAUUCUUUUGAGAGAAGUCUUAAGACUAAAACAUAGUUCAUCAAUGUAUUUAGAAACUUUGACAGGAAUUUUAAAAUUACUUGCCUCAAAUUCACUGUCUGAGUCUGAUCCAGAGUCUGAGUCUGAUUGUGCCAUUAGACAUAGAUUGGCAUAUUCAUUAUCACUUUCUUCACACUCUGUAUCACUCCAAGUUUCGGCUUUGAGAGCUUUUCGAAAUUUUUCAGUUUUUCCUCUCUUCUUCUUCAGAAGAGGACAGUUGGGUCUGAUGUGUCCCUUUUUCUUACAUUCAAAGCAGACUACGUCUUUGUUUGGUUCAUCAUCAUCAACAGACUUGGUCUGCUGUCUUUGAAAGCUUUGUUUCUUUGAGUUGAACCUUCUUCCUUUUCUAUUCAGUUUUCUGGAUCUUCUUAUCAUGAGAGCAAGCUCCUCAUCGUCCAUAUCAUCUUCAGAAUCUGUAUCAUCAGAAUCAUCAUUUGAUUUUAAUGCAAUGGAUUUCUUACCUUUUGGAUCUUCAUCUUCAUUGAUCCGUUCCAUUUCAUAAGACUGAAGAGUUCCAAUUAGCUCGUCGACAGAUAGUGGCAUAAUUCUUUGCGUCUCUCUUAUCGAAGUCUUUAUGUGAUUCCAAUCCUUGGAGAGUCCACGCAGUAGCUUGUUUACCUUCAUGGGAUCAGAAGUUGGUUGACCUUGAUUUUCAAGACCAUUCACAAUAUCUGUAAAACGACUAAACAUGUCAGAUAUAGAUUCUCCUGGUUUCAUUCUGAAGGCUUCGUAUUGACCGAGAAGAAUGUUGAUUCUUGUUUCUUUCACUCGAUCUGUUCCUUCAUAGGUGAUAUGCAAUCUGUCCCAAACUUCUUUUGUUGUACCACAAGAAGAUAUUCUAUUAUAUUCAGUUGGUGAUAAAGCACAAUAUAAGGAGUAAAUUGCUUUUGCAUCGAGUGCUUGUCUCUUGAAUAUUUCUUCUUGAGACAUUCCGCUGGUUUCAUCAAUUUCUUUUCCUCUUUCAGAGACUGAUGCAGUGGUAGGAGUAAUUCAUUUUUCUACAACGUCCCAUUCCAAAGGAUCCUUUGAUCAUAGGAAAGCUUUCAUCUUGUUCUUCUAGAUGUUGUAAUCCUUUCCAUCAAAGUAGGGUGGUCUGGUAUUGCUUUGCCUUUCCACAAGCCCUGGUGCUAGCAUACUAGCCAUGGAUCUUUUACUACGAAGUAAAACACUUCAAAUAAAGUAAGUACACAGGCUCUGAUACCAAUUAAUAUUGCUAGUAUGAGUACCUAGAGGGGGGUGAAUAGGUAUAUAAAAGAUUUUUCAACAAUUGCACAAUACUAGACAGUUGAAGGAAACGAUAAUCAAAGUAAGACUGAGAGAAGAGAAAAUUGAACACGCGGUUUAUAGUGGUUCGGCUUAUAUCAAGCCUACGUCCACUCUUCUUCACUGACAGCCUAUUGGCUAGAUUCCACUAUGAACAAAAGAGAAGUUACAGCACAACUUUGCCUUGAUUCCACAGUGUAGAUGUUCUACCACACCUCCUCAAGAUUUCUCACAAAUAUAGACUCUCUUUUGUAUACAAGUAUUCGCUCAAAGGAAUUGUCUAAACAAAAAGAACUUCAGACUUUGGAAUUCUUCUAUCACGCACACCUUGAACAACUAAGACAAUCUUCCUUAUAUACUCCUUUAUGCCAUCAUACCCGUUGGCACUUACCAAAGGAAUUCCUCCAAUCUACCCGUUGGACGGAAUCAAUUAGGAAGAUUGUUCAAGCUAUUAAAGGAACGUGUUGAUAGCCCAUCAAUCCCGUUCGCCCAUACAAUCAGGAUCUCGGUUUCCAUAAGUAGAACCUUCCAAUAAUAUUUAGGCAAUCACCGGAUCUUCAAUUAUCGAGUCAAUCUUCGAUCAAUCAAAGGACUCCGUUAUGUCUUCUCCAGCCACAAGAUCUUCUCCAGUUGAUAAGGUUAAAUCCUUAACGAAACAUCCAGUUCUGGAUAACCUUUCUUCAGUGGAUUAGAGACUGUCAAUGAGGAUAGACUUUGAGUCUUGAGUCUGGCUGUCCGGAGGUCUUCAGACUUUAAAUAGCAGAGUCUACAAGCCUUCAGACUAGACUGAUAGAAAUGUUUUGUCAACUUCAAAACACUUCAAGAAGAUUUCUCCAACAAAAAGUUGUGAAGUACUCUGGUUUGUGUUUUGUAUAAAAAUUUGGUUAUAAGUUUCAAUAUGAAAAAUAUGGCCCUGCUUUUCUAUCCCAUCGUUUUAUUGUCUGGGGAUUUUAACUGCUUUCGCAUGUGCUUAAUAAAUGAAAGGGUUGGCAAUACAUAGUCCUGGGAUAUCGCAUUAUUAAAAUCGACCAAAAAAGAAGGAUGUGUGCGUGCCCGAGGAUCAGGGCGUGACAGGGAGGAACGUACCUUUUUGCAUAACGUAUGUUCCUCCCCCUUCUCUCCCUCAAAAACGCUCCAAAAGAAAGAAUAGUGCGCAAGAGGCGACACCCAUCUUCCCUUCAAGGGGAAUUGGCGUCAUCGGAUCGAACAUGGCCAAAUUCUCUUCCUCAUAUCGGCGUCGGUGUUUAAUUUGUGACUAACAAGGUACGUUCAAUUCUGUGAUGUGCCUUAGAAUCGGUGAUGCAUGUGUUUUUUCCCGGGCUCGUCUUCCGCACAAGUUUAGGGGUUCGAUUUAGUGUCGAAUCCGGUUUUUGGGAAUUCGACAAUCCCUACACAUAGGAUCACGUAUCUAAAAUCUCUAAACCAAAGAAGUGAACAUGCUGGAAUGCACACGAUUCGCUUACUUAGGAACCUACCAUCAACUCACCCCAACAUACAUGCAAGGAGAGAUGGGAGAGACAGAUAGAGAAAUGUCUAGAUUUUGUUAAGAGUACUAAUUGUUGGAGAAAUCCUCAUGAAGAGUUUUGAAGUUGACAAAACGUAUCCUUCGGUCUAGUCUGAAAGUCUGCAGACUCUGUCAGUUUAAAGUCUGAAGACUUCCGGACAGCCAGACUCAAGACUCAAAGUCUAUCCUCAUUGACAGUCUCGAAUCCGUUGAAGAAAGGUUAUCCAGAACUAAGUGGUUUGUUCAGGAUUUAACCUUAUCAUCUGGAGAAGAUCUCGUGGCUGGAGAAGACAUAUCAGAAUCCUUUGAUUGAUCAAGAUUGAUUCAAUGACUGAAGAUUCGAUGAUUAUCUAUAUAUUAUUGGAAGGUUCUACUUAUGGAAACCGAGAUCCUGAUUGUAUGGGCAAACAGGAUUGAUGGGCUAUCAACAUGUUCCUUUAAUAACUCGAACAAUUUUCCUAAUUGAUUCUGUCCAACGGUUAGAUUGGAGGAAUUCCUUUGGUAAGUGCCAACGGAUAUGAUGGCAUAAAGGAGUAUAUAAGGAAGUCGUUCUUAGUUGUUCGAGGUGUGCGCAAUAGAAGAAUUCCAAAGUCUGAAGCUCCCAUUUGUUUAGAUAAAUCUCUUGAGCGAAUACUUGUAUACAAAAGAGAGUCUAUAUUUGUGAGAGACCUUGAGGAGGUGUGGUAGAACAUCUACACUGUGGAAUCAAGGCAAAGCUGUGCUGUAACUUCUCUUUUGAUUAUAGUGAAAUCCAGCCGGUGGGCUGUCAGUGCGGAAGAGUGGACGUAGGAUUGGAAUAAUCCGAACCACUAUAAAUCCUGUGUUUAAUUUUCUCUUCCUUACUCUCUUUACUUCAAACGUAUAUCAAUCUGUUAAGAAUUGCUUCCGUAUUCAAGAAUAAUUGUUUGUGCGCCUAUUCACCCCCCUCUAGGUGUUUAUACUAGCUAUAUCACUAAUACCUACCACGUCCACAGGAAGUUCUGAAUGAUUAUCUUUUCCCUUGAAUACCCCAGUCCUUGUUAAUAUAGAAAACGAAGGAUCUCUUGCCUGAAGGAGUUGUUAUCAGUACUGGUGAUUGUGUUCGGAAAAAUUAAUGAUAUGAUAAAAUACAAUUCUCAAUAUGAAAUAUACCUGUUGUGCGCCUCUAAUGUCAAUUUUGGAUUAUCUCCUAUCAUGUAGAGUUCUAAAACAACGAAUUCCAGAGUAUGUAUUACACUCUUCGCGAGUGUAAGUUCUUGGUGCCGAGUCCUUGUUGUAUAGCUGUAUAGCUUUUGGUUAAAGUCAAUAUAUUUCUUACCUUUACCAAAAAAAAAAAAACAAACAAACAAACAAACAAAGAUGGCAUAAGAUUCCUUAACACGGUCUCAACAUUUCCAUAGACAAAUGGAUUUGGCCUCCCAUACGAUGUAUAAACCAACAGAAUGGGAUGUAUUCUGCAAAACAGGGACAAGUAAACACUACAUAACACAAGAUUGAAGAUUAAUGCAUGUCGCUUUGCUGCAUUGAGGUAAACUAGGCCCACACAAGGAUCUUAUAGGCUUUUCUUUAAUUUUUUUGUGGAGAAUAUUAGAUCAAAAUCCAUGCAAAACCAAACAUUGAGAAGUUGAAACCUCACUAUCUUACCUGUUAUAGAUUGCUACUAACGCAAUCCUGAAAGCUCCCGUACUCAGACACCUAGUAGGAAAAGUAGCUUGCCUUGGCACUUUGUCAGCUAGUCAUCAGCCAGUCUUUAGUUCCACCAAGGCUUCAAAAACUCAAAAUUGCAGCUGGCAUCACAAAUGGCAUAGCUUACUUGGUAUUCGAGGUCAUUAUUUGCAAAAAAAAAAACAAGUGUGGUUGCUUUCCAGCCUCUCUUCCAGGAAGCCCACCCGUUCUUAUUAUGUUGCAGAGCACCUAAACCCAAACUUGAGUAUCACUGAAAUUUUUUAAUAGACACAUACAAACAGACAUAUGAUAACACUCCAUUUCAUCACUUUUUCCAAACUAGAUGUCAGCACCCACUAGACUUUUAAAAAGAUGAUGACUAAAGUUGCAUAGCAGUUACUGAAUAACCAAACAAAGCGUCGUGUCUUUUGAUAAUCAGUUCUAAGAUUUAAAACUAGCGUGACGAAAAGCCCAGUAUGGACUCGACAACCGAAUUAGAUAAUCUAAGAAAGCACAAGGUCCUUUAGGGUGGUCACAACCUAGAUAUCUCUGCUCCAGUCAAUAGAAUCACUGACUACAAAUGCUGCCUGAACUCUCUGUGUUUGCACAUCAAUUUUAUUCUUUCCUAUCAUAUUAGAAGUGUUAUUUUGGUCAAUGUCUGGCUUAGUUGUCCAUCUCUUGUACGGUGCCGGUGGAUCAAUGGCAUCAAAGUAGGAAGUGUACUCGUCAAUUGGCAUAACGUUUUUGCAUAGAAAAUACACGAGCAGAAAAAGGGUCAACCAGAGGAGAGAGAGAGAGAGAGAGAGAGAGAGAGAGAGAGAGAGAGAGAGUCAAGUUGUUGGAGUUCUCAUUCUGGAUGAAACAGUGUUGAACACAGACAACUAAGAAGAUUUAUGUAGAGGACUUCUACGUGAUUACUCAAGUCCCUAAGAACUUGAGUGAUUGUUAUUCACUUUGCUUGCUCCUAUAUAUUACCUAGACAUCUUCAAUAGCAAUUUUAUUAGAUACAUAACUUUAUCCUUAUAACUUUUGAAAGCUUUCAAUAAACUUGACACCAUAUACUUUCAAAAGCUUUCAAUAACCUUGACACCAUAUAACUUUUGUCGAACUAUUGUUGUUUAAAAAUUUUGUGUAGACAUUAAAUAGCAAGGGUAUGUGUGGGCUUGCUUUUAUUUCUCUUUUCAGUGAUCUACCUUAACCAUUUCUAGCAAGCCUUUUUUUUUCUUGAGAAUGCAUUGAACUCCUUGUCUACUAAGCUUCUAAAGUAGUUUUGGAUGGUUGUGCAGCCUAAAUUAUACUUGUGGCAACUUUGUCUUUUCCUGUUCUAAAUAUGAGGUUUGCUGAUGGACUAGAAGUUAUGAACAAUUGCCAGAUGCACAAAUUUAUUGAUUAUGUUUGGUUGUGGCAAUUUUAUAUCGAUUUACAAAUUAAAAAUGCCCCACAAUAUGUAGCAUUUUGGUAUCUCAGGUUUGCUUUUUGGAAAGUUGUGUGAUUGAUUGAUCUCUUGCAUCGAAUAAUAGGGAGAAAUGGAUCUAGCUUGUAAUACUCUAGCUGACCAUUUAAGCUUGAAGUAAAUAAAGUGUGAUCACUGCUUCGAGGAAAUUUUAACUCUGGCUAGGUGCUACAAUGGGCAGGAAUUUAUGUGGCUAACUGAGCAUUAGUACAUGCAUUGGCAUGCCGGAAUAGUUUUGUUAUGAGGGCACUUUGAGCAACUAAUGAUGUUGAAUUUAUCAAAGAAAAUAAGACAGUAAUUUAGGUUUGUUUAGGUAAAUCAACUAACACCCUUCAAUCUCCCAAUAUAAAGAUGAGGUUUUGUGAUAAGGUAAAAAUGUGUAGAAAGACUAGAAGGAGUUUGUUUUUUGAAUCUAUUGGAGACAGAGGUAGUUAAUUGUAGUGCGAAGUGAAAUUAUAUGUUUCUACAUUACUUAUCAAAGUGACUUGUUACUGUUGAUUAUGCUUCUACUAUUUUUGUAGUCAUCAUGUGUUCUAGAUGUUGAUUGCUUGUAUAUUUAGAUCAUAAUAUUGCAGAGGCAUUGGUAAUUCCAUCUUUUUUGGUUGUUAGUGGAACUUCCUUUUAGUAGAUCUAAGACCUCUCUUUGUUUUGCAACUUCUUUGGAGUGAAAUUUUCCUCCGUUUUUCUUAAUUCCAUGAUGAGACACAAAAGAGGUAAGAAAACACUUUGUGGUGCUCGACACAUUAAUUUAGCAGGGCUCUCAUCAGUCAGCUCUUCAGUUCCUGCUAUGACAUCUGAGGAUGAAUGUGGUAGAAUUCUUGAUUUCUUUUCCAACUUAGCAGUUAGCACUGCAUAUCAGUAACUAAAUUCGGUUUUUAUUGUGCUUUGAUGAAUGUCUUUUUCCUGUGAUAGAGCUGGCUCUAAUGAAGCAAAAGAGGCAUUGAAGAAACUUGGCGCUGAAGAAGUGUUCACUAAGAGCCAAUUAGAAGUAAAGAAUGUCAAGAGUCUACUGGAACUGUCCAUCCAUUAACCCAUUCUACCAUAUUCUUAUGCAUGGACACAUCCAUUUUUGGCCAUUGGCACUUGAGUUCUUUAUUUACAUCUUAUUGACCUUGUACUAGGGUGAUCUAAAAGAACCCGCCCUUGGAUUAAACUGCAUUGGUGGCAAUGCUGCUUCCUUGGUGAUGAAGUUUUUUAGGUGCAACAAGUGUUAACUUUGUGUCGAGUGCUUCCCUUAUCUUUCUAAAGAGAGCUGAUUUAGUUUUGUUCUCUGGUGGAGAGGAACCAUGGUGACAUAUGGUGGGAUGUCUAAGAAACCGAUUACAGUGUCAACUUCAUCUUUUAUCUUCAAGGUAAAUUAAGAAGCAGCAAACUAAAAUUUCUGCCUAUGGUUAUGAGGUUAUUUCAGUCAAGCCUUACAAUUUGACUUGUCUAUGUCUAGGUCUCAGUCUUGGCAAUGCCCUAUAGUUUUAUUUUUAGUUUAAAUUUGGCCCAAAAUCUCAAUUUCAGUAUUUGAUGCAACCAAAUUUGAGCAGAAAAAAAAUUUAUCCCUGGAAUUGAGACUAAGAGGAAUGUAUAAACCAAUGCAAUAAUGGUCCUUAUGGUUUGCAGGAUCUUUCUUUGAGGGGGUUUUGGCUGCAUAAUUGGAUCAGUUCAAAUAAUGUAACAGAGUGUAGAAGAACCAUAGAUCACUUGCUGGAACUAGUGCGUGAUGGAAAGUUAAAAUACGAGUUCGUCUUUUGUAUACGACUAAUCAAAUUGCUGUAUUUAGGUUUCCAUUUCUUUAUAGUAAUUUUCAAUAGUAUUCAUCCUCAAGAUAGUGUGUUGGGAUUGUGGUGCAUAUGAAUUUCUCCAAAACUGCAGGACCGAGCUUGUUCCUUUUAGUGAUUUCCACGUUGCAUUGGAUAAAUGACCGGGAAAACAUGGGAGCCAUCCUAAGCAAGUCCAAAAGUUCUAAGGCUACUGAAUAUAUAAGGGCGGUAAGAAGAUGGAAAAAUUCUGUGUCAUAUCCUUCAAGCAAUCAGCUUGUUCUGAAGUUCUGAGGUGCUGGAUCAACCGAGCACGAUAAAUAUGUAUCUUUUCCCUUAUUAUUAUUUUCUCUUUGCAUAAGUGAUGCAUCGUUUGCGUUGAGGUAAUUUCGUUGCUACUUAUUUUCACCAAUUUCCAUUCUGAAUUUGUUUUGCAUCAUGCCAUCCAAUCUCAAACUAAUCUCAUGCAACAUGAGGUCCACCUACUACGGCUGAAUUUGGAGAACCAAACAUCGCCCCAUUUGGUAAGGGUCCAUAAAGGUUUCAGAUUUGCCAAUUACAAUUCUCAUAUACAUGUGACCAAGAACAUUGGGAUACUUUUCCAAAAAUCAUGUAAUCGACAUCACAUGCAUUGAGAAAAGAGUAAGAAGAACCAUAAAUUAUUCAUUUGUUUUAACCUAAUUCAAAUGGGAUGUGGACCGCCUUCAAGGAACGUUAUACAUACAUGAUGGGCAAAAUCAAUAGAAGACUAGCUAAUGGUAAUUACUUUUUAUGAUAGGGAAAACACAUAAUAGAAUAUCGUACUGGCUUCCCCCCGACACUCCUGGGGUACCUCUGGGGCACUGUGGACCCCAGGCAUCCAAAGGGCAUCAACCCUUGCGAUCCUUUGGGUAUCCCGACUCUCGGGGCAUUGUCGACCCGAGGGUUCGACGGCAUCAAUAACACAUCAAUCAUAAUGUAGCUAACAAAACAUUUUAAAUGCCAAAAACAUUUCUGAAUCACCAUUAUAGAAAAUCCUUUGGGUUCUUGAAAAUUCCCUUGUAUGGUAUCAAGUAAUGUGAAACGAGGUUUUCAAUGACGCAUCAAUACAACAACCAUAGUCUUUAAAAAUAGAUCAAUCUCAUAUCAAUGAAAUCAAUUCAUAAAAUCGAAAGCAUGAUACCAAAUCCAUAAAAAUCCAUUUUCACGUUUAAAUUUCAAAUGCAUUUCAAAAUCCACAUAAAUAGCCUCGAGUCGCACUUGCACAUCACGGCUCGAAAUAAAAUAAUUUAUUAAAAUCAUAAGUAAUUUGAAAUCAGCACGUUGGCAAAUCCAAAUCUCAAUCCCAACUCUAAUGGUUUGGAAUGUUUUCUGUAAAAAGUUCAGAAAUCUUUAAAAUAUAAAACAUUUCUUAAAGCAUUUGGGUACGGUGUCACAGUACCCACAAAUUUUGAUGCAAAUCAAGAGAUUUUCUAAAACGAUUUGUGAACAAAACCUCAAGGUGCUACCACCUCAACAUUUGGUGUAAAAAUCGAAGGCUUAAAUUGAGGUACUCACGAAAACUUCUCAAUUUUCCAAUCUAACUGGACUACAUUUGACAACAACGGCGGUGCAUUACAUAGGUUAGUAGACUUUCACUUACCUUAGGUCCAAAGGCUUUGACGGCAAGAAAUUGGAAGCUCGUGAUUUCGCGGAUGUGGCUGAGGCUGUGGGACGGCUGAAUCAGCGCGACAGGGACGGCGGCUGCUCAUGCACGGCGAAGGGAACAGUCCCUUUCUUUCCCUCGCUGCUCACUCUCCUCGGUUUCUCUCUCUCUUUUGCUCGGUUUUGCUAUUCCCGUCACUGGUUUUGUUGACAAAAACCAGUCAACAAAAGGAAAGCUUCGGCGGCAGAAGGAGGCGAGGACAGGUGAAUGGGAACGUGGCUUGCAUGCUGUCCCGGACGCUCUCUCCGCUGGUCACCGAAGAGGGAGAGAGAGACGUGGCUUGCAUUCGGUCUUCUCUCGCCAGCUCGAAGCCGUUGUUGCGUGUCUUCAGCUGCUCGAACGGCGUGGCUUCUCCUCGGUCAACUUCUCCAUUUAGUUGACCCUGAAUUUGUUGCCGCUCGCCACCUCGCAUGCUGCAUGCGGACGUGGCCUUUGCUGGCCGCUCGAAGCAACUCACAGCUGCUUCCUUCGGUCAACAAUUUCCUCAAUUGUUGACCGUCCAAAGACGUGGACGUAGGCUGCAUGGGUCAAAGGAUGUGCAUGGUUGACCGGCCAAAGAAAUAAACGAAAACGUGGCCGUUGGUGAGGCCAUUCGCCGGGCUAUCCAAGGAGAAAAAUCGUGUACGAAGCUGUGUUGAUCCGCGGUCCGUUGCGGGGUAAACGAUUGGGAGGUCUUCGACAAUUUUCGUUGUAAACUUUCACAUACGCAUGGCCAUUGCAUGCUACGGGCCUUCAGCUCAGUCAAUUGAAGAGGCCGCUCGGGAUUAAUAUUGGACGUGUGCAAGGCCGUGCAUGGGAAAUUUCUCUCCGAAAGUUGAUGUUUCGGAACAAUGGGUGGUGAUGAAAGGAUGGCCUAAUGCUAUAGUGACGAUGACUGUAACAUCACGGGCCCCACUGUGUAAUAUUGUCCGCUUUGGGUCACAUGCCCUGGCGCGGACGCACCGCCAUCCCAGCCACGGUCUUUUUCCCUCACGGCUUUAAAACGCGUUACACAGAUUAGAUGGACCAAAGCCUUAUAAGCUAACCAAGACCUUCCUCCCUAGGCGAUGUGGGACAAGAGAGGAGGUUGUUACACUCUCCACCUCUUAACAGAAUAGCGUCCUCGCUAUGGCCCCACGGGCAUCAGAACAGCAUUCAAGCUGUGGUCCCACACACGGUCGGGAGUCGGCUCUAAUACCACUUGUAAUAUCCCGGGCCCCACUGUGUAAUAUUGUCCGCUUUGGGUCACCCGCCCUGGCGUGGACGCACCGCCAUCCCAGCCACGGUCUUUUUCCCUCACGGCUUUAAAACAGAGGAGAGGGAGAAUCGAAGAUGGCAACGCAUGAAAGGAGGGGCGGCGGUCAAGACGUGCAACGGAAGCUUGAAGCCAAAAGCCAAAAUAAAUAUUUCGUUUCAUCAUUAAUUUGGUCCCCACAAGCUCCCAAGAUUAUCUUCAUGCCCCCUAAUACUUUCUCAACAUUUAAUCCCACCAAUAAUCCAAAUUGAAGCCAAAAAUGCAGCUCUCUUCCAUUGCUCCGAAUUUAACCAAAAUAAACUUCAAUUUCCUCACUCAAUUCCCCAAAUCGAUGUCCAAAUAUUCCAAGGAAAAAGCCCAUAAAUUUUCUGUAAGUCCCCAACACCAUAUAGCUCGGCUUUGAAAUCUAAAUUUUCUUCAAUUGAGCCCAUCCGAAUUUAUGCUAUUUUUCCGCAACGACCGAAUCGAUUUUCUGUAAAAUCUUGAACUCAACAAAAUUACUCCGAAAGACAAGACGACAUCCUAUAAUUGAAUUGUCAUAUGCUCGAACAUCCGAUUUCCGAAACCGAAUUCAAUUUCGUGGUUAAAAUCGAUCGAACAUGAUUUUAGUCUUAUCCGACCUAUCGGGUAGCUUUUAGGGAUUUUACCGCAAUUAUAUCCCUUAACGGCUUCACCCAAUAGAUUGGUUAACUCGUGAGUGAUCAACUCAGAGAAAAAUGACCAUAGACGCGCCGGCGAAAUGCCCAUUUCAUAUAUUCGGGACGGGGUUGAAAUUUGGGAUGUCACAACUCUUCCCCUCUUAUAAAAAUUUCGUCCUCGAAAUUUAAACCUUUACCAAUCCUUAAAAAAAAAGAUGGGGGUAUUGUCGUCUCAUCUAGUCUCACUUUCCUCGGUUGCUUCUUCAGUCCCGUGGUGUUGUCAGACCAUUUUGACCAAGGGGACUGUCUUGGUUCACUGAAUCUGAUCUUUCUGAACCAACAACUAAACCAACUUCUCACGUACGACACUUUGUCAUUCACGUCUGAUUCUUCAAGAUUUAGCACGUGAGUCGAGUUAGGUUCGUACGUCCUCAACCUCGACACGUGAAAGACGUCAUGCAUUUGUGCCUACCCCGGUGGCAACGCAAGACAAUACAUUAGGAUCUCGAUUCUUUUCAGAAUCUCAAAGGAAACUACAUACCUCGGUUCCAGAUUUCUCCCCUCCUUGCUGAAGCGCAAGGUAUCCCUCAUUAGUGACACCUCCAAAAAUAUGUAAUCACCAAUUUGGAACUUUCAAGGCCUUCAAUGCUCAACAAUACAACUUUUCUGGCGACACUGAUCGGUCUAUAAUAUGAUUCUGAUCAUAACAACUGCAAUCACUGACUGCUGAAUUGACCUUCGGCCUGUGAUCUUUCUUUCUCUAAUCUCAUCUCAACAAACUGAAGUUCUGUACACUCUGCUCUGUUCUACCUCAAAAGGAACUAUCUGACUGAUAUGCUGAAACUGGAAAUCCUUGAUUCUAAAUCUGAUAUAGGUUUGUCACUGGUACCCACGCAGACAAACUGUCUGACACACAUACACUUAUGCAUGUCUAUUCCAAUCAAGAUCCUUCCAUACGGUGAUAAAGUGAGUCGACUUCAUUAGUCUAUCGACCACUACCCUAACUUGAGUCAUUAUUCCUCUAACUCCUUAGUAAACCCAUCACAACAUUCUAUCGUGAUAUACUUCCAUUCCUACUCGGGACUCUCGAGUGAUUAUAAAAGUAUUCCUGGUUUGCUUUACUGAACUCCCACUCACUAGCACAUCUGACACUUACAACCUGUCCGGCGAUAUCUAUCUUCAUAUCGGUCUACCAAUCGAGCUAACGUUGAUUCUGACCUUCCUCGCAUUAUAUGGUCAAAUACUGCAAUACCAUAGCGAAUUUCCUAACAAGGUCUUCCCCUCAAGUUUCGUACUGUCUGCCACCUAUCAUCACCCAUGAUACUUCAACGUUCCAUCUUUCGAAAUUUGAAAGUCAACUUUUCCCUUAUCGAUAUCCUCUUACAGGAUAAUCUGAACAUCCUGAUUUGUCAACUGAAGCAUAUGAUUCUAACUUGAAUAUCCGAUUCAAUUUUGAGGGCGGCUAUAGAGUUCAAAAGGUAGCCUACCUCAAAUUUGAAAACCAAAUUUCAAACUUUCUCAGGUAAGUUCCAUACUUUAACCAGUAUAUAUUAAAGACUCUUGACUCAACGCAUCAGUGACUUCAUUCUUUCCCCCAAGGUGAUACCAAAUAGCACCAUCCUAGUCCUGCCAAGGUUCCGGUUCACGACACCGUCUCAUAUUCAACCCAUUAGGUCUCAACUGGCGGGACGCAUAUACAAUAAUCUUAUCAUGUUGCAUCAGUACGCACCCAAUCCUCCGCACAACACCUCACUAUAGAUGUCGCUUCACUAAUAAUUGUUUCGGUCUUCAUAGGGUCCACGAAAAUUCUUUCACCUUUUUCAGGUGUCUCUCUAGCUCCUCAGCAUUUCUUGAAUACACCAAAAUAUCGUUGAAAGAUACGAUCACAAACUGAACUCGAUAUUCCUUGCACACUCGGGUUGUCAAAUCCAUGACAGCAACUGGAAUGUUCACCAGGCCAAACAAUCUUACAAUACUGUCAUAAAGAUCAUAUCAAGUACGAAAAGCUGUCUUCAGUAUAACCUCCUUCCUGGUUCGUAACUGACGACAUCUUGUUCUCAAGUUGAUUCUUGAAAAUAUCAACACUCUUGAUGUCUGGUCACCCAAUUCAUCGAUCUUUUACAAUGGACAUUUGUCCUUGAUCGUCACCUAAUUGAGUUGAUGAUGGUCGAUGCACACUCGUAACAAACCAUCUUUCUUUUUUCUCACAAACAAAACUGAUGUUUCCCUAAAGUGAUGCACUGAUAUGCAUGAAUUCCUUAUUCAUCAAUCUUCACAUCUGCAUCUUCAGUUCUACCAAUUCAGACAACAACGAAGCCUUCGAGAGUGGCUCUAUCAUGGUGCUAGCUCGAUCGCAAUUUCUAUCUCUUUCUCUGACGAUGGUCUGACAGUUCUUGUGACAACACAUCUAGAAAUUCUUAGACCACUGAGAUGUCCUCCAUCUCUAGUUCUCCAAUUUGUCCUACCCAAGACAAUCGCCAAGCAACCUUGGCAACCUCCGUCUAACAAACAAGUUGCCUUCAGCCAACGAGAUUAAUGAAAUCAAAGAUUCUUUUCGACACUUUCACAUGCUAAUGGACUAAACCGAAUUACUCCAUGACCAUGAUUCAUUAUCACAAGAUGCUCCAUGAACCCACACUAUUCACAUGGUGUCAAACUCACACCUCAGCAACUAGUCAAGCACAACUAUUGCUAGUGAUUCCCCUCUCUUUCACUUUUACUUCAACAAUUUAAAUUCUACCAAUUCAGCACAAAACUCUACUGCGCUACUCUUAUAAAAUCACCUCCAACACAUUCUAGUCAUUCUCAGACACUGGAUUUAUCCAUGUUUCCUUCUACAAAUCCAACACCUAUCUAGUGAGUCUUCUACCUCCUGUCAAGUAACAGCAUGCACUCUUUUUGGUUGUCCCAUCUAUCUGCUAGGACCACUUCUGUCCAAAUAUCCAUGUUGGCUACACUCCAAACAAUUUCUCAUCCUAGGAAGGACAUAAGAUCGAUCUCUGUCAUCAUGUCCAGAAACAAUAUGAUCCAUUUGACUCAGUGCUAACCUGACUGCCCCACCCUUCCUAUUGGGUGAAAUAGGAUACUUUUCACUCGACCUCGGUCUUUUCCCUGACCGAUUUCCAUUUCUACAUGUAUUGAAUCUAUACCUCGACUCGAAUACAACGGCUCGCUCCCAGAUCAUAUCUUCACACUAGACCUCAGCAAGUGCGACAACAACGGCGGUAGUGGCAGCGACAACAACGGCGGCUCGGUCCUGAGCUUGCUGGCUCAACCAAUUCCAAGGACACUAAUGCCUGAACGAUCCUAUCGAACCUAGGAUCGCUCGAUGCUGCUACACUAGUACCAAUCUGCUAUGGUACUCUUACACUCGAGCUGGCCAGAGCCAACACUCUGCCAUAACCACCUCGGGUACCGACCUUUGUCGAUGCUUUAUCUCGAGUCACAGAGGACACUGCCCUCUUACUAGGAGUACUCAACUCCUGCUCACUCAUGAUCAGUCUUUACACUGAAACCCGUCUUCCAAAUCCACACUAGAUUAGAAGGUGAGCGAUUCACAUACAACAAACAAUUCUAGCAUUCAGCUAACACAGACAUGCACCGGCAUGAACUUAAAGGCCUUUCUUACUACUAUCCCAAGACUCAUCGCUCCUUAUCACCCUAAUCUUGAACUUCGCUCUGAUCCCACAAAAAGGGGAUGUCACGCCCCGAUCCUUGGGCACGGACACAUCCUUCUACUUGGUCGAUUUUAUAAUGCGGUAUCCCAAGACUACGUAUUGCCGACCCUUUCAUUCUUAAUAGCACAUGCGGAAGCAAUUAUAAAUCCCCAGACAAUAACACAAUGGGAUAGAAAAAGCAAUGCCAUAUAUUUCAUAUUGAAAUCCACAACCAAACCUUUAUACAUGGCAUAACUCAAAGUCUAUUCACAAGACUAUUCAUAACAUUCUAGUUUCACACUAUUCACAUUUAGACAAGAUUCACAAAAGAGGAUAGGAUCUCAAUCCUCAUCCGGGUCGUACUCAGGAUCAUCCUAAUCCUCUUCUGACUCUUCUUCACUAAGCUCACAUCCUUUAAGCUCUUCAUCUUUUACUGGCUCAUCGUCCUCUUCUGGUUCCUCCUCCACAGGCUCAUCUACAGGCUUGAAAUGUUGUCCCACAACCGGGAUAAGACUAUGUCUCAGCAAGUUCUACCCCACUAAGACUCGAUUAGGAAACCAAUACGCUAACCGGGCUACCUAUACACGCACGAGUUAGAAGACUUACCUUCGCCUCAAAUUCCACAUGCAUAUUAGCACAAAUCAAUAGGCACCCUAGCAAUCACAUCACAGAUCGAUAUCUCGAUCAAUCGACCUAGUCGAUUACAUGUCAGUCGGAUUAUUUCUAGGUCAUUCAUUUCAUCCCAUAUAACCUCCAAUAGUACACUUAGUCACAAAGCUCCAUUAAUACUCUCGGGCGUCGUUUUCGCCAAGGUGACAUAUGUAACAGACGGUCUACGUACGUUCUUUAAGGCGUCAUUUUCGCACGGUGAUAUUCCUCAUCACAGAACCACGCCCGUCAUAGGUCACAGACAGUUUACGUGUGUUCUUUAAAACACCGUUUUUGCACAGUGAUGUCCUUCAUCAUCGAACCACGCCUGUCACAAGUCAUAGGCAAUCUACGUGCGUUCUUUAAGGCGUCACUUCCGCACAGUGAUAUCCUUCAUCUCCGAACCAUGCCUGCCACAAGUCAUAGACAGUCUACGUGUGUUCUUUAAGGUGUCGUUUUCGCACAGUGAUAUCCUUAAUCACCGAACCACAUUUGUUUAUACUUCGUACCUGAUCGGUCUCAGCCAAUAGAGUUCCCAGUUCACUCUCACGAUUCUUUCCGCUUUACAACUCAUCAAAGCAUUAUAAAGGUUAAAGAACCAAACUCGGCCAUCUACCGAUCAAUCAUUCAAUUCCACUCAAUUCCUAUCAAUUAAGGAAUAAUUUAUCAAAUUGCACAAUCAAUUCAAUUAAGCACAAUGUGGAGCUCAAAUAAAUAAACGGACUACACCACGACAAUCAUCACAAAAUUUCAGUCGUCGGCUAUCCUUGCCUAAUUUUCGAAAAAUAAAUAAUUAAAUAAUUAAUUUCGAAAAUUAAUAAAUAAAUACAAAAAAAUCCAAUUUAGGCCCGUAAUGCCUAAUUGAAGCCCGAUAAGGGUCGGGAAAAAUCCGGAGAUGCAUUCAAUAAAUAGUAUAGGCAGUUCUCUAACUAAGUACACUAACCACCUAACUAAUAUGCAAUGCAAUUAACUAAUAAUCACUAAUCCAUGCUAAUCUAACCACCUAAUUGCACUUAAUUAAAUCUAAUCAACCAUUAAGCAUAAUUAGUCUACUAAGCAAGGAUUAGUGAGAUUACUUACUUGAUUAAAAGCGGGGACCAGGACACCGCGACAACGGCCGAAAUCGGACUUUCGACAACACCGGCGGGCUUGGACCGGGCCUUGAACUUGGCCCAUGCGCUGUACUGGGCUCACUCUUGGGCUUUUCUAUUUUGAAAAUGGGCUAACUUCGCUGGGCUUGAAGACUUCAACUGGGCCGAAAACAGGAUGGGCCCAAAGUUGGGUUGGGCCUGUUGAAGAUGGGCUUGAAAUAAAGUUGAACCGGGCCUGUCUUUGCUGGAGCUGGGCCGAAGAAUCAAUUCUCUGAACUCAACAGGGCUAAUGGUGGGCCGAAGACGCUAGAAUCCACGGCUGCUUCGUGCGAUUCACAUGGCCAGAUGGAGACAGCAAGCUAGGCAGGAGGAUUGAAGAUGGCGGAAGCAGCUGCUGGCAUCCGUUGGUGGGUGUCGCAGUCAAAGAUGGGGAGAAGUAGCUGGUUCGUUGACCGAUCUGUGGGUUGAAACUUCCGUGAUGCUGGCCAGAAGAGGGGAGAUCGUGGGCGCUGGCAGCUGGCGUCGAGCUGGGGCAAUGGACGUUGCUGGAAUCGCUCGCCAAAGACACGAGCUGGAGGAAGCAGUAGCUUCAACGCCGCGUGGAGAGGCGCACAAAGAGGAGUCAGCGAAGUGGCGCCGCUUAAAGACUUAGGCUGAAGAUCUUGCUGGUUGACCGAAUGGGAUUCGGUGGAUUGAAGCCGCGUGGGCUUCAGUCUUCGUGGGCAGAGAAGCGAAGCGGUGGAGGACGUGUGGCUGCAGCUUCGUGGGAUGAGGGUUGACCAUAAGCAGAGGAGAGAUUCGGUUGAGGGGGGGGGGGGGGGGGGGGGGGGGGGGGUUCUCCGGGGGAAAAAAAUGAAAAAAAACAAAGCAGGGGGGGGGGGGAAAUCAAAAUGGGAACCCCGAAAGGGGGGGGGGGGGGGGGGGCAAAAAUUUGCACCGGAUUUUUAAACCCAAAGCCCAAAAAAAAUUUUCCUCCCCCCUUUAAUUUGGUCCCCCCACAACCCCCAAAAAAUUUUUUUUAGCCCCCAAAAAUUUUUUCCACUUUUAACCCCCCAAAAAACCAAAAUGAAACAAAAAAUGCAGCUCUCUUCAUUGCUCCGAAUUUACAAAAUAACUUCAUUUCUCACUCAUCCCAAAUCGAUGUCCAAAUAUUCCAAGGAAAAAGCCCAUAAAUUUUCUGUAAGUCCCCAACACCAUAUACCUCGGCUUUGAAAUCUAAAUUUUCUUCAAUUGAGCCCAUCCGAAUUUCUGCUAUUUUUCCGCAACAUCCAAAUCAAUUUUCCGUAAAAUAUUGAACUCAAUGAAAUUACUCCGAAAGACAAGACGACAUCCUAUAAAUGAAUUGUGAUAUGCUUGGACAUCCGAUUUCCGAAACCGAAUUCAAUUUUGUGGUUAAAAUCGAUCGAACGCAAUUUUAGUGCAAUCCGACCUAUCGGAUAGCUUUUGGGGAUUUUACCGCGGUUAUAUCCCUUAACGGCUUCGCCCAAUAGAUUAGUUAACUCAUGAGUGAUCAGCUUAGAGAAAAAGGUGAGAGUGCUAGUAUGAACAAAAUAAAGGAGUUAGGGAAGAGAAUAAAAACACAAGAUUUAUAGUGGUUCGGCUUAAUCCAAGCCUACGUCCACUCUCCCACGAUAACAGCCUUCUUGGCUGGAUUCCACUAUGCAAUCAACAAGAGAUUACAACUUCGAGUGCAAACACUUAGUAGAUCACACUAGCUCACUAAGUCACUCUCUUGGUAUUUCUCUCACGAUUACAAACGUUUAAGCUCUCAAGAGACAAGUAUAUGAUCAAAAGUCGCUCAGACUUUGGAAUUAUAAAUUCUACGCUCCGUCUCUUACUUGCUCAUCGGUCCAUGAUCUCCUUAAAUACUCCUCCACUUCCAAACUACCGUUGGACAGUAUCCCGGAGAAUCGUCUUCCAAUAUACCCAUUGGACAGCUCUGUAUUUAGAAGAUUUGGUAGCCAUUGAGUGACAAAGGUAGAAUCCCAAAUUGAUUCCGAUCGCCCAUACAAACGAAAUCUUGGUUUCCAUAAGUAAAGCUUCUUCGUAUAGAAAGUUCUUGUCUUCAACAUCCAAUUGCCAAUCAAAUAGAUUGAGUCAAUCAAAUCAAUCUUGAUGUGGAAUCCAAACCAGAUCACUAGCCGUUGUACGAUUGGGCUUGAGUUACGAUUCAUCGAAUCUGGAUGUAAAGUCUGAGUCUGUAGACUUUACAAUAUGAGUCUGUAGACUUUACAAUCUGGGUUUGAACAUAUCUGCUUCUGAACAGAUUUAGCUUUAAGGUCUGUACCCAGUUCAGCUUCAGCAUAGAGUUUGUCUUCUGGUUCAUCAUUCACGUUCAGUCUGGAAUUAGUCAGAGUUGACAGACUUCUGAUGUAGAACAGACUUUGACACUAAAGUCUGGCAGUCUUCAGACUUUGAGUCUUGAGUCUAGCAGUCUUCAGACUUUGACACAGAAGUCUGGAAAUCUUCAGAAUAUACUCUGGACAUAUGUUACGUUCAGUCUUCCGGUCGUCUUCUGACUUUGAUAAUAUCCUUUACAUGUUCUAUUAUCUGCAUGGUCUAUUACUCAACCAUUAAACAUGUUAGUAGCCUUUGAUUUAUUUUGUCAUCUUCAAAACAUCAUAAGGGAUUUCCCUAACAAUCUCCCCCUUUUUGAUGAUGACAAAACAAUCUCUGAAUAUGCAGAUUUGUAAACAUGCUUUUAUUAAUUUAAAUCAAAGGAUAUCAGAAGAUAACAAAUAGAUUGAGCAUAAUAAUAUUUAGAAAAUAAUCACAGCUCAAUAUUAUGCAAUAAAUAAUAUCAACCAAUCAGCACAUAUGCAUAUUCAUAUCUUCUCCCCCUUUUUUUCAUAAUCAAAAAGCGAUAGUAAUGGAUUCACGUAGAGAAUGAUAACAAAUAUCUUGCAUGAAUCACAAUUUCCACAAAUCAGCUUUUAUCGAAUAUUAAAGAUAUGCAAUAUAGCUUACUUCGAUCAUAUCAGCAAAUAUCCAAUAAAAAUCAUGGAUGCAUCAUGAAAUUCACGUACACUUUUUGUCAUAAUAAAAUGAUAAUAUCAGUAAGAGAUUUAUUAAUGACAAAAGGUAAUAAAAGAUGCACUAAUCAGAUUUUUUGAACAAAUUCUGACACAUUUACCUUUCAUUCCAUCCAUAAUAAGAUCACGAUCAAUUCAAAAAGAUUUUUCCAAAAUUGAUCAAAGCUCCCCCUCAAUUUGUUGCCUUUUUGAGAUGAUCACGAUUCUUUUCCUUUUCUUUUGAAUUUGCUUUCUCCCCCUGUGAUCAUGGCAAUAUUUGCGAAUAGAAAUAAUUGUUGCUUGUGCACGUUGAAUAGAAUAUUUUUCCAGUAUUUCCUUUGUAGCAACAACAUCCGCAACGAUCAUUUGCAUUUUGAAAUUCGAGGCAAAAAUUUAUUUUUUUCAAUCAAGCUCAUCUUGAAUUCAACCUCCAGAAGAUAGAAUAAAAUCUUCAUGGUUUUCUGAUCAGUUUUCCAAAAUCCAUAUGGAAGAUUCUUUUGUGACCUGCAAAUUCUUAUAUAACAGAUAAUAAUCUUUGCAAAAAUGUCACAUAAUAUCUUCCUUUGAUUUGCGGAUCUAACUUGCUAGAUAUAAUAUAUCUUCUAAGAAUAUAGCAAGAAUAUCCAUGAAUAUGCAGUAAUAUCUUUCGAGAUCAAAGAGAUUUCCUUGAGCAUAAAUUUCAGAUAUGCAUUUUGCAUAAAGAAAAUAGAUAUUUCUGUCACGUGCCAAAAAUUGCAAUAUCUUAUAUUUAUGACAAAAUAUAUUCGCAAUAUAAUAAACAAUCAUCCAAAAUCAUGAUAAAUGCACGUAGAAAGUUGUAAGGCAUGAUGAAAAAAAAUUUCUCUUACCCAGGUAUAUGUUUCAAAUAUACCAUUUGAUUAAAAAAAAUCAUUACCAAUUGUCGCGGGAGAUAUUUUCUGAUUGAACCAAAAUUUGCGUAGAUUCGCAAUCAUCCUUCCCUUAAAGAAUUUCCUGCAAUCAACUCAUUUCCUUUUUGGUAUCCAUCAAUUUGGAUCCUUCCUUGACGUUAGAGUAAAAUAUGAAAUCUCCAUAAUCAAAUAUUCUUUCUUAAAUCAUCAUAACAAGGUAUUCAAAGAAAGAAUAUUAUGCACAAUAAUAUCUUGCAUCAUAAAUUAAUGUCACGUAAAAGAGAUUUUUAUUUGGCAAAAUAUGAUAAAAUCUGAGAGUAUAAAAUUAAACCAAAUAAAUUCUUUUGUCUUUAAGCAUGAUAUCAAAAAUGAUCACACGUAUCAAAUUAAAUUUCGAACCACAAAUCACACAAUUCUUUCUUCAAUAAAGCAAAUCAAAAAAAUAUGAUCAUUAUAAAAUCUGAAUCAAUCAAUGAUAUAUCGAAUUUCAAGCAUAAUGAGAAUUAUGUGCCCAAAAACAUUCCUUACCAACUUCUUCUUUUCCUUUAUUUCCUUGAUUUCCUCAUCGGAUUCUGAGUCUGGUUCUGAAUCAGACUCUGAUUCUGAGUCUGUGUCUGAGUCAGACUCAGAUUCUGAAUGUGCCAUCAAACAUAGAUUUCCUUGGUCAUCGUCUUCUUUUAUUGGUCUUUUCUGGCCAUUCUGCUUGUAUUUUCUUCCAUCGAAUUUCCUUCCUUUUCUACUCAGCUUUUUGAAUUUCUCGACCAUAAAGGCAAAUUCUUCAUCGUCCAUGUCAUUUUCUGAGUCUGUUUCAUCAAAAACAGCAUUAGAUAUUAAAGCAAUGGACUUCUUACCUUCAGGGAUCUUCAUCUUUGAGUUGCUCCANNNNNNNNNNNNNNNNNNNNNNNNNNNNNNNNNNNNNNNNNNNNNNNNNNNNNNNNNNNNNNNNNNNNNNNNNNNNNNNNNNNNNNNNNNNNNNNNNNNNUGGUUCCAAUCUUUUGAGAGACCUCGCAAGAGUUUGUUGACCUUCAUUGGAGAAGAAAAUUGCUGACCUUGAUAUGCUAAACCAUUUACAAUUUCUGUAAAACGGCUGAACAUAUCUCCAAUUGACUCUCCUUGCUUCAUCUUGAAGGAUUCAUAUUUGCCGAGCAAGAAGUUUACUUUUGUCUCUUUUACACGAUCGGUCCCUUCAUAUGUAACAUGAAGUUUAUCCCAAACUUCUUUUGAUGUUUCACAUGAAGAGAUUCUGUUAUAUUCAACAGGAGACAAUGCGCAAUAUAAAGAAUAAAUAGCUUUUGCAUCAAGCGCUUCUCUUUUGGACAUCUCCAUCCGAGACAUAGGAGCGGGGAGUUUCGUUUCUUUGUCUUUGCUAUUCUUAUUUGAUGUAGACGCAAUAGUGGGAUUGAUUCCUCUUUCCACAACAUCCCAUUGCAAGAGAUCUCUGGAUCUUAUGAAUGCUUUCAUUCUGUUCUUCCACACGUCGUAUUCCUUUCCAUCAAAAUAUGGUGGCCUUGUGUUGCUUUGCCCUUCCAUAAGUCCUGGUGCCAACAUACUAGCCAUAAAGAAUCUUUAGCUCAAAAGUAAAAACACUUUUAUAAACCGAGCACUUGGCUCUGAUACCAAUUGAGAGUGCUAGUAUGAACAAAAUAAAGGAGUUAGGGAAGAGAAUAAAAACACAAGAUUUAUAGUGGUUCGGCUUAAUCCAAGCCUACGUCCACUCUCCCACGAUAACAGCCUUCUUGGCUGGAUUCCACUAUGCAAUCAACAAGAGAUUACAACUUCGAGUGCAAACACUUAGUAGAUCACACUAUCUCACUAAGUCACUCUCUUGGUAUUUCUCUCACGAUUACAAACGUUUAAGCUCUCAAGAGACAAGUAUAUGAUCAAAAGUCGCUCAGACUUUGGAAUUAUAAAUUCUACGCUCCGUCUCUUACUUGCUCAUCGGUCCAUGAUCUCCUUAAAUACUCCUCCACUUCCAAACUACCGUUGGACAGUAUCCCGGAGAAUCGUCUUCCAAUAUACCCAUUGGACAGCUCUGUAUUUAGAAGAUUUGGUAGCCAUUGAGUGACAAAGGUAGAAUCCCAAAUUGAUUCCGAUCGCCCAUACAAACGAAAUCUUGGUUUCCAUAAGUAAAGCUUCUUCGUAUAGAAAGUUCUUGUCUUCAACAUCCAAUUGCCAAUCAAAUAGAUUGAGUCAAUCAAAUCAAUCUUGAUGUGGAAUCCAAACCAGAUCACUAGCCGUUGUACGAUUGGGCUUGAGUUACGAUUCAUCGAAUCUGGAUGUAAAGUCUGAGUCUGUAGACUUUACAAUAUGAGUCUGUAGACUUUACAAUCUGGGUUUGAACAUAUCUGCUUCUGAACAGAUUUAGCUUUAAGGUCUGUACCCAGUUCAGCUUCAGCAUAGAGUUUGUCUUCUGGUUCAUCAUUCACGUUCAGUCUGGAAUUAGUCAGAGUUGACAGACUUCUGAUGUAGAACAGACUUUGACACUAAAGUCUGGCAGUCUUCAGACUUUGAGUCUUGAGUCUGGUAGUCUUCAGACUUUGACACAGAAGUCUGGAAAUCUUCAGAAUAUACUCUGGACAUAUGUUACGUUCAGUCUUCCGGUCGUCUUCUGACUUUGAUAAUAUCCUUUACAUGUUCUAUUAUCUGCAUGGUCUAUUACUCAACCAUUAAACAUGUUAGUAGCCUUUGAUUUAUUUUGUCAUCUUCAAAACAUCAUAAGGGAUUUCCCUAACAAAAGGACCAUAGGGGCACUGGCGAAAUGCCCAUUUCAUAUGUUCGGGACGGGAUCGAAAUUCGGGAUGUCACGGAACUUGACCUGAUAAAACAUUUGUAUGCAUGUACAAUUUCUAAUAGAAGAGAGACGAUUAAUAAACAACAAAGAGGGAAAGAGGAGGAGGUAAGGCUUUUCUACUUGAUUUUACUAAGAGAAUUUUCAAUUGGAUGACAUAGUUAAUAUGAUAAGGCUUUGUGAACUUGAAAUGUGUAUUCAUGAGUAAUUCAUUAAAUAUAUAUAUACUUUUUCCAAAGCAUGGCCUUGCCAUUGAUUGCUUUAUUUUGGGCUAAGAACACCACAAGUGUGGUAGCUUUUGUACAAUGCUCACUUGAGUGCUAUAACUUAUUUUUCGACCACUUAUGUGCCAUAACUUCCAAUAAGUCUUUACUUGAGUAACAUAACUUUUAAUCGAUCACUUAAGUGUCAAAAACUUUUAGAAACGUUCACCCAAGUGCCGAAAAUCCAAUGUGGCAUGAGACUUGUGAAGAACGUUUUUAAAAAGUUUUGUCACUCAAGUGAAUGCUAUACAUAAGUUAUGGCACUCAAGUAAGUAUUAUAUAAAAGUUUUGACACUUAUAAUAUCAUUUUCCCAUUUUGUUUUUUGACUCCAUCCAACGUGAUGUUUUGUUGGUGGGGUGGUCAUUUAGUUUGAGAAAAUAUUGCGUGGUCCAGGAGCUCCACAUCAGCGUGGUCCCCGGCCACUCAUGCGGCGCCACGUGGAAAAGUGGGUCCCCUAGCUGUUUUCUCCAUUUUUUCUUUCUUUCUCUUCUUCGUAGCUUCUUCGUACCCUCUCUCCUAGCCUGCGCACGUCCAUUCUCCCCCUAGCCUGCACAACCUGCACAUUCUCGGGAAUUUGCAAUCCAUUUAUCAUGGAAAGAGAAGCAAAGGGCUUUUUCUCUUUCCUCUUCAAACGAAGGAAAGAGAAGCGGGACUUUUCUCUUUCCUCUUCAAACGAAGCAGAGGCUCCACACGUUUACUCUCAAGCAGCUGCAAUUCUUUCACCCAACAGUCGUCGCUGCUCCGCCGUGCGUCAAGUCGUCGUUCCCUGCCGUUGCCGACAACCUACAUUACAAGCGCCCUGCUCGUACGCCGCUCGCUUCUCUCUCCGCUCUCAUUUCUACUCUGGCGUUUGUUUCGGCGUUCGUCAAGCGGUUGUCCCCCCGUCGACAUCAACGAAGUACGUUGCUCCUCUGCCUUGCUCCGGCGUUGGCUCAUCUUCGCUCUUUACCUCAAAGCUCGUUGCUUCUUCGGCUUGUGUCGUGUUCCUUCUCCACUCUGCUCCGAUAUGGGUUUCUCUGCGCAAGACAGCGAGGAAUGUUCUUGUUGUAAGUCGCAGACUCCAAGUGAUAAGAAGUUCCAGCUCUCUCCGAUUCGACUUCGGAUCUGCUACAUGUUAGGGAAAUCUCUUAUGAAAUUUUGAAGAUGAAAAAAUAAAUCAAAGGCUACUAACGUGUUUAAUGCUUAAGUAAUAGACCAUGCAGAUGAUAGAGGAUGUAAAAGAUAUUGUCAAAGUUUGAAGAUGGCCAGAAGACUGAACGUAACACAUGUCCAAAGUAUAUUCUAAAUAUUUCCAGACUUCUGUGUCAAAGUCUAAAGACUGUCAAACUUUAGUGUCAAAGUAUGUUCUACAUCAGAAGUCUACUCGCUCUAACAAAUUUAAGAUUCUAUGUUGAAGCUGAACCAGAAGACAGACUCUAUGCUAAAGUUGAACUUAUUCAGACUGUGUUAAGACCUUAAAACUAAAACUGUUCACAAGCAGAAUAUGUUCAGACUCAGAUUGUAAAGUCUAUUGCACUCAGACUUUACAUCCAGAUUCAACAGAACAUAACACAAGCCCCAAUCAUAUAACGACUAGUGAUCUAGUUUGGAUUCUACAUCAAGAUUGAUUUGAUUGACUCAAUCUAAUUGAUUGACAAUUGGAUAUUUAAGACAAGAACUUUCUUUUACUCGAAAUUUAUUUAAUUCGACAUAUAUUUGCCAAGGUUUAGUUUAAACACCUAUUCACCCCCCUCUAGGUGUUCAUACUAACAUUCACAAUUGGUAUCAGAGCCAAGUGCUCAGUUUAUAAAAGUGUUCUUACUUUUGAGCUAAAGAUCUUCUAUGACUAGUAUUUUGGCACCAGGACUUAUGGAGGGACAAAGCAACACAAUGCCACCAUAUUUUGAUGGAAAGGAAUACAAUGUGUGGAAAAACAAAAUGAAAGCAUUCCUAAGAUCUAGAGAUCCCUUGCAAUGGAAUGUUGUGAAAAGAGGAAUCAAUCCCACUGCUGCGUCUACAUUAAAUAAGAAUGGCAAAGACAAAGAAACCAAACCCCCGGCUCCUAUGUCUCGAACAAAGAUGUCCAAAAGAGAAGCUCUUGAUGCGAAAGCAAUUUAUUAUUUAUAUUGUGCUUUGUCUCCUGCUGAAUAUAACGGAAUCUCUUUAUGUGAAACAGCAAAAGAAGUUUGGGAUAGACUUCAUGUCACUUAUGAAGGGACUGAUAGUGUAAAAGAGACAAAAGUAAACUUCCUUCUCGGCAAAUAUGAAUCCUUCAAGAUGAAGAAGGAGAGUCAAUUGGAGAUAUGUUUAGCCGUUUUACAAAAAUUGUAAAUAGUUUAGCAUAUCAAGGUCAGCCAAUUUCUUCCCCAAUGAAGAUCAACAAACUCUUGCGAGGUCUCUCAAAAGAUUGGAAUCAUGUUAAGACCUUAAUCCGGGAGACUCAGAAGAUUAUGCCACUUUCUAUUGAUGAAUUGAUCGGCACUCUUCAAUCCUAUGAAGUGGAACAACUCAACGAUGAAGAUCCUGAAGGUAAGAAGUCCAUCACUUUAAUAUCUAAUGUCGUUUUUGAUGAAAUAGACUCAGAAAAUGACAUGGACAAUGAAGAACUUGCUUUUAUGAUCGAGAAAUUCAAAAAGCUGAGUAGAAAAGGAAGGAAGUUUAGUGAAAGAAGACAAUACAAGCAGAAUGGCCACAAAAGAACCAUGAAAGAAUAUGAUGAGUAAGGAAAUAUAUGCUUAAUGGCACAUUCAGAAUCUGAGUCUGACCCAGACAUAGACUCAGAAUCAAAGUCUGACUUAGACACAGACUCAGAAUCCGAUAAGGAAAUCGAGGUAAGCAAUUCAAAAAUUUCUAUCAAAGUUCUUAAGUAUAUAAAUGAGCUCUGCUUAAAUCUCAAAUCUUCUCUUAAAAGGAUCUCCGAACUUAAAAAGGAGAAUUCUCGGCUUAGGCAAUAGGAUCUUUCUCAAAAAGAAAAUUUUGAAAUUUUGCAAAAAGAUUUUCUACAAACAAAAGAAAGUCGAGAUUUACUUGUUAAAGAAAAUGAUUCUUUAAAGAAAGAAUUUUCCAAUAUUUCAACAAAAUUUUCAAAUGGAUCAAAAAUAUUAGAGCAUAUUCUUUCCUUAUAAGUACCUUACUAUAAUAAGUCGGGACUUGGUUUCAAUAAGAAAAGUGAUUUUCUAAUUGAUUUUCCUAAAGUCAAGGAGAGACUUAAACAAAGACCUUCUAGACUUGCGUACAAGAAGCAUUUUCAAAGAAUCUUUACAAAAUCUAUUGAUCGAAAAGCUCUCAAAUGUUCAAAUUGUGGAGAUUUGGAACACUUUGAGAAAGAAUAUCCUAAAAUCUGGAGACCUAUUAAGAAAGAUUGGAUAAAAGUAGCAUACUCUACUAACUCUCAUGGAUCCAAGAAAAAAUGGGUACCAAAGAAAAGAUGAGUUAUUUUUGCAGGAAAUAAAGGAAAAGAAGAAAGAGAAUUCGGUAAGGAAUGUAUAUUUGAUUUGAGUACAUAAUUCAAAAAUUCUCAUUAUGAUUGAUAUUUGAUAUAUCCUUGGUUGAUUCGGAUUUUAUAAUGAUCAUAUUUAUUGAAGAAAGAAUCGUGUGAUUUGUUUUUGUGAUUCGAGAUUUGGUUUGAUACGUGUGAUUAUGUUUUAUAUUCUGCUUAGAGACAAAUGAAUUUAUUUGGUUUGAUUUUAUACUCUCAGAUUUUAUCAAAUUUUGCCAAGUAAAAGUCUGUUUUACGUAAUAUUAAUUUAUUAUGCAAGAUAUAUACUCAAUGAUUUUAUUCUCUCUGUUUUUAUCGUACUAUGACAAAGUGAGAAUUUAUUUUUCAAGAUAUCAUUGUGCAUAAUAUUCUUUCUUUGAAUACUUUGUUACGAUGAAUUAAGAAAGAAUAUUUGAUUAUGGAGAUUUUAUAUUUUGCUCUAACGAAAUGGAAGGAUCCAAAUUGAUGGAUACCAAAAAAGGAAAUGAGUUGAUUGCAGGAAAUUCUUUAAGGGAAUGAUGAUUGCGAAUCUAUGCGAAUUUUGGUGCAAUCAAAAAAUAUCUCCUGCGACAGUUGGUAAUAAUUUUUUUAAUCAAUGGUAUAUUGCAAAUAUAUACCUUGGGUAAGAGAAAAAUUUUAAUCAUUCGGCCUUACAAAUUUCUACAUGAUUGUUUAUAUCUUUUGUCAUAAAUAUAAGGCAUUGCAAGUUUUUAUUUGAUUUGGCACAUGAUAGAAAAAUCCGCUUUAUUUUUGCAAUGUGCAUCAAUAAUAUUUUGAUAUUUAUGCUUAAGAAAAUCCUUUUGAUCUUGGAAGAUAUUAUUGCAUAUUUAUGGAUAUUAUUGCAUAUUUAUGGAUAUUCUUGCUAUAUUCUUAGAAAGUAUAUUAUAUCUAGCAAGUUUGAUCCGCAAAUCAAAGGAAGAUAUUACGUGACAUUUUUGCAAAGAUGAUUAUCUAUUACAUAAGAUUUUGGAAAGCUCAAUCUAAAAAUUAUGAAGAUUCUAUACAAUCUUUUGGAGGUUAAAAAAUUCCCUUCCUUGUGCAAAGUUUUUGCAAAUUGUUAAGGAAAUCCCUUAUGUGUCAUACGGAAGGUUGAGUAGUUCUGAAUUUUAAUUUUACAUAUGCUAUUCAAUUUAUUUAUUUGAAGAAAGGGCAUUAUAUAUUACAUGGAUAUUAUUACAGCUUAUUUGUGGAAAAAGUUUGUUAAGUUUAUGCAGAUUGAAUUCGAGAUGAGCUUGAUUAAAGAAAAUAAUUUUUUGCCUCGAAUUUCAAAAUGCAAGUGAUCGUUGCGGAUGUUGUUGCUACAAAGGAAAUACUGAAAAAUAUGCUGUUCAACUUGCACAAACAAUUGUUUCUAUUUGCAAAUAUUGUCAUGAUCAUAGGGGGAGAGCGUGAAUCUAAAAGAAAGGAAAGAAUCGUGAUCAUCUCAAAAAGGUAACAAAUUGAGGGGGAGCUUUGAUCAAUUAUGGAAAAAUAUUUUUGGAUUGAUUGUGAUCUUGUUAUGGAAAGAAGGAAAAGGUAAAUGCGUCAGAAUUUAAGUUCUACAAAAUCCGGUUAGUGCAUCUUUUAUUACCUUUUGUCAUUAACAAAUCUCUUAUUGAUAUUAUCAUUUUAUUAUGACAAAAAGGAUAAGUGAAUUUUAUAAUGCAGCUAUGAUUUUUAUUGGAUAUUUGCAAAUAUAUAUGAUCAAAGUGAGCUAUAUUGCAUACCUUUAAUGUUCGACUUACUUUAUAAAAGCUGAUUUUUUGAAAAUUGUGUUUCAUGCAAGACAUAUUUAUUAUCAUUUUAUAUUCUCUACAUGAUACUAUUUCUAUUGUUAUCGCUUUUUGAUUAUGACAAAAAGGGGGAGAGAAUAUAAAUAUGCAUAUGUGUUGAUAUUUGUUGAGCUGCGAUUAUCUUUACAUAUAUAAUUAUAUGCUCAAUCUAUUUGCUAUCUUGAAUUACAUUAUUCUUUGAGAUUGCCUUGAUUUAUUAUUAUCUUUAAAAGCAUGAUUACACAUCUGCAUAUUCAGAGAUUGGUUUGUCAUAAAAAAAAAUGGGGAGAUUGUUAGGGAAAUCCCUUAUGAUGUUUUGAAUGUGACAAAAUAAAUCAAAGGCUACUAACGUGUUUAAUGGUUAAGUAAUAAACCAUGCAGAUGAUAGAGCAUGUAAAGGAUAUUGUCAAAGUUUGAAGACGGCCAGAAGACUGAACAUAACACAUAUCCAAAGUAUAUUCUAAAGAUUUCCAGACUUCUGUGUCAAAGUCUGAAGACUGCCAAACUUUAGUGUCAAAAUCUAUUUUGCAUCAGAAGUCUGCUCACUCUGACAAAUUUCAAACUCUAUGCUGAAGUUGAACUUAUUCAGAUUGUGUUAAGACUUUAAAGCUAAAACUGUUCAAAAGCAAAAUAUGUUCAGACUCAAAUUGUAAAGUCUAUUGCACUCAGACUUUACAUCCAGAUUUGACAGAACAUAACACAAGCCAUAAUCAUAUAACGGCUAGUGAUCUGGUUUGGAUUCUACAUCAAGAUUGAUUUGAUUGACUCAAUCUAAGUGAUUGACAAUUGGAUAUUGAAGACAAGAACUUUCUUUUUACUUGAAAUUUAUUUUAUUCCGCAUAUAUGAUUGGGGCUUUUGUUACGUAACACAAGCCAAGGUUUAUUUUAAACACCUAUUCGCCCCCCUCUACGUGUUCAUACUAGCAUUCACACUACGUUCGUGGCUCAUAACAAUGAGUUGAUUUGGCAAGUGCUUGCCGUGACCGGCUGCAGGAGCUACUGGUGAAGGAGAUAGAGGGGAGAGCCGGCAUGUGCAGCGACGGAGAUGGACAGAGCGAGUGGAGGAAGGUGAUGGAGGCGUCGUUCAGAAAGAUGAAACGAGGAGGUUGGAGGGAAGGGGGUGGACGCGUCGAUAAGGACGGCAGGGUCGACGGCGGUGGUGGGGAAGGAGGAGCAUGCCCUUGUCUGUUGAUCACAAGGUGAGCUCUCGCUUCUUGUUUGUUUGUUUCCAUUGAAGCUGUGUAGCUCAGGGGAUCUGUUCUUGUUCUUCCACCUCCACCCCCCCCCCCCCCCCCCGAAGACACUUCAUUUAUUGGAACAUUUUGCCAGAAAUCUUGAAGUGACAAGACUAAUCUGAUCUACAAGUCUUAUCCUUUUUGUCUACUUCGUGUCAUUUAUGGGUUAUACUUCCAAAAGUUCACUUGGUGUUCUUUCAAAGGUGCUUAAUUUAUCUUAUGGUGUUGGUUUUAUAUGAAAGCAUGUGCAAGAUAUUCCUAGAAUGUCUGAUUAAGAUUAGGUUGACUUUGGGUCAUGUUUUGCAGGGUUGACAUCCUAUGAUUAGGGGAACUUACUACACUGCCAUUCUUUGUUUUUUGUUCAUGGUUAUGUAGACAGGCUGAAGCCCAUCUUGCCCUGUUGGUUUAAUCGGUGAACUAAAAUCCGUUCCUGUGAUCUUUUGUGGUCAGCCACGCUUUGUUCAUUCUGCAAUUCUUUGAUUGAACACUGCUGAAAUCACUUCAAGUCACCACAAACGGGCCCCGUCACAAUAUGGCAUGUUACCAGGUUGAUAAAUGAACGCAAAAAGCUCUUGCCAAUACUUUUAUACCAUCUCUUCUUCAAUGACAUGUCUAUUUUCUGAUAUUGAAACAGUAACAAGGUCUUCAGCAAGUGAGAGCGAGUAAAUUCAUCUUCAUAUUGAAAUGGUACAAUUUGAAAGGUGGCAAGAUUUUCCUGAGCAACAUCUUUAUAGCAUUUGUCACAGUAGAUACUCGAUUAGUUGCCAAUGCUAGAUCAGUAGCAGACUAAAUUACUUGAGCUAAAGUGAAAACAGUUAUGUCCUGUCAUGCAUCAUAUCUUGAGUUAAAUCUCUUGGAUUUUGAUUAAAAUGGCUUAUUGACUCCCCUAAAUAACCUAACAGGCUUGCUGAGAAGGAGAGUGGAAGCAGCUAGAGGAAGGGUCAUAGAUUGGAAUGGAUCCUAUGUCCUAGGCGUGCUUGCUACAUUGAGGUCAAUGGGUAUGUGGAACUUUAUCAAUCAAAUGGCACUAAUGAUGGACUUUAUUCAAUGCUUUUAUGCAUGGAAUGUUGGUUUCCAAUUGCAUUGGUUACUACAACAAGUGCUGAGUAAGUCGAAUUUGUGGUUCACAUUAGUACUAUUGUGGUGCUAAACCUCUGUGCUUGAAGGGAACAUAUUAAAUCACUGAGAUUCUAGUUUGUUAACAAGUUGUUUGAGUGCACCUUAGAAUUGGUAACUUCAGCCUUUCGACAUGUACUGGAGACAAUGUUGAGGGCAAAUUACAAACAGGGAUCAAUAACCAACACCUCUCAUGCAGAAGUUUUAGCUGGAAACUGGCUUUUUCUCUUGUACGUGUGCCAUUGUGUGGUGUCUGUAUCCGAUAGCAGCAUUUACUUGCUGCAGGAGAUUAUUGUUUAAAGCAAGAGAACAGAGUUGGACAACUUCCUCGUGAUAGCAAGCGAUGGGUUAUGGGAUGCGCUCUCUAAUGAGGCUGCCUGCCAAGUUGUGAGGAGGUGCCUUGACAGAUAUAUAAAGAGGAGGUUUCCUGAGGAGCUGAGAGGAAGUAAUGCCGUCGAGGUGGCUGCAGUGCUAGCCAAACUGGCCAUGGCUCGAGAUAGCCAAGACAAUAUCAAUGUGAUUAUGGUCGAGUUGAAGAAAACUAAACUAAUAAAAUGUAAAUAGGUAUUGUGCAACUGAGAAUGUUUCUUUAUGGCCAGUGUUGGGCUAAUCAAUGUUCAUCUUGUAUAAUCUAUUGUACGGACUUCUAAUUGGUAUUAAAAUGCCAGAUCCUCCAUGUCAUUGCUUCGUGGUGUUUAUUGUUUAAGCCUCAAAUGAUGAACUUUUUUCCCAAGAUUGACAAUUACAACAUCAACAUUGUAUUAAUCUCUACUUGUGAUAGAUACUCUCUAUUCGUCCAUUAGGUGGAGUCCACUUGAGCUUACUGUUUCACAAUGAUAUGCUAGACUUGUUCAAUUGGUGAACUUGAGAAUGUUGAGGUUGAGGUACGAGUGGUUCCCAACUACAAAAAAUAAUGAAAAUAGAUUGUGUAGAGCUGGCCUUACUAUCCGAUAUACAGAUCCUCUGCGUGCGUAAUGAAAAAAUAAAGUAGAGAGUGCACGAAAGUCAUGAACAAAGUCAACAUGGGAAGAGCUCUCUCCAAAUGAGCAAAAGUAGACUUUUAUACCUUAAAUUCUUUAAAAGCUGAAUAGAUACAACUGUUUUGUAGAAGGCUAUAUCCUAACAAACACAGAAAUUGUUGCAAAGCAAGAAGGAAAAAAUUCAAGAAACAAAAGGGACCCCACGAACUCUAAGGAAGCCCUUUCUUUUCUCACUUCUCAGCAAACCAUCUUUGCUGCGGCACAUCUCAGACUCUCUCUUUUAACCAGCGAAGUUGAGGGGAAAGAGGAUAGCACUCGUUUUAUAAUGUCUCUUCACUCCUUUUGUCCUCCGAUCUUCACCCUUAUUCAGCUUGGAAGCAGGUUCUGACAUCAUGAAGCGAAGACGAAAAUUUUUUAAAAGAAAGAAAGCGAGAACUUUCGAAGGCCGUAUCCAAUAGGUAUUGCUGCACAAUCCUUUACAUCCCUGAAACCCAGAAAAACUGUGCAAUUACAUAUGAAGCUGGAGUAUCUUCCUAUGCCAAAGUGUAGCUUGAGAAUGGAGAUGUCCGCUAGAGGCAAAGUAUGGAUGUACACAAACCCGAGGCUCUUCCCUGAAGGUAAGGAUUAGAUCCAGGAAGGGAACACGUCCAAGUCGUUGGACUUGGUUAGUCCCCACAGAGGACCGUAGAGCUUGGAGAUCGACAGGUUGACAUAUUUCAGCAUCUUGUCCGAUUUGUUGGUCACCACUGUCUAGCAUUUGCGAUAAGUUCUCCUGUUAGCAGUCCAUGAAGCCAUUAGCUUCUGCUCAAUGGACAGCUUGUUGGAAGCUGUUACUGCAAUCAAAAAGGCAAAAGCAAAUGAGUGAGGUAAUGGAAUCACAGAAUUAAUCAAAGAAAAAAGGGAAGGCGGAGGAAAUUGUACCAGGAGCUAGACUUGGCUUGGCCUGGCUGCUUUCAGCGCAGGAACAACCACUGCAUUGAAUAGAAACCCAUCCAUCUGAUGCCGAAAUAUGUCAAGACAUUGCUUUUGUCUGGAAUAACAACACAUUUCAAAGAUCAAAUACCUAGAAGGAGUUGACAGUAACCGCUGUGACCACCACUCAACCAGGCUAAUAUGCCAAGGAGUGGAGCGUUGUUGUAAGUAGCAGGUUCCAUUUGCUUGUAAUUGUCUCUUUGAUCAGCAAAGUUAUCAUAUGUAUCGGGGCCACUGAUGAUAGCACUAGUGAGGAGAUUGGGUUCACUUGCUUUCCGGCUAAACCAGGCGGCGUAACCGCCUCAGCAGCUGAUGAAGGACGAAUCCUCCUUGAUGGACACGAUGGAAGUCACCCAGUGAUGGACCUGCCUUGGGUAGUUGUUCCUGUACCCAACCAUGUAGCUCGUGGCUCUGGGGUUGUCUCCCAGGAUAUAGUCCACCUGCAUAUGUUCGUUAUUCAUGGCAAAAAUAUUAUUCCAUUGUAUCUUGAAGCUAAGGAAAGAAAUUGAGAUUUUCCAAGCACAAACAUCGAAUUGUCACGUUUUCCUUGACUAACUGAUUGUAUUAGUGACUAGGACACGAUCAGAAGGAAUGUAUUACCUGAGAUUUCGCAAAGGAGAGGAGUUCUGAUGGUUGAAUGCUGCCGGAUGAGCACUGCAAGCUUUUGCCUGAGGAAGAACAAGAAGGCAUAAGUCAUAAUGAUCAGCUAAAAUAUAACAAUAACAGGGAAGAACAGGCCCUUCCACAAAAAGCACUGGAAUCACCAACCAGGACUCUCGCUUCUUGAAAACCUUGUUGCAGAGACUAACAACUCGAGAGGGGUUGACAAAGAAUGGACUUCAAAACUCUUCAUCAUAGAAACCACUGACUACAGUAAGUCGCCCCGAACAUGAAGAUGGCUGGUCAAAUCCAUCAUUUGAUAGUGGAAAAUUAGAAUAAAGUUCGAGAGGGCUUGAUAAGUCAUCAACUAUAUCUUCUUCAACAUCAUCAACAUCUAGAAACAAAACCAGGACGCCAAGGUCUGCACAUAACUGAAUUGCACGUUUUCAUUCCUUUCAACUCCUACUUAAUUUCAUUGUUCUUUUACCAUUGCCCCACCAUUCUUGACCUAUCAAUCCAGCAUAUUGAUGUACACAUCAACAGCAAGUAAACUAGUUCCAUGCAAUUAUUCGCAAUCAAAUACACAGGCAGAUAAAUGGUCGAGCCAAAGUACCAGGGACGUAGCCAAAGCUCUUAAGGCGUUCCUCGAGCUGGGCGAGGUCACUCUGGUUUUCUUGGAAACCUCGUUGCAGAGACCUAACAGCUCCUCAAACGACACGGUCCCAAACUGACAUGGAGUCGAGCAAAUUGAGAUUGCUGCUCGCAGUCGACACGCGUCGGUUCAGGCACUGAAUGAAGGUCGAAGAAGCUGAAUCUGUGAUGAAAACACCAAAAAAUCAAUCGGCUGAGAGGAAGGAAAACGCACGACCCGAAAUAAAAAUCACCCCUUGCAACUUUUCUCGGCUCAAUAUCCAAAGGAAACGCAAAGUAACUAGCAAUAGCAAGUGAAAUGAGAAGAGAUUAAACUCAGUGAUGCGAUUCACAGCUUUAAGAGCUACGAGAAUCAGAAGAAGGGGGGGAGAUAGAGAGGGAGGGAGGGAGGGAGAGAAAGAGAGAGAGGGGACCGAGAGGGAUGGGACGGGGAUCGAUGGAUUGCUGGAGGUCGUCGACGCUGCUCUGCAGGUGGUUACAGAAAUGGGAAAUUUCAAAUCUCGGCUGCCCUAGCAGAUUAAUGCGCGAAGGAAAGCGGCGCCGGAGAGCGAGCAACGGAGCAAAGAGCGAGCGCCGAAGCAGAGACAGAGGAAGCGACAGGAGCAGCGAGCGAGCGAGAGAGCGCCGGGCGACGGCAGGAACGGCCGCUUGACAAACGCAAUGCCGGAGCAGCAGCAACAACAAGCGCGGACGGAGUAGCAAACGAGAGCGAAACCAGAGAUUUAAAAUUUGAAAGCUUCGCUCGCUUGGAAUGGCUUUCGUUUUCUCAGAAGGAAAGAACGAGUAAGAAUCAUUACCCUUUACCAAAAAAAAAAAAAAAAAAACGAGUAAGAGGAAAGAGGAUACAAUGAAUGCUUGCAGACUCUGCAGAGGAGAGAGAGCGCAGGGCUAGCGUGCAGGCCAGAGGAGAGAGAAAGAAGAUUAUUUUACCCGCAGAAAUUCCAUCUUGGCGACCCGGCCCACGGCGCCUCAUCGGUCCACGUGGCGCUCCAUGAUUGGUCCUGGACCACACUGGCAUAGCGCUCCCGGACCACCAAAUAUUUUCUCCAUUUAGUUUAGCAUUGUCUAGGCUUGAUAAUUUUUCAAUACUAUGACAUUGUUUCUCAUUUUUCUUUUCUUUAUUUUUUGUUGUGUCAUGAGGAUAUUCAUAUAUUCAGUGGAUGUCAUACCCAUGAAAUAUCCAAUUAGCCUCAUGGAGCUAGUAAGGUUUGAGCCAAAACUUGGUUUGUUGGCGGCAACAUGAAUUGUUUCUACCGGUUAGUGAGGAAAACUAAACUUGUGUCGUGCACAUUACCUACACACAUUUGUCUCUUCCUUAAUUAUUGCUUAAGAUUUUUUAUUCUAAAAAAAAAAUGGAAAUCUAAUUGGUGGAUGAUGUAUUUCUGCAUUCUCCCUAUUUUUUACAAUUAGAUUAAAAAUCACUUAAAUAGGAAUUAAAGUAGUUGAUCUCCCAGGUAUUUAUUUUUUCAAUCAUGAAGAUUUCAUUUCAGGCAGAGUGUAAAGUCAAUCUCUGCCACUCAUUUAACUUUUGAUGCGUAGGUUGACUCUUGAUAUUAACAUCUUCAAUAAUUUAGUCGAUUGUGUACUUGAAAAGUUCUUAAUUUAGCUGGCUUGGGAACAAAAUCAGUUUUCAUCAAAAACAUAUUGUUUCAUCAUCCUUCUUCGAUAACUGCGCUAGAUUAAAAAAGGGAAAAAAAAAAGAGGAGAGAAGGCUUAUCUAUUGAUUUAUAACUAGCCUUGGUCAUUUUUUUGGUAAUAACAUGUUUCUCUAUCUUGGAAGCUUUUAUCUAAGGCAAAUUAGGCAUCGAGCACGUAGAAUAUCUUAUUGAUCUCAUGUACCGGGUAGGGGAUGAGUUAAUGACCAGGUGAAUGUUGCUUAAUGUAAAAAUGUUUGCAUUUGGUAUGUGAGAAAAUGAAAUGAUUUGAUGUGCAUAAUCCAAGUACACAAUUUCUUUCCUUAAUUCCUAGAGAUUCCCGUGUGAUUUAUGAUAUUUGUCAUAUGAUACCGGUUCCCUUUAUAUAUAGAUCAUUUGUUGUAUUUCAAUCUCAACAAACGUUGUUGGACCUACAUAUUUGACUUUCAUCAGUAUCUUUCGAGGAAUUUAGAAGAGCCUCUCUCUAUGUUCAUGCAUAUAUUAUACAUUGACAAAGAGAUUAAACAUGAUAGACAUUAGUUGAUAUGCAUUACCAGUUGAUUUGACUGCAUAAUUUUAUCAUCUUAUUCACUUUUUGAAACUUUCUUGCAAGAUUGAUUGUGGUUUUAUAUUUCAGGAGUCAUGCUUUGAUUGGAUAUGCGCAUGUUUCAGAGGAGGCUUAUGAAGUUUUGGAGACAACUCGCAUCAUACUUGCUAGCAUGCUGAGAUGGAACUACCACAUAUUUUUAGUGGGGUUAAUGCCUGAAGGCCGGUAAGAUAAGGCGUUUCAUUUAACAAAAAAAAAAUAUAAUGAUGCAAUUGGGCUAUUAAUUGAUUUGGGGGAAAAUUUCCAAUAAGCGCUCAAAGUGGAGCCGUUUUCUCAAAAAAAGGUCCAAAGUGGAUAAUGUCUCAAAUAAACGCCUCAAGUGGUCUACUUAGUCUCGAAUGUGUUUGGCUUUACCAAAUAACCAAACCUUGUCCGCGUAUAGGGGCAUCCUCGUCCAAGUACUUUUUUGCUUUCUUUUCUUUCUUUUUUCUUUCUGCAUCUUUCACGCCUCUUUCACUCUGCCUCACAUCCUUCUUCAACGCCAUAAUCAGCCCCCUUCUCUUUGCCAUCUCGUUGUAUGAUCAGCACCAGCUUUUCUUCGAAGCAAGUCAUUACAGCAGAACCGAGCUUAUUGGAGAUUCUCAGUUUCACUCCUCAAUUUGGUUUGUCGAAGAUUCCACGAAACAAAAGCAGGUGAACUUACAAAAUUGAUUCCUUUAUUUCAAGAUUCAUUGCAAAUUACGGUCUGAUUUGAGCCUCUUCCUUUGAGGCACCCCACGCGCCCCUACAGAUGUUUGAAAUGCCUGAAUGGGUCUAUUAUGUUUUAGCAAUGCAUGAUUUCAAAUUUCUAAUGUGAUUAUACCUUUGUCCAGGGCUUCAGUAUAUCAAAUUGCCUGAAGCCAAUAAGUUGUUGAGCAAAAUAGGGAUUGCAGUUGCUGGGUUUGCGGAAGACUUAGGAUACAUCAAGUUUGAUGCACAUUGAAGGUGAGAGAAGAGAUGUCGCUGAAGGGAGAAGUUGCGUUGCCAGAGAGUUGGACAAAGAGGUGGUUGCGGAGUCUUGGCAGGGAAGAUGUUGCAAGGAAGAUGAAUCAGUUGGUAAUGAUAUUAGCUAUAGGCUUAAAAGGAGUUGUAGUGUUAUUGCUAGGAACAAGAGUGCACGAUAAUCAUAUAGGCAUAACAUUCACAACAGCUUGCGACCAACUUCUAGAAGCAAAUCAGAAAGGAUGUAGGCUGUCCGCUGAAAAGCGUUCUGUGAAACUGUCUCGCCAACUCUUUACUUGUUGAAGUUAAUGUAAAGCUUGAGUCUGUUAUAUUCAGUGUAUUUUCUCCAUUCUCUGCAAUUCAUCGUCCUGGAAAAAAAAAUCAAUGCCAAGUACAAAUCUCAUAGUUCGAAUGGUGCUGAAUAUCGCGUUUGCCACUAGUUAUUGAAAAUUACUAAGGGGUCAAGAUAACUGUCUGGUUCAAUAGUGUGGUUUGCUCCAUGGUCCGAGCUUUUCUGGCCUCUAAGGCACUUGACAUGAAUGCUUUCUAAUACGUUGCCUUUGGUUUUGGUAUGUUGCAAAAAUGUCAUAUUGGCUCACUUCUUGCUGAAGCAAUAUUCUCCGGACAAUAACUUUUGUAAAACGAUAUUCUAAUACUAGUUGAUAGUGACCCAAAUCAUUUUGUUAGUUUAAUCUUACAAAAACCUCCUCAACUCAAUUGGCGAGGCUACAGCCAAAUAAAUCAGGAUCCAGAUGACAUCAACGAAGUUUUAUUAAUAGAACUGAUUGCAAACAGAGCAAAGAUGCGAAAAGGUAAAUAAGAGGCCGACCACAGAGUGCUCAAACUUAAUAAGCAAAUUCAACGCUACCAAUUUGCUCAUAGUACUUUUUCCUUCAUAACAUGUUCUCCACGCUCCUAAUUCACUCGAUAUAAUGCCCUUUUUCUUGGAGCUCCACAAUGACUUCAUUCCUCAUCCUAAAUCACGGCUUCUGAGCUUCUUCCUCAAAACUUCUUGUUCUCUAGUUACAAGCAUCUUCAUCAGCUUCAACAAAUCCCUCGAGCCCAAUGGUCAUUUCGAUCAUACGUGCUUAUUAAUGAAUUCUUCCAUGGCUUAUUAUCGCCUAGAUAAAUUGUUUCCACAAGUAUCUUUCUUUUCCUUCGGCUAAGGCUUUAGCGUGCACCACCUAGGGGCGAUGUUUCGUUGUUGAGCCACAAGACGCCAGUGAGCAUGUAUGUGCCUGGUAACGCCUUGCAUAGCUGCUUCCAAAAGUAGCAGUCUUCUGUGCCCAUUCCUAUUGUGAUCAGCACCUUCUCGUUGAGCGAUUUAAUAUAUGGAAGCCCUGGACAAUGGCAUUAUCACAUGAGAAAAUUAUCCAUUGUUAAAGCAAAAUAGACCCAUUCAGGUAUUUCAUCGAACAUCUUUGGGGCCCUUGGGUUGCCUCAAAGGAAGCGGCUCAAAUCGGAUAAAAAUUUGCAUUGAAUCUUGGGAUAAAGGAAUCGUAUUUUUGUAAGCUCGCCUGCUUUGGCUUUGUGGAAUCUUCUUCGAACGAUUUCGAGGAGUGAAACUUAGAAUCAAUAACGACCUCGGUUCUACUGUAAUGGUUUGCUCCGAAGAAAAGCUGGUCUUGAUCAUAACGACAAAUGGCAGAGAGAGAGAAAGAGAGAGAGAGAGAGAGGUGGCUGAUGAUGGCGGCAAAGGCGGAUCCGAGGCAGAGCGAGAGGGGGGAGAGGAAGAAGAAGAAAGAAAAGAAAACACAAACAUGAAACAAAGAGGGAGAAAAAUAAAAAUAUAAAAAGUACUUGGAUGGACUUGAACAUGUCCUUAAAAGGCUCCUCCUGAAUUGGAUAUCCCGAGAUGACUUCUCCUCACAAGCCAUUUAAGACAAGUGAGGGGAAGUAGUACGGGAUAACAUCCCCAUGAGGCUCUCCGGCCACAACCCAACCAAAAGGAAGGGUUCGGAUCCCACCUUGACUCUCGCGAUGCCUUCUCCGAGGUUGCCCGAGCGUGGUACAAGGAAAUGAUAGGGUGUUCCCCUCCCAAAAGGGAAUAGGGAACACGUGGCCGGCCGGACAAGAAUACCAUUGGAUGUGGACAAGGUUUCGUUAGUUGGUGAAGCUAGAAAUACUUUAUUUGAGACUAAAUAUAUCAUUUCGGACUCUUAUUUAAUAUAAUGUUUACUACAGAUACUUUUUCAAUUAAAUAGUCACUUCAAGCUAUUAUUUAAAAAAUUUUAUUUUGAUGCAAAAUUUGACUUGAAAUCGAUGCUUUGAUAUUGAAUCGUGAAUAAACAAAAUUCAGUUUCAAAUCCCCAAAACUCAAGCUCAACUCAAUAUUAAGGUUCGAAAUUGAACUCGAUUCAACUUGAUUAUUAAAAAUUUGAUUCUACUCAUUUAACUUAUUACGUAGGGCGUCUCUUUCUUUUUGUCCUAAUCAUAUGUUGUACAAUCUGCAAAGCCCAGUCAUGCCAUUCGAUUGCUUUAUCUUUCAAUUCUAUCAAAAGUUUGGCGUUUGAUUGCUCGUGGUUGUCUAGUUUAGCAUUGUCUAGGUCCAAUAAUUUUUUGAGAAUUGUUUAUCUUUUAUAUUUUCCGUUUUUGGCGUCAUAAAGAAGUUUUGAUUUAUUGCAAGGAAGUGCAUGGUCCCGUGGGGGGCGACGAGGCUAAGCUAAGCCUAAUUACAUCAAUGAACAAUGGAAGUUACUAAAAAGGCAAUGUGGGGUUUCAUUCGGCACCAUCACUUGAAUUUUAUUUCCUUUACUAUACUUGGAGGAUCCCAUUCCACGGCUCCUUUUGCUCUUUCAAUUUCUACCUUUUGGCAAUAAAAAACCGUGGCCACACAACACCGUCACACUAGCCAGAUCCUACGAGAAACAACUGACGUUGUCUCAUCUAUUGAUCAUCGGACUUCCAAGAUUGUGUCACAACCGCACUUUCGUUCACUCAUGAAACACUUCUUAGAUGUCCUUCCUCCGCAACUCAUUUCGGACGGGGAUUAAUAGUUCCCCCAGUAUGGACUGGAGUACGAAGCCCACUCAAAAAUGCGAACAAAAUAGUCCAUUAUAUUUUGUGAGUGUCGCCAGGUGGCUUAGUCCCAAUGACUCCCCUACGAAUAUGAGACAAUAAUAGAGCAAAUCUGUCAAACGGUACUCCACCAAGAGCAGGUACUAUUUUAUCACAUAUGUGGAUUGAGUGGUUGAUUUACGACAUUUUGUAUAGAAGUUACGAAAAAAUGCAAACAGUUAUAACUCAUUAUGAUUCGAGAAUCUAUCAAUGAUCAUAGAACUGCUCAUGUACUCUGAGAAGAAAUUCGAUAAACCAUCCAACAUAAAAGUUAUUCAUUACAUCAAAUCUCCAACAUUAUACAGUAGAGUAAAUAAUUUAUCGCCUUGCAUCGUUCAAGUUUUGCACACAAACAUAAAUAGAAGCUUCCACAUUCAUAAGCAUAGAAUAAGAUAAGAAAAACUAUUGCAAUUUCUGUCUCAUUUUUAGCCUGAAUGCCCUGCAUUUUGCCCUAACGUAUACCUACAUCGAGGGCAAACCAAUGAGACAAUAAAUCGUGCUUCUCUAUACUUGCAUUCCGGACAAUAAACUGAGCUCGGGAUUGUUAUCGUGGAUGGAUCCUGCUUCUUCAGCGGCUCGGGUGGCUCGAGCGGCUCAGGUUGCGGCCUCUUGGGGGCUAGGACCAGGGUCAUUGUUUUCCAGAUUUUCUCCUCUCGCCUCCGAAUGUAGUAGAAAAAGAAACUGCAGAGCAUGACGAUGACAAUGACUACACCAAUAAUAACCCACAUCGGAGUUUUAUUGUCAUCGGACAAUACAUAAUUUGGAUUGAUCCAUGCCAACGGAGUAGGAGGAGGAAAGUAUUGGAAACUCGGAUAAGUUUGUGUAUAGGAUUUGUUCUCCAGCAAGAAAACUCUGUUGAGGUAGUUCAAUGCAAGCGGUGAGUUUACAAAAAUAUUCCAAAGCAUCAAUUCAAGAGGCAAUUUAACUUUUAAUCAUGAUGAAUUGAGAAGAUCAUAUGAUUCGAGCACGAGAUCGAGAUGAUUCAACAUGGAAUUUGGUGAGAUAUAAUAUGAGUGGAAGUAGUCGCUUGAACAUAUAUCUUUACAAGAAGAACCGAGUAAACAGUGAAUGAUGUUGUUGCUCCAAUACUUACGCGACCUACAAAGCGAGAACUUUCAUCAGGUGGCCUCGACGUUGUGAUAGCUCUCUGUAUAUGCCCUCCGCCAUAUGGGUGGGCUAGGUGCGUGUUUUAGUGGAUGCGUCACCAUUCGUCAUCGUGAGUAUGUAGAUGUAAUGAUUGAAGACAGCUGGACAGAGAGUUGGGAAAUUUCAUUCACGGCCCAAACAGUGAGAAAAUUAUAUAAAAAAAAAUCAUAAAUAAUAUUUAUAUCAAUUCAAUCCGAUUAAAAUUGACUGGCCAAUACUAACGUGGACGUUGUCCACCAUCGAUAUUAACAUAGAUAAUUUUUAAUAAUAUUUUUUUUCUAUUUUUUUUUAUCUUCUUCUUUACUUCAUUUUCUUUAUCUAGCCGGUCACUAGCGAUCACUGAAAAUGAAGUUAUAAAAAGAACCGAGAGACCUUGAGCUACUGUCCAAACUCGAUCACGUCUUCAUGUUCAAUGUUCGGGACCAAUGAUACAUGUUUGACGAUUCCCAAUCUAAGGGGAUAAGAUUUGGGUGGAGGGCUAAGAAAAACAAUUAGGUGUGAAAUGAGAAAUUAUUAUAUGCUCUAUAAAACAUGUGACUUAAUAUCAUCUCAAUCAUUGAUCAAGUAGAUCUAGCUAUGAGCCCACGUGAUCAAUUGUUGAAUUGGGUUUUGAUUCUGACCAAAAAAAAAGAACCAGGUUUUGACAUUCUUUUCGGGCAAAAUGGGAUUACAGACGUGACCUGACAACCAAAAUUCACGCUACUAUCCAAUAAUUCCAAAAAGACUUAUUCUAGAGCCGACCUGCUAGAGAUGAAAGAGACCCACGGCCGUUUCGUUUCUCUUUCGAGUGUUCUAAAAACGAUGGAAAAUGUUCUAAGAUCCUCUUGAACUUAAACUGUCUUGGACGGACUGAUCAAAACUACUAACUCAGUCCUCGUGUUGGUCUAAUCUUGUCUAUCCCUCUCUUAUGGUGACGCGACUCCUAUCCAAACAACACAAAAGGACAGCCUGUCGCCAACUAAUUAGAACAAUGGAAUUAAUGAAAACAGGAGGGACAAAAGUAAAACCACAGCACAGUGAGCUAGGGCCUCAAAUUCAUAGACAACGUGGGAAACACGACGUGAUUAGGACCGUCGGUCACGAUCGUUUCUGUUUAAAAUCUUAAUCCCUCCCGGUCUCAUUCGCCAUCACAUCGUUUUCCUUAUCCCAUCUUUUGGACUCUCGAGUUAGUCGCUGAACCUUGCGGGGCCACGAUGACUUUAGCGCCGUAAAAGAAAACCCUGCCAUCCAAAUUGAUAUAUUUUACCCAUUUUGAUGAAUGUCCAGAAAAUAUAAAUUUAAUAAUUCAUACUCAAUUCAAUCCAAUUCUUAUCUGAUUCAAUUCAUAUUUUUAAAACGCUUUUAUAUUAAGCCUAAUUUAAGAACUCAUACUAAAAUUGAAGUGAGAAUACGAAAUUGAGUGAGAACGAAAAAUUAAAAAGAGAGUUAUAUAAAUGGGGUAAGUUGUGAAAUCAUUUACCCCUAUAUUAUUUUGGGUUUAACCAUUCCAAACCCAUUUAUAACCUAUUUACAAAAUAACAAAUUCAUAUAAUAACUCAACUUAUAACAUAUGGGUUCAAAAAUAGACUUAUAAUUCAUUUUGAUAGGUCUACCAUCAAAUAAACAUGAUAUCUUCACAUUUAUGGAAAAUUGUCCCAAUUUUGUCACGGGAAACGAGAUUGCAUAUACAUGUAAGAAGGAAGAUUGGGAUAUUUCCCAAAAUCAAGUAUGUAAUCGAGAUCGCAUUGGUUGAGAAAAGAGCAAGAACAAUAAAUUGUCCGUUUAAUGCUACUUGAUUCAAAUGGGAUGCUGACCGCCUCUUGGGAAUGACAUACGUGAAACGCGAUAUGCAGAAUACACAAAAGACUAGCGACUAAUACUUACUAAUUAAGAUAUGGAAAACAUUGAAUGGAAAUAUUGUGUCAGAUUCCAAAGAAUUGAGGAUGUUCAGAUAAUACAUAAAGAAAAAGGCAUCUUUUGUGUCAAGAACUGCACUCCUUUCUCAAGAUAAAGUUGACAGCGUCCUCUACAGUAACCACGACCUGCAUAGGUAAACAUAAAAGAGUUCAAUUGAGAGCGAGCGAUUUUCGGAUGCACUUUUAACCUUGGAAAAUUUGGAGAGAAGACAAAUUCCCCAUAAAAGUGGCUUUCAAAUGGGCAUAUUUUGGAAAAACUAACAUUUUGCUAGGCUGAAGAAGGAAAAGGUUCAGACAUGUUUCAUCCAACGAAUUAGAAUUCACAGAUCACCCAGAGCACAGCAAAUCAACCUAUAUGAGUAAGGGAGGAUUGUCCACGCUGACAACUCAAAACCACGUGAGGCCAUGUUUGGUUCAUGGCCAUGGAAUCAUGAAAAGGAAUCCCAAUCUAAGCAAUCAAAUUCCUAGAUGUAGGGUUCAUUCUCUAUUGUUUAGUUUCAAUUUAUGAAUGAAGGGAGAAAUGUCCGAUGUGAAAUGCAAAGUGAGGUAAAAACAUGUCAGAAAUGGAAUGUGUAAAAUAUUUCUCCAAUCAACAAAUCCAAAGUGGAUAAUGAAAAACUAGGGAUAGAAACAGAAUGAAGAACCACACAGUAUCCCCCGACAAUUUCCCAAUUAUUGUCAUCUAAAAGGAUCAUACAGUUCACAUAAGCAUUUCACAAACACAUUAGAUAUAGCUCCUCAAAAUCUCGAGUCAAGCAUUUCACACAAAAUCUGCAGCAACGAAGGUAAAGCCAUUCCCAUGUAACUUCAAACUACUUCACAGCUGUUACCUCAAGCCAUUGUGAUAUUCUUAUUUUUAUUGUGUUUUGAGUCAAAGACCCAAUCACAAGAAUAAAUGGAGUGACAGCAACUCAGCCAAGUGUGUAAAUGGAACUUUAUGUCUGCACCCAAGCCAAUGUGAUCUUCGUGGUUGACAUCUCCAUAAACAGACCAAACAAGUUUCACAAUGGCGAGAGAAAUAAUUUCACCUAGUAGAGUAAUGUGAGGGCUAAGAGGCAGGCAAAACUCACAUGAAAGGAUUUGAAGAUGAUGAAUGGAGAAAGACAGAGAGAGAGUUCUAACUUUGUAGGAUUUGAAGAUGAUGAAGCUCAAGACUACUGAGUGGGUUGGGUUCCUGGAUGUUUUUGCUUUCUCGGAAUCCCAGUACCACCCCUACUUGAGCAAUCCAAUUCUACAUUUUUAGGAGUAUCUGUUAACUGGGCUCUUUGAUUCUAUGAUCAUAAAUCCAUCCAAAGAUGAGCUGCAAUGGGAUUCCAUUUCCCUUUUUUUACUCCAAAGAGAACCAAACAAGGCCUAAGUGAUAACACGAUGUACUUACUUCUGAAUGUUUUCAUGGUGGCAUCAAUGAUCUGCAGUCUCAACCAUGACUUUCCACUAGGAUCACAUAUUUAAAAUCUCUAAACCAAAGAAGUGAACAUGCUGGAAUGCAUGCGAUCUGCUUACUAAGGAACCUAUCAUCAACUCACACCAACGUACAUAUGAGGAGAAAUGUGAGAGACAGAGAGAAAUGUCUGAAUUUUGUUAAGAUUACAAAUACCUACCAAGUCCGCAGGGAACUCUGAAUGAUUAUCUUUUCCCUUGAAUACCCCAGUCCUUGUUAAUAUAGAAAACCAAGGAUCUCCUGCCUGAAGGAGUUGUUAUCGGCACUAGUGAUUAUGUUUGGAAAUAAAAUUACUGAUAUGAUAAAAUACAAUUCUCAGUAUGAAAUAUACCUGUCGUGUGCCUCUAAUGUUGAUUUUUGGAUUAUCUCCUAUCAUGUAUAGGCUUUUGAAACAAUGAAUUCCAGAGUUUAUUGUAUUCUCCACAUCUAGGUUGCUUAACAAAGAUGGCAUGAGAUUCCUUAACACGGUCUCAGCAUUUGCAUAGACAAAUGGAUUUGGCUUCCCAUAUGAUGUAUAUGCCAGCAGAAUGGGAUGUGUUCUGCAGAACAGGGACAAGUAAACAAUGUGCAACAUAAGAUCGAAGAUUAAUGCAUGUCACUAUGCUGCACUGAGGCAAAUUAGGCCUACACAAGGAUCUUAUAGGCCAUUCUUUAAUUUUUUUUGUGGGAGAUUAUUAGAUCAAACUCCAUGCAGAAACUAUACAUUGAGAAGUGAAACCUCAUUAGUACUUGUUAUAGAUUGCUUCUAACACAAUCCUGAAAGCUCCCAUACCUAGACGUUCAGCAGGAAAAGUAGCCUGCCUUUACACUUUGUCAGCUAGGCAUCAGCCAGCUUUAGUUCCACUAAGGUUUCAAAAACUCAAGAUCGCAGCUCGCAUCACAAAUGCCAUAGCUUACCUGGUAUUCUAGGUCAUCAUUUGCAAAAAAACACGUGCGGUUGCUUUGCAGUCUCCCUUCCAGGAAGCCCUCCAGUUCUCAAUAUGUCACAGAGCACCUAAACCCAAACUUGAGUAUCACCGAAUUAGUUUAACGUACACAGACAAAUAGAUAGAUGAUAACACUCCAUUUUAUCACUUCUUUCAAACUUUAUUUCAGCGCCCACCAGACUUCUAAAAAGAUGAUGACUAAAGUUGCAGAGUAUUUACUGAACAAAAAAACAAAGCCUAGUGUCUUUUGAUAAUCAGUUCAAAGAUUUAGAAAUUACGUGACUAAAAUCCCAGUAUGGACUCAAAAGCUGAAUCAUAUAAUCUAAGAAAGGACAAGACCCAUUAGAGUGGUCACAACCUGAAUAUCUCUGCUCCAGUCAACAGAAUCACUGACUACAAAUGCUGCCUGAACUCUCUGUGUUUGCACAGCAAUUUUUCUCUUCGCCAUCUCAUUAGAACUGCUAUUCUGGUCAAUGUCUGCCUUUGUUGUCCAUCUCUUGUAUGGUGCCAGUGGAUCAAUGGCAUCAAAGUAGCUAGUGUAUUCAUCAACUGACAGAACAUUUCUGCGUAGAAAAGAUAUAAGCAGAAAGAGGGUCAACCGGAGAGGAAAAAAAGGAGAAUCAAGUUGUCGGAGUUCUUGUUCCAGGAGUAUUGAACACAGACAACUAAGAUGAUUUAUGGAGAGGACUCCUCUCCGAUUACUCAAGUCCCUGAGAACUUGAGUGCUUUCUAUUAACUUUGCUUGCUCCUACGUAUUACCUAGAUUAAAGUAAUAUCUGUCGAUAUCAGUUUUAUUAAAUACAUAUCUUUAUCCCUAUUGCCUCUCUCUCUUCCCCUCCCACCACCCACACACCUGCAUGCAUGAGCAAGUAAUUGAGACAUUGCUGGGUACAUUUGCAAACCUAGAGAAGUGGUCAAAAUAUUUACUUGUAUCCAUAUUCGGACAUCACAGCAGCAGGCUCUCCUUUGCCAACAGCAACGACAAGUUCAUUCUCAAAUCUGUGCAAAAAACUCAAUAAGGAAACAGAUGAAUAAAAUAGAGAAGCAUAUUCUUGAGUAAAAUAGAAAAGCCUACACAGAAUUCUUUUAGAAUAGCUAGUACAUGCAUUGGCACUCUUCUCAGUCUUUUCAACUCAUAUAAUAUAAUAUAGGUAGUGCAUUCCCCAAGUUUCCAAGAGCAAAGCACAGGAGAAUUCUUAUCAAGCUAAUAAUACACAUGCACUAUAUUUUAUUUCGCAAUUUUCAUAAUCAUGAGCGAGAUAGAUGAAAAAAAAGCAAAUGUUAUGGAAAAUGCUCAGUUCUGAUUUACAUUAGCAUGGCGCAUUUCUCGUUGGACAUUGGUCAUGGAGAGAAUCCAACAAAUCCAUACCUAUUUACCAGUUGUUUAAAAGGUGUGUGGCCCUGUAUGACCUGCAAAUUAUCUUGGUCAAAAUAUGAGAGAAAAACGAAACAAAGUAGUUCUGGACCUGAUAACAAGCAAAAUCGUGAGGGCAAGCAGAUUUGUAACACAAGAAACAAACUACCUGUGAAAGUAAAAUGUUGACUCUUAGUAGUUGACCUAAGUCCUGGGCUCUUUUGGAUUCAGAAAAGCCACCUCCUGCAUCAGCCAUUGCUAUUAGCAUCGUGCAGUAAAAACUAAUUAUCGCUUCUUCAAGAAUUAACAAGCGAAAUUUCUAAUUUCAAGGGACUAACAUAUUGAGCGAUUAUAGGUAAGGGCAUCUCAAAAGGCGUCACAGAUUCAAAUUGCUUGAAUGACUUAAACAUAAGACAGCGGCAAUCUCAAAAUCAUCAAGACGAUUACUAUUAGAUCUUAAAAGUACCAAUACUUGCUCAUAAGUGAAUAAUCAACCACAAUAAGCGUAUGAUGUCCAGCAUGCAACUUGAAAACUUUAGUUUGACCAUCAUAUCACGGCACUCACCGGUGAUGACUCUAUAGAAUGGUCACAUUCGCUAACACACAUCGAAAGUGAGAAAUGUAAUAGUAAAGGUUACUAACACAUUUAAGCAAUCACGAACACUCACCAUUUGUUAAGAACACGAAAGGUAUCUUCAAAUUUCCUGAAAAGAUGUAGAACAUAAAGUAAGUGACAGCAGGUUACAAAUAGCAGAUAUCGAGAUUCAGAUACGAAUCUCGAUAUCCGCCGCCCUUUACAGUCCAUCAGAAAUUUCGGUAGCAAUCAGUUCGCAACGUAGAACAUUGGAAGACAGGUGAAACGGCACGAUCGCCAGCAUGAGAUAAGCCUCGCAGGUAUAUCAGCAAGCGAUGGCGAAAGCUUUACCAGAAUCGUCGUACAAUCUCCUGAGCGCGCGCGGAGAACCGCCGAUGGGAGUGUGACCGAGGAGGACCACGCCGUCGAUGUCGAAGGCGAUGCCGAACGAAGGCCUGCACAACGAAACCACGAUCGUCGAUUCGAUCACGGACGAAAAAGAAGAAGAAGAAGAAGAGAAAAAGAGAACAUCGGAGAAAAUCACAAGCGUAGUCGAAGCAUGACCGGAACGCACCGAUCCGAUUGCGAGCGAAGCCGCGAAAAUGAGCGCGAGGCGAGCGGGGACGGCUGCUUUCUGCCGCGACUCCGCGAGGCGAUGGUGAAAAGCCGGUGCCUCAUUUUCCUGUUCGCGGCGAAUCGCUUCGGGAGAUCGAGGAGCUCGAAUCGCCGGAGAUGAAGCUCCAAGAAGAACGGAGCGAGCUUCAACAGUCCAUAGAGAAAGAGAGAGAGAAUGGCCCAAUCGCGCAGCGUCUUCUCGUUCAAUGUUCAGGAGCCGUGAAUUGGGCACCGUUGAAAUGAUGGGCGGGCCUCGAUAACGGAUCGGCCUUUCCUUCGGAUCCGAGCUCAACGGUUAAGCUUGAUUUUGGUGAACGUUUUUGGGCUGUUUUCUUUAGUUCUUUCACUUUUGGUGUAUUUUUCUCUUCAGGCCUACUAAUUCAGGCUCCUUGUCUCGAAACCUCUCGAGAGAGAAUCGCUAACUGCGUCUUUGGUGCACCUGAUGCUAGGGGUGAGUGGUUUCAGGUUCCGGUUCAGUUUUGUUUAGAACCUGGAACUUACCAUCGGGUAUCUACGCGUUAGAACCGAGAACCUAAAACCUACCCUGUCACAGAUUCCAGGGUCGGUUCUAGGUUCCAACAGGUUUUUUUUUGUUUUUUUUUUUGUCAUUUUCAGAUUUGUACACGCAUACUUUAUAGCAACUUUCCACAUCUUAGCAAACAUACUAAUGCCAACUGCCAAUAAUUUUGACAUACAUUGUUAUCCUUCUCCUAUAUUACCUCUGCAAUUAAGGACUAAUAAUCCAGAAGAGCCACCCAAAACAAAGAAGUUAAGCAUCUAGAUUGCCAAAAUUCAAAAACACCAACUUCCCCAAAACAAAGAAUUGAUUAGAGCAGUUUCAUUGAGCAAGUAGUCAUAGACCACAGCUUGCAUUUCUUUUCUUGUUCCAUUAGAUUGUGAAGGCAGUGACAACUUUGCUUUAUGCAUUCAUCUAAAUAACCGACAAUCAAUCCAUUCUUUAAAAGUUUGCAAUACAGGGUAAAACUCAAAACAAUGACAGAAGACAAGAUCAAAUCAAUCUAUACAGAAAGCCCAUAUAGCGAACAUUUCUUUCAAUCUUUUAUGAACAUUUUCAGUUGAAAACAAGAUUUCGUCUGCAACCAGGAAACUCCGUCAGCUUAAAAGGGCUCUGUCAACAGAAAGAGCUCUGUGACCAAGUGAUGUCGCUUCUUAAAAGCCAACACCAGAUGCAAAUUGCAAAGGGAGGCACAGUGAUCGACCCGUUUCAUUCUAAUGAUCCCAUUCCUACAUUGUACACCAUUCACCCCACUUCCAAAAGCAGCCAGACUCGAAUUAGUAUGGCCACGAAUCAAGAUCAAUCAAAGAUCUAACCUCCUCGAUGGAAGAUUUCUUGUUCUUCCAUUAGCCAGUUGGGACAAUUAAUGAUUCUUCUAUGGAUAUCAGCCCAAGAAAAAAAAUUUGGAAUGUAAAGAAAAUGCAACCACACAAUUUCAUCGAAAACAAUGAAAAUGGCAAUUGGGAUAUUGAAAAGGAAAAAACCAAAGUAGGGACAGGCAAGAGAAAGAUCAAAGAAAUGAACUAGGUCAGCAUUGAAAGAUCUAUUAACAUGUUAUCAACAAGUCAAACUAGUCCCAAUCUACUAUCAUCGGAGCGCCAAACCAACCCUGAUCAAUCAAAGUACUUACAUCAAACCCAACCCAAUCACCGAUCGGCGGCCACCACUUUAGAUCUCCCUCAACUUUACCUCGAAUCACAGCAGGAACGAUGGCUUCUGGCGUCUGGUUGCAGCAGCGGUGGAGUAGAGGAGGACCUAACAGCAGGGGCGUUAGGGCUUCUGGUGCGAGCAGAGGCGGUGGGUCACGAGCGGAGACGAGCUCGGCUCAGAUCUACCUGCGUUAGGUAGUCGCGGCGGGCAAGAGUCAGAGUGGCGUCGGUGACAGGCAGAGGUAGAGCACGGUAGCGACGGGCGUCGAGCGGCGAGGGUUUGUGCCAGCGACGUCGGCAACUGGCGUCCAGCGGCGUCCGACGGCGGUGGCCUUGAGGGCGAGCGGUGUCCGGCGGCGAGACUCGGAGCGGCGUCCGGCGAGACUUUGAAAUUCUGAAUACUGAAAGUGAAAGGGACUCAGGAGCGCCGAGCGGGGGAGGGGGCUCCUUUUAGAACCCUAACCGGUUCUGAAACUGGUGCCGCGACCAGUUCCGAAACCAGAACCGGAAUGGCCAGUUCCAGGAAAAAUGGAACUCAGAAUCGGAACUGGUCCUUUAAGAACCGGGAACUGCGCUCACCCCUACCUGGUGCAUGUACACCUUGGAAUUCUCAAUUGGCUAGUCGUAAAUGGCCCCAGCUUAGGACUAUGAAACCAAUGGUUAUCCCAAACCUACACCGAGAUGUAGGCGGUGAUUCUCAUAUAUUGAAAAAUAGGAUGUGAUACGAUGAAAUAUGAUGCAAUGGAGAUAGACACUGAAAAUGAAUGGAUUGUUUUUUUUUUUUUUCUUGUAGCAAAGUUUGGAUUAGUUGCGCAAAUACUUGUACGAUAUGAGACACCUGAUUAUAGAACAAAGUCACUUUGGCUUUUCCCUUUUUAUGCUUUGCCCUCUGACUAAUUUAAAGAUGUUGCCAAAAGUCAUGUAAAAAUGUGAAGUUCUGCUCUUUUCAUGGCUAUAUUUGAUGUGAAGAACUAACGAAUCGAGCACCUAUGACACCGCUGUUCUAGUGUGUCUUUUUUUUUUUUAAUGAAAAAAUUACAGCAUGUGUUUGACGACUCAAAGUCUAAGGGGAUAAACUUCUGGUGGAGGACCGAGAAAAACAAUCGGGUGAAGAAAUUAUUGCACACUUCACAAACUAUACAAAUCAAUAUCAUCUCAUUCAUUAAUCAAAUAGAUCUCAUUAUGAGUUUGGAUGUGUGAAUUAUUGAACAAAAUUUCGAUGUGUAACUUAUAGUCCAUAUGAUAACUUUUCAUAUGAAGUGGAGUUACAGCCUUGAUCGGGCAACGGAAAUUCACACUAUCGUCCACAAUCAAGUCCACAAAAAUUUAUUUCAGAGUCGACCCAGCUAAGGUAAAAGAGAUCCGUAGCCAAUUCAUUUCUCUUUUUGAGUAUUGUAAAAUGUCGGAAAAAUAACUUUAAAGUAAUCGUCUGUCUUGGAUGCGCAAAUAAAAAAAACUACUUGUCUUAAUCCUUGUGCGGGUCUAUCUUUAUCUAUAUCUCUUUUAUGGUCCCAUGACUCGUGUCUGAAAAACGUAAAAAACAGCAUGUCCCUAACUAAUCAGGAUGAUGAAACCAAGAAGUAGAAUCGCACCCGUAAUGUCGAAAACCAAGUUUUGCGAACAAAUUCUGAUAAAAACAUUUUCCUUAUUUUUCAACAUGUGGAUCAUUUAAGAAAAUGAGUCAACGGAAGACAUUUUCAUGGUCAAUAAAAAAUCUAUGCUUGAAUUCAAAAAAUAAUAAAUUUCUUUUUAUAAAAUCGAAAAUCAUUUUUCACAAUAUAACUAUACCAAUAUUUGGACUAGAAACCAUGAGUUUAAGUAUGCAAAGCCUAACGCUCAUUCUUAGGUCCCUAAUAUCCAGAAUCAAGUCUUCAGCACCUAGUUUGGGACCCCGAUGUUGGUGCCUAGGUCUCCAACACCAAUGCAUGAGUCCAUCGAAACCAGGGCUAGGACAUUAGCGCGCAUGCUCGAAUACUUCAACGGGGCCUCAUGCUUGUAUUUGAGGUACCGCACUUGACCUCACGUACCCAAGCACUGUGUUCUUGAUUUUGGCUUCUAUGGAUGCAAGAUCAAUGCCAAUGCUCUUCCUCAGGUCGAGUCCAUUAAGACUUGACUCAGGAUUCUAGUACUUGUGCUUAGUCUUCAACUCUUGUGCAAAUUACUAACACCCGAAUAGUAUGUAUCUCUAAAAAUAUUAGAUCAAAUUUUCCUUUCAAAAUGGUGAAAUAUAUUUUUCAAUUCUUAUUUAGGUCUUAAUUAAAUAUCAUUGUUAUUUUCUAGGAAAUGACAUCGUGGACACUAUUUUUUCAAAAAUGUAUUAUUUUUUACGACAUAAACUAUGUCUAGAGCUUGAGACGAGAAAUGAAUUUUCUAGAUGUAGAUAUAAAGAAAAGAUUUGGAUUUGACGUCUUGCUGAAGGGGGUGAACUUAUUACACUCGUGGUCUUGAUUUUUCGCAAUUGCUCAUCAUCUUUUCCUAAUAUGUACACUUGAAAGGUUCCAAUUCUUCGAGAGUCAUAUAAAUCAUCUUUUUUAUCUAUAUAACUAUUAUGGAAUUACUUUUCAGUUCAAUCAACAUUGUUUUGUUAUACUAAUUAAUAAGUCCAAAAAGGUAUUUUGCUUUUUCUAUUCCAUAUUUUGCUGCAUUGAGAGUUGAUUGCACUAUAAUUGACACGUGGUGUCUAUUAUUAUCAUUAUUAGUUCCCGGCCUCACCAACUGUUGGAAGGUGGCGAUUGAUUUUCAUUUUUCCUUUUUUUCUUUAUGGUCAACGCUGGCGAUCGAUUUCGCACUGCACGUUGGAUAUUCCAACACGCGUUGUCUGCCGUUUCUGUGCUUCCGUCGGAUCGACCAUGGGCCGGGCCGGGCCGGGUUCACGGGCCGAAAGGAGGCCUUGGGCUCCCCCAAGAAUGCUGACCCACGCGGUCGUUGACUUUGUUUUUCUUGUUUCUCUUUUUUAUUCCGUCUAACAGCAUAUGAUAAAGAUUUCCGUAAAAUAGAAUACUAGUAUUAGGCAGGUACGGGUAGUUGGUUUGCUGAGCUGGGUCUACAGGGACUCGCUCGUCCAGGCUCAUUUCACUUUGAUACAAGUAUUCCCACCAUGGCGUGUUUUAUAUGUCGCAUAACCUAAGACGUCUCCAUGUGGCCAGGAGCUACUACGCAUUAGGAAGGGGACACCGGCUAAUAUCCUAAUCACGUGAGUUAUCGACCAGUGACCGAACUUUUUUAUUGGGUUAAAAAAAUUUCUUCAUUUAUUAUAAUCAAACACGAGAGAAACAUAGAAAGCUUCCAAGCAAAAUAAAUCCUUAAAGGGCUGCAAAACUAAACGAAAUCCUCAAAAAACAAAAAAAGUAGGGCUUGUAAUUCUAAGCAUGCUCUCUUCUCAAAAGAUCAAAUCUAUUAUAGAAUCCAAAAAUAAUUGACGGCCGAUCACUGAAAUCAUCAGUGAUGGGUAUAUGCUGAAAUCUUUUCUUCCAAAAAUAAUGGCCUGUACUAUGCACCUAGAUUCGACAUUCUCAAUACUAUCAUCAUAUGGAAACAACAAUGAUAACGCACAACAAAUUGAAUUCUUUUAAAAAACUCCAAGAACUAGAUUUAGACUAAAAGAGAAAUGCUUUCAAAUUUAGAUCUAUGCCUAAAUAAAGAGAGGAAAGUUUUCACCGAAUCUUGGAAAAGUCAUAGAACCACGUCUUGCACAUCUUGCUGGCUNNNNNNNNNNNNNNNNNNNNNNNNNNNNNNNNNNNNNNNNNNNNNNNNNNNNNNNNNNNNNNNNNNNNNNNNNNNNNNNNNNNNNNNNNNNNNNNNNNNNNNNNNNNNNNNNNNNNNNNNNNNNNNNNNNGAAGGUUUUACUCCAACAAACAUUGGCUAGUUCUAUGGACGUGUCGGAUUAUUACUAAUGUUAAAAGGAAGGGAAGUUCGAUGUGGGAGCAAGAACGAUAUUUUUCGAGUGUACGACCAUGACAUGUUUACUAGGAGAAAUCUUUACUGAAGUAACAUAAAAAGAAGCCCCCUUAAUCCUCCUCAUGACCAAAAGAAAAAAGUAAGAAUCCUCCUUUAAUCUCAGUGAUUUAAGAAUUCUCCUCUAAUCUCAAUGAUUUGGAAGAUUGACUGUUGCUAGACUUAGAACUAGGGAGGACCAAGUCAGUUAUAUGCAGGUAUGUCUUCUCACAGUAAGCGAACAACUUAGUUCAAGCCUUUUAGGGACAGCCUUUUAGCAAAAAACCACUAUGCCAUUUAGUUCAGAGCCUAGAAACACCCAGAUGGAACCAGAAUGGAAAUAUUUCUAACUAUUCGAGUUGCAUUUCUCAGAGGAUCUUACCAAGCUGGAGAAGAAGAGGGAGUUUAGAAAACCAUGAGAAUUUAACAAAACACUCACUUUAUUUCAGGGACUUUGCCCAACACAAUACAUCCUCCCCGCUUUUUAUAGACAAUAAGAUGUUACAAACAAACAAGGACCAAGCUCAUGGGUCCGGGAACAAACACAGGCUUCCGAAAAUCUCGGUAGGGAAUUAUUCGCACGGUAUGAACAACGAAAAUGAACAGUGACUUCUCUAGCCUAUUGCUAUAGUAAACUUGUACAAAUAGUGAUCUUGUUCAGUGGUCUCGUCCGUCACGAGUAUUAUAGUCAUAGUCUGAGUCAUCUGAGCUGUGGACUGUUGCCAAAAUAUGUUCAUCAUAUUUUUGUUCAAGAGCUUCAAAGUCUUCUGAUGUGAGGAUCUGGUUCAACUGGUGUGUUGUCGAUGCUGAUGCUUUCUCAUGAGCCCAGUGAGAUGCUUCUUCCUGGGCCUAGUUUGUAUUGUCAUCAUUUGUAGUGUCAAGAGGAAUGCUUGGCUGUGGCCAAUUUGAUGGCUGUGCAUAAAAAGAUGUAUCCAUGUUCUUCGAUGAUAAGGACAAGGAUUCUUGGCUGUAAGGGUCUUGGGAAAGAGGACCUCCCCAUCUAGCAUAGGGGUCUUGAGAGGUUUGUGCAUGUUCCUCUGAUGAUGCAGCUUGUCUGAAUUCUUCCAGUGCUUCCUUAGCAUAUGAUGCUAGGUCAUAAUGAUCCCAUGCAGUGGGUACAUUAUAAUUCCAUGCAUCUAGUGGAAUGGUUUUAUUUUCCUGGCAUAGGAUUCUCUGGAGUUCUUGAUACUGGUGUUCGCAGUAACCAAUAGAUCCUGGAUAAGAUUUGUAAACUCGAGCCUCUACACUAUGUGGAACAGGUCUAUAAGAUGAGGUUCCUGUACUCAGGGGAGCUUUAAUGAUGUUACCAUUGUUAGUGAGAAAAGCUCAUGGUCUUUGGAAAAACAGGAUGGCGUGGAUUUUAGGGUUUGAUUGUGUAGUUCUCAAUUCUUUCUCCAAGAGCCAUUUCCAGUGAGUUGGAGGAUAAAAUCAAUUAAGAAAAUCUAAAAGAUUUUUGUCACUUUCAUUUUCAAUCUUACCUCUGCCGAGUUUGAAUAUCCUGGUGAGGUUGACAAUGAAUCUUCUGGUUGGAAUUUCAAUAGCUAUUAAGUGCUUAUUGAUUAAGUACCAUAAUAACCAUCGAAAUUGAUUAGGAAAAUCAUCUUCUUUCCAAAUCAAAGGAUGUAUGAAUGGAUAAUUUGCAUUUAGUCCAAAGGUAAAGAAUUGAACCUCCAUUGAGUUUGAACAAGUUUCCGUGGCAUUGCCACAUGAGUUUAUCCAGAUUUUCAGCAAGACUGUCCUUCUAGAUUUGUUCUAUGAUCUCUGGGGGGUAUCGCCAGCUUGGCUAGUCUUUUACUUUCUCAAUUUUGCACUUUUCAUUGUAAUGAGUAGUAUGAAAGACACGCCUCAUGAUAUACAUGUUGAUUUCUGCUGGGGCUUUUGGUCUUGACAAAAAGUCAGCAACCACAUUUUUCUUUCCAGUAAUGUGUUUGGUUUCAAAAGAAUAUUUUGAAAACCAUUCAGCUCAUCAAAGUAGUUGAGAAUUUGGAAUCUGCUUCUGUUUGAAUUUGGUUAUCUGAGGGAAAGAUGCCAUAUCCAAUUCUACUAAGAAGUGAAAACCAAUGAGAUGAAAUUCACACUUUUUUAUAUCAUUUUUUACUGCCAAGAGAUGAAAUUCAAACUUUUGUAUACAUUGAUUGGAGACACAUUCCCUUUCUUACACCUGCAACAUAUAUGUUACUUUAAGAGAUGGGCUUCAUUUUGUGAGCAUAAUUCAACAUGGAAUUCCACUUUAACCCCAACUUAAGAAAAUAAUUUCUGAAUCAAUUUAGUAAUUUAGACUUUUUUUGUUUCUCAAAAAAUAAAUAAUUUGAUAAAUAUUUUCCUAAAAAUAAUUGUUUAUAUCACUCGAAAUAAUUAUUUAAUAAGAAAUAUUUUUAUUAUUCAUAAUAACUUAUGUCUAGAUAUUUUUCGUGGAAGGUAAACAAAUUUUUAGUUCGUUUAUUUGUAUAAGCAAUAUAAAUAAUUAUUUUUAUGAAAUGUAUUUUAAAUCAUUAUCUUAAUCAAAGAUACACUCCCUUUACAUUUGUGCUAUAGUUGCAUCUUCACUCUCGAUUGUAUUAAUUAAUCAUCUGAGCCAAAAGUAAAGCAAAAUAUCUUUGUGCUCUAAAUAGGCAAUUAUAUUCUAAACAACUUUCAUCAGCCAACAUUUAGUUUUUCUCAUGGACCAAUGGCAUAUGUUUUUAUGGUCAUCGUAGUAAAAAAUUAGAUUGGAAAUUAGAACUCCUUUUGAAUAGAGGAGAUUAUGUAAAGCCAAAAGAAGCAACAUGGAUGGACCACUUUUCUUAGCCAUCGCAUCAACAAACAAACGGAGAAAAUGAUGGAGAUGCAAUCCUAUUUUGAUGACAACUUAGCAGUGUACUAUUGACGGCCAAUGGAAGCAUGUGAUCAUCAUCUUUUACUGAGACAAUGAAUGAUUAGAUAGCAUGUUGAUGACAUGGAAGUGACAAGCGGGACCUCCACUAGUGCACCUUUGAAUGGAGGAGAUUAUGUAAAGCCAAAAAGAAGCAAUAUGUACGGACCAUUUUUCUUAGCCAUCGCAUCAACAAAAAAACAGAUAAAAUUAUGGAGAUGCAAUCCUAUUUUGAUGAAAGCUUAGCAGUGGGCCAAUGAAAGCAUGUGGUCAUCGUCUUUUACUGAGAUAAUGAAUGAUUAGAUAGCCUCAUUGAUGACAUGGAAGUGACAAGCGAUACUUCCACUAGUGCACCUUUUGAGGAGGAGAUUAGGUAAAGCCAAUAGAAGCAACAUGUACGGACCAUUUUUCUUAGCCAUCGCAUCAACAAACAAAUGGAUAAAAUUAUGGAGAUGCAAUCCUAUUUUGAUGACAGCUUAGCAAUGUACUAUUGCCGGCCAACAGAAGCAUGUGAUCAUCGUCUUUUACUAAGACAAUGAAUGAUUAGACAGCCUCAUUGAUGACAUGAAAGCGACAAGCGAUCCUUCCGCUAGUGCAUCUACUUUCGGACAAGGAUGGAUUCCCAUUAUAUUAUUUCAUGCCUUGGCCUACAAUUAGGCGCAAGGGAGAGCAUUAAAUUCCACAAAUAAGCCUAUUGACAUUUCUCUAUCGGGUGCUUAAAUCAAAAGAAAAACAGCGUCAUCUUAUCAUGUCAUGCUGUCAUCAUUACACUUAAGUAGUCGAAAAUAAUUGAAACACCACGAUAGAUGAUUUCAAUGAGAUUUAGCUAAAAUGUUUUAUUGCAUUUUCCCUUGUAAGUUUAAGACUACGUUAUUUCAGUUAAAAAGUUUAUACCUUGAUAGGUUUGAAAUUUCGGUAUAACAAUUUUAGGAGAGAUUGUGCAAUUAUCUCAGAAAUAUGACAAUUCGGUUUUCUCAAUCUCGUGCUCGCACUCAACUCAAUACAAUAUAUAUACUCGCAUCAGACUUGAUCCAACUCUAAUAUUAAAAACUAAAGUGUAAAGCUUCGAACUCCAUCUCAAGUUCUCAUAAAAAAUUUCAAAAGUAAUGAUUUUUUUUUCUUUGUCCCUAGUAAAAUUCUUUAAAUUAUUAACAAGGCUCGCAAGUCACAUUACUGUAGUAUUACAAAAUUUGACACCUUCGACAUGUCCAAUCCAUAUUGUUAGGUCCAAAUACAUAAAAGAAGGGGUGAAGUGUUCUUUUUAUACAUAUAAAAACAUUUAUCUUUCUAGAACCAGCACCUUAUUUAAUUUUUUUAUGCAAUUAAACUGUUAAUUUGCAAUAAGAAACUUAUAGAGUUUAGGGAAAAAGAAAUUACACAAGCUAUUUAUAGAGUUUCAAUUAGGACAUGCUUUCUCUUCUAGCUCAAGCAGCCCCAUUAGAUUAAAAUUCACUACUUCAGCCAAUAGUGCAAUUGCCAAGAGCUUUGUAUUUCGCAGACUCGACUCCUCCUACGGCUAUCUUACUAUAGAUUAAAUAAUUAUUAGAUCUCUUUCAAUAGCCGUUCUCACACCUUUUGCACACAACACUGUAGACAUAUUCUCCCCCAAAAUUAUUUAACCACACUUCUAAGUGUUUACAAAUAAUCAUUCGCAUAUUUCGUCUCUUACCUAAACAAUUGCAUUCUCUUUAAGCACGACCACUUCUUCCGUGUGUAUACAAAUGAUUUCGGCACCCUUGCUAACUUUUAGGAUCAAAACUAAAUAGGUUAUAAUGAAGCAGCAAGGAGAUAGAUCUCAAGAACACUCAAUGUGUUUCGAUUUUUCUUGUUGCAAGCAUUCGAUCACAAGUUAUGUUUUACUCGUAGUUUGUCCUUAUAGGCCUCCAAAAACAACCCUCCUGUUUCAACCAUUCGAUUCAAGUUGAUCACAGAAUAAGUUUCAUUUCAUCACACAGAAAAGAGACAUUUGGAGGGGAUACUUAGAGAUCAUCAACAAUGAAAAAAUCAAAAUGAUAAGGAGAGUCAGCAGAUUUAGUCAUAAACUUUUUUUUGGCCAAUUUAGUCCUAAACCUUUUGUUUUUGUUCCAGUUCAGUCCAUCCGGCCAUGCAUAGUCGGAAAAAUCUGAUGUGGCAUUCUAGUCAACGCCAGUCGGCGUUGCCGACGCUGACAUGGCACCGGAGAGCAAAACGUCGUCGUUUUGCUUUAAAAAAAAAAGCCAAAGAGAAAAGGCAGAAGAGAAAAGGGCGUGAAGAGAAAAGGGCGUGGGGUUGGCUGGGUUCUUUCCCAAAAUCAAGUAGGGAACCCUAAAUUGAGAGGAUCUUCCCUUGAUUCAUGGUGCUUGACAUUGAUUCUUGGUGGAUGCCUCCAUUCAACACCUCCGUCGAAACCCUUUGGCCUCUGCUCGCCCAACGCCUCUGCUCGAUGCCUCCGUCCAACCCCUCCAGCCAAUGCUCGCCCAAUGCCUCUGUUCGAAGCCUCCAUCCAAUCCUUCUGGCCGACGCUCGCUUGACGUCUCCAUCCGACGUGUGCGUCAGUCCGACGCCUCCGUCCGACACUCGACUCACCCAACAUCUUCAUCUGAUGCUCGCCCGACGCCUACAUUCGACGCUUGCUUAGAUUCGCCUGCUUGCUUGAUGCUCACUGAACGCCUUGAUUGUCUUCUUGAAAUUGCGGUGUUCUAUAUUUAUGUUGUCUUGAUUUCACUUGAAUUUUAUUUUAAAUUUUAUUGACAUGGGUUUGUCGCAAUAAUGGGUUUGUGGUUGUUGAACUGGAUGGCUGGGCAAAUUGCUGACAUGAGUUUGUGGAUGGUCUCACGUAGAAUGUCUCUAUCUCGCCUAGAAUUUUUGGUAUUGUUGCUGCUUUUGGCUCAUUUGGGAAGAAUAUAUUGCUUUGAGUUGCUACUUUUGGCUCAUUUGGGAAGACUAUAUUACUUUUGAGUUGUUGCCUUUGGUUUAGAUUGACAAAGUUUGUUAGGUAUAUGGAGUUCCUAAUAUACUUCUCGCUCAUAUUUUCCAAAGCUCGUUUAGAUCACCUAAAUCUCAUUGCAAUUGCAGCAAUUUUGGCCUGCCUAUGUUGUGGAUUUUAUAUUAUACUUGGAGGGAUUUUGUAUAUAUCAUCCAUGAGCACAGAUGUCAUAUGAUCUGAUCAUGUUUUGAAUUCAAUCUGCAUUAGCUCCUUCCAGACCCAGAUGUCAUAUGAUCUGAUCAUGUUUUGAAUUCCUGAUAUUGAUGCAGUCAUUCUUAUAAGAAGAUUGAGAGCACAAUUAUUCUUUUAUUGUUGGUAUCUGACUAUGCUUUUUGUUGUGCUGAUCAUGUCCGCUGACUGAUGUUUUCAGUUGGUUGGCCGGCUCGACAACAGUGCUGUCUCAUCAGCCGGUGCCAAGUUGGCAUUCAAGUCCAAUGAAGAAAUAGAACUUCAAGUAAGGUCCAUCCCACUAGACGAAGUGAUACCAGAGUCAGAACCUGUUCUUCUCGUCAAAAUAGAUGUUCAAGGCUGGGAGCAUCAUGUUAUGAAGGGGGCUGUGAAGUUGCCGUCAAGAGAGGUAGGCAAGGCACCGUAUUUGAUUUAUGAGGAGGAUGAACGGUUGUUGCAGGCAAGUAACAGUGGUUCUAAAGAGAUUUGAGAAUUUCGUCACUCUGUUGGGUAUCGUCAUUGCACCUAGCAUGGUACAGACGCAAACUGCACCAAGAACAGCUGAUAGUGGAUUAAUUUACCUUAACCUUGUUGAUGUAAGAUCACCGAGUCAAGCAUGAAAAGGGACAAUUCUUUAGCAGACUCCUUUGUGAGAGUUUUGCCUACCCUUAGACAGAACUUCCACUUAGUUCUAGAUGGAGAAUUAGAUUUGGAAUUGUAAUGAGACACACUGUCCAUUGAAGGAGCCAGUUAUUGAGCAAGUGAGGAAGCACAGAUACAUUAUGGUUUUCUCUUGGAGUAUAGUUAGGGUUGUAUCUAUCGCCAUUAGAUCUGCCACACCCAAUUUGUUAUUAUGUUUAUUUAUUGCAAUUCAUGCUUUGUAUUUGUAGCAAAUGACCUUGUGAUUUGCGAGUGAAUGCAGAAUAAGUUAUCGACCAGAACUUACAGAGGCAUAUUCAAUACCUUUUCACUUGUAGUCUUGUUUUUCCUGUUCUUUUUUUUUUCUUUAAAGCUUUUGGAAAUAAAUUCGUAUGUGCUCCCGUACUCAAAAUUAUUCCAUCAAACUUUGCACGCAUCUAGUUUAAAACCUCAUUGUUUUAUUGGGAAAAUAAAAUUAUGCAUCCAAACCCGACACUUCAUUUUUUUUUUUAUUUCUUGCCCAAUAACCCUUUUUGAAAUAAACUUGGCCAACUUUUUUUUUUCUUUAAAACUUUCGGAAAUAAAUUCUUAUGUGCUCCCGUACUCAAAAUUAUUCCAUCAAAUUUUGCACGCAUCUAGUUUAAAACCUCAUUGUCUUAUUGGGAAAAUAAAAUUUGGUAUCCAAAUCCGACACCUCAUUUUUUUUUAUUUCUUGCCCAACAACCCUUUUCGAAAUAAACUUGGCCAACUUUUUUUUUCUUUAAAACUUUCGGAAAUAAAUUCGUACGUGCUCCCGUACUCAAAAUUAUUCCAUCAAACUUUGCACGCACCUAGUUUAAAACCUCAUUGUUUUAUUGAGCAAAUAAAAUUUGGCAUCCAAACCCGAAACUUCAUUUUUUUUUCUAUUUCUUUCCUAACAAUCUUUGUAGAAAGGGUUAAUACCUUAAAAAACCAUAAACUGGUACACUUGUGACAAAUUUACCCCAAACUAUUUUUUUGACCAUGAAAAACCCCAAACUGGUACACCUGUGACAAAUUUACCCUGACUAACUAUAAAAAAUCCUAAACUGGUACAUUUAUGACAAAUUUACCCCAAAAUUAAUUUAUCCGACCACAAAAAAUCCCAAAUUGAUAAAUUUGUGACUAAUAUACCCUCCGAAAAAUUAGAUUAAUACCACAAAAAAUCACAAAAAUUAUAAACUAUGACAAACAGAGUGUAAAAUCACAAAUUGAUAUACCGGUCAAUUGUCACGUGUUAUUUAACUAACUAAAACUAACAGAUGGUAAAUUUGUCACAAGUGUACCCGUUUAGGGUAAAUUUGUCAAAGGUAUACUAGUUUUGGGUUUUUGGUGGUCAAAAAAAUAGUUUGGGGUAAAUUUGUCACAGGUGUACCAAUUUGGAGUUUUUCAAGGUAUUAACCCUUGUAGAAAUAAACUUGGCCAACUAUUCCUUUUUUUUUCUUUAAAGCUUUCGGAAAUAAAUUCGUAUGUGCUCCCGUACUCAAAAUUAUUCCAUCAAAUUUUGCACGCAUCUAGUUUAAAACCUCACUGUUUUAUUGGGAAAAUAAAAUUUGGCAUCCAAACCUGAGACCUCAUUUUUUUUUUAAUUUCUUGCCCAACAACCAUUUUCGAAAUAAACUUGGCCAACUUUUUUUUUUUCUUUAAAGCUUUCGGAAAUAAAUUCGUAUGUGCUCCCAUACUCAAAAUUAUUCCAUCAAACUUUGCACGCACCUAGUUUAAAACCUCAUUAUCUUAUUGAGAAAAUAACUUUUUGCGUCCAAACCCGACACUUCAUUUUUUUUUUUCUAUUUCUCCCUUUUAGAAAUAAACUUGGCCAACUUUUUUUUUUCUUUAAAGCUCUCAGAAAUAAAUUCGUAUGUGCUCCCGUACUCAAAAUUAUUCCAUCAAACUUUGCAUGCACUUAGUUUAAAACCUCAUUAUCUUAUUGGGAAAAUAAAAUUUGGCAUCCAAACUUGACACCUCAUUUUUUUUUUUAAUUUCUUGCCCAACAACCAUUUUUGAAAUAAACUUGGCCAACUUUUUUUUUUGCUUUAAAGCUUUCGGAAAUAAAUUCAUAUGUACUCCCGUACUCAAAAUUAUUCUAUCAAACUUUGCACGCACCUAGUUUAAAAUCUCAUCGUCUUAUUGUGAAAAUAAAAUUUGGCAUCCAAACCCGACACCUCACUUUUUUUUUUUAAUUUCUUGCCCAACAACCCUUUUUGAAAUAAACUUGGCCAACUUUUUUUUUCUUUAAAGCUUUUGGAAAUAAAUUCGUACGUGCUCCCAUACUCAAAAUUAUUCCAUCAAACUUUGCACGCACCUAGUUUAAAACUUCAUUGUUUUAUUGAGCAAAUAAAAUUUGGCAUCCAAACCCGACACUUCUUUUUUUGUUUUUUCUAUUUCUUGCCCAACAACACUUUUAGAAAUAAACUGGGCCAACUAUUUUUUUUUUUAGGGUUAAUAUCCUGAAAAACUCUAAAUUGGUACACUUAUAAUAAAUUUACCCCAAAUUAUUUUUUUGACCACCAAAAACCCCAAACUGGUAUACCUUUGACAAAUUUACCCCGAACUGGUAUACUUGUGACAAAUUUACCAUUUGUUAGUUUUCGUUAAAUUUUACUGUCAAAUUAUUAAGUUAAAUUACAUGUGAUAGUUUACUAGUAUAUCGACUUAGGAUUUUACGCAUCGUUGUCACAAUUUACAAUUUUUGUGAUUUUUUUGUUGUAUUAAUCUAAUUUAGCGGAGGGUAUAUUUGUCACAAAUUUAUCAGUUUGGGGUUUUUUGCGGUUGAAUAAAUUAGUUUAGGGUAAAUUUGUCGUAAAUAUACCAGUUUAGAGUUUUUUUAUAGUCAGUCGGAGUAAAUUUGUCACAAGUGUAUCAGUUUGGGGUUUUUCAUGGUCAAAAAAAUAGUUUGGGGUAAAUUUAUCACAGGUGUACCAGUUUAGAGUUUUUUUUAGAGUAUUAACCCUUUUUUUUUAUUAAAGCUCUCGGAAAUAAAUUCGUAUGUGCUCCCAUAUUCAAAAUUAUUCCAUCAAACUUUGCAUGCACCUAAUUUAAAACCCCAUCGUCUUAUUGAGAAAAUAAAAUUUGUCAUCCAAACCCGACACCUCAUUUUUUUUUUUAAUUUCUUGCCCAACAAUCCUUUUUGAAAUAAACUUGGCCAACUUUUGUUUCUUUAAAGCUUUCGGAAAUAAAUUCGUACGUGCUCUGUACUCAAAAUUAUUCCAUCAAACUUUGCACGCACCUAGUUUAAAACCUCAUUAUUUUAUUGAGCAAAUAAAAUUUGGUAUCUAAACUCGAUACUUCAUUUUUUUUUUCUAUUUCUUGCCCAACAACCAUUUUUUAAAUAAACUUGGCCAACUAUUCUUUUUUUUUUCUUUAAAACUUUUGGAAAUAAAUUCGUAUGUGCUCAGCUACAAGUUUUUUUUUUUUGUUUUCUCGGGAGAAUGUUUUCGUUUUUUCUUUUAAAUUGAAAUGGACUUUUUUGUGGGGCGCUCACAAUUGCACCACAUCCCGGAAAAGUACUCAUCCAUUAACUAUAAAAGAGCAAAUGAUAGCAUACACAAUCUCAUUACUUCACGAACAAACACUAGCUAUACAUUAUUCAAGUGAAAAAUAGAUGAAUAAACCCAUUUUACUAUAGCAAGAUGGUUCAAAAGCACGUCAUCUCACUAAUCCCAACCGUUAUACAAAUGGCCAUAUAAGACAAAUAAAAAAGAUACAUCCACAACCCUACUUCAUUGAUGCCAUCAUCAAUGAAAAGAACAAAUUGAUCAAAACCACUUCACCGAACCCAUUAUCACAAAAGAUAUUCCCAAAUGUUGUCACUUUUGUCUCUUCAAAUAACUUCUAACGCUUGUGCUCUUGACAUUAUUAAGAGGAUCCAUACUAGUAGAGCCACCAGCACUGCCACUUGCAUUUUUAUUUGUACGUCUCUGAACCUACAAAGAAUAUAUUCUUUUAAAGUAUUAUCGACAAAACGAACAUGACAUAAUAGAAAUGGAAGUACUAACCAAAUUUUUUUGUCUUGAAAAUUGUGUUUAGGAAGAUGUAGACCUAAUCUUUUUAAUUGGACAAGUUGAACUAUUGUGUCCCGUCUUCAAGCAAGUUCGACAUGUCAUCUUCAUUCCUAUCCUUGACAUCCUAAUUCCACUUGCCACCUCACCUUCUUCUCUUGAUCUUUUCUGUUUACGUCUACCACGCUUCACCCGGGAUGGAAGUGGUUCAGGCGACUCCCCAUGAGUCUUUUUCCAAAAUCUCUCUCCUCGAAUUGGCAUCAUCAUGUUUUCAUAUGUAGCUAAAAACUUGGCUUUCUUAUAACAUUCAUCAAUAUAAUUAUAUGCAUCCUCUUGCCUAUGAUUUAUAGCAGAAAUUGCAUGAGGACAAGGGAUGCCAGUAAGUUGCCAUUUUCUACAAGAGCAAUCUUUCUUGAAUACAUCCACUACAUAUUUGUCACCUUUAUCCAUUACCUCAUAUCUAACAUUACCAUUCCAUAUCACUUGACAGUAUAUUGCACCAAUUCUAUUUUCUUCUAGUUUUUUUAUGAUUCUUGGACCACAAUUUCUUUUCCACUUAGCACAUGCAUCCCUCUGUCUAUGCAUCCUUGUUAUUAUCAUUAUCCACAUUUCCUCCAACAUACUAUAUAUAGACUUACACUUAGCAUGUAUAAUUUUUCCAUUGAAUGCUUCGCAUAAGUUAUUGUCAACAAUGUCACAUUUCACAUCAGUAUUAAAGAAAGCCUUACACCAGUGUUUUGGCUUUGUUUGCACCAAAUCAUGAUAUGCACAAGGACUAAUUUUCUUCAAUGCCUGAAAGUGUUCAUCAUACUCCGUCCUAGUAUUGCUCUUAGCACACUGCCAAAAUAGUCUUUGCAUUUGUAUUCCCUUAUGUUUCUUGCCCCAAUUAGCAUAGAUGUGUCUAGCACACAUCCUAUGCUUAGCUGCAGGCAGUAAAUCAGCCACAGCUCCUAUAAGGCCCUGCAAAAAAUGAUUGCAAUGUAAAACAUAUCUUAUAAAUGUGGCUAUUUAAGAAGUAUAACAAAUAAAAAUUAAUUAAAGAACUCACCUUUUGUUUGUCGCUAAUUAUGACCCAACCUCGUCCAUAUGUGUCAAAAAUAUUAAGAUAAUACAUCAAAUUUCUUAAGAACCACGUCCAGGUGUCGCUACUCUCAACUCUGACAACCGCCCAAGCAAUUGGGAACAUCUGAUCAUUUGCAUCCCUUCCAAUAGCACAUAAGAUCUGACAUUAACAAAUUCCUUUCAAGAAACAACCAUUUAACCCCACAACUUGCCUACAUCCACUAAGGAACCCUUUCUUACAAGUAGCAAAGCAAAUAUACAUUCUUUCAAACAACGCCUUGGAGUGCAUAUCUGGCUUUUCAACCUUCAAUGUAAUAGUACUCCCAGGAUUUUUCUCCCUAAGCUCCUCUGCAUUAUCCCACAGUUUUACAUAUUCCUUCUUAUAGUUUCCCAUCAACACUUUAUAAGCAAACGACUUAGCCUUCGUACAUUGAGCUAUGCUUACAUCUAAACCCAACUAUUCCUUGAUUAAUUCCUUGAAAGCAAUAGUUUAAAUAGUUGGCAUUGCUUUUAUUGUAGGAAGAUAAUGAUUUGCUAACCAAGAACUUGUCACCCUCCUAUUUUUGAAGCAAAUGCUACAAGUAUGCUCUGAAUGUAAGGUCUUGACAUGAAAUGAUUCGGAACGAGCAUCAACAGAGCCAAAAAUCUUCCAAGGACAACUCUCAUUAACACAUUUUGCUCUAACAAACUUCUUAUCAUUCUUUGUAAAUUUUAUCUCUCUACGUUCAGUCACUGAGUACUUUUUCAAAACAUCUUUGAAUUGGCUACUACUAUCAAAUGUCAUAGCCACAGUAAAUACAUGCACAACACAAUUAGGAUUAUAUCUUGGAAACCUACUUCUCUUUCUAGUAAAAUCAUCUUCUCCCUCUACAUCAGACCCCAAAUUGUCAUAGGCAUAUGUAUCAUAAUAUUCCGUCUCGUAACCAGCUUUAGCAUCAACUCCACUAUUCACAUCUAAUGGUUGAGAUGUACUAAUGCUGUGGAUGGUUCCCCUAUAAUUAGAUUCUUUGUAACCCUCCCACGAAACUCAAUUAUAUUCUGCCUUGCUUCUAGAAGCUCUUCAUUAUCAAUAUCAUCAUCAUCAGUCCAAAAUUUUACAUCGCCAAGAAAAUUUGUCUCAUCAUCAUUGUCAUCAUCCAAAAUAUCCCCCCUAUGUCAAUAAAAUUACAUUCAUCAACUAAGUCAUUAGGAUCUAAGUCAUCCUCGUGCUCAAUAAUUGUCUCAUUUCCUAAACCAAUAUCAUUGCGAGCACCCACACUAAUCCCUUGACCAACACUCUCACUUGGGCAAGCAUCCUCACCCUCACCACCCCCAUGACCAAAACCCUCACUUGGACUAGCACCCACACCCACACCAACCCCUUGACCAUCACCUUUAACAGCCUCAUCGAUUGCAAAAUUUUCUCCAUAUAUCUCAAUUAACUCACGAUGCAAAUAACUAAAAAGUAAAUCAAUGACAUUACUCUCAUUCCAUAUAUAUCUCAACCCAUCUUCUAGAAACUUUCCAAGAAACUUAAAAUAAAGUUUUUCAAAUUUAUAAUUACCCCAUUCUCAAUAUCUCUAAUGAAGCUUUCAUAGCUCCUUGAACCGAUAACCAAAUCAAUCUUACCCCCAACAUAUUCAAGCAUUGGGCGACGGUAAAAAUUUCCACCAUGGAAAAGGCAAGCCCAUGCCGACUUGUCGCUCAUCUCAACCCUAUACAAAAGAACACAAUAUAUGUUGUAAGAAGCCACAUAAUGGAGAUUUUAACAUGAAUGGCCAAAAGUGCUAAAUAAAUAUAAAGAGUUUGACUUGAGCAUAAGUGCAAAAUCCUUCCCGUCUCAUAAUUACAAGUGAAAUUUCUCUCUAAUUUAUAGGAAUUAACUAGUUCAAUUAAUAUCUAGUACCUAUGAUACGAGAAUUCAAGGUGAAUAGUGGCAUAAAAUUAGUUUGCUUUCAAGUUAGAUAUUUGGUUUGUAUAGCUACUUGAAGCCGAUGCCAAAAAUCUUAGGGCUGAUAAAAGAAAUUUUUCUCCCAUAGUAGAUGUGAUCUUGUUUUUUUGCAACUAAUGAAGGAGAACAAAAACCAUGAUGCUAGGUUCUUUGUAUAUAGAUAUAGCAGGUCAAUGUAUUACAAGUAGCAUGGCUCACAAGGCUUUAAUUUUAGAAUGUUACUUCAUAUUAUCUCAAUUCUUUCCUACCAUCACUUCCAUGGAUAUCGUCUUUUGGCUUUUCAGGAUUUUUGACAAUAGUUUCAUUGUUUAGGUGGCUGAAGAGUGUACUUCUAUGCUUAAACUUUGAUGUUAAUUUGCUCAGAAUCACUGAUCUACUUUCAGUUUAAAACCAAACGGUUGGUUUGUUCAACGCAUGCGGAGAAAUAAGAUAAUUUGGGAACACGCCAAAGACAAACAUGGAGACAAAACAUAGUUUAGGACCACGACAAUAUACCUUUCGACAGAUUUUAAUUGACUUCACGACCACCCACCACGUAGCUCACCACUUGCCGACAACACAAUCAAAUUGGGACCACCUCACUUGCUUGUGUUUGCUGUGGAUGAACAAAUCGGGUCAAGUUGUGGGCGAAUUGAGUCUUCAGGUCUUCGAGUCUCUCGUCUUCUCAAUUGUAGCAACGAACGAAUUGGGUCAAGUUGUGGCCGAAUCAGGUCUUUGGGUCUUAUGGUCUUCUCAAUUCGGGCAAGAAGCGACGAACAAUGGUGUUGGCCAAAAACGGGCUUGAUUCACGAAGGAUAUUGAGGAAAUUGCAAUAUGAGAUCAAAUCAACUCAAAAUCUACAAGAAUUUCGGAGGAGAUCUCACUAGGGUUUUUUAGAUGAUUUUGGAAAGAAGCAAGGAGCAGCUGCAUGACUUUUCUCUUAUGACUUUUCUCUUUGGCUUUUAUUUUUUUUAAAGCAAAACGACGACGUUUUGCUCUCCGGUGCCAUGUCAGCGUCGGCAAUGCCGACCGGCGCUGACUAGAAUGCCACAUUAGAUUUUUCCGACUAUGCAUGGCUGGAUGGACUGAACUGGAACAAAAACAAAAGGUUUAGGAAUAAAUUGGAAAAAAAAAGUUUAUGACUGAAUUGGCACAAUUGCAAUAGGUUUAGGACUUUUUUGGUAAUUUUCCCAAAAAAGAGACAUUUGGAGGGGGUACUUAGAGAUCAUCAACAAAUGAAAAUAAUCAAAAUGAUAAGGAGAGUGAGAAGAAGUUGGUAAGUUUAUAAAUUGACUUAUUAUAGUGUUUGCAAUUUAUUUAUGAUGCUUAUAAAAUUUCCAAAGAUUUGGUUAUUCUUUAAUUCAUUUCAAAGUUGGUAAAUUUCUAACGGCAUUGAUAAGUUAUUGAUAGGUUAUUUGGCAAUCAAAUUGAUGGUCAUGCUUUUCUUUUAUCGACUGUACUAGAUGUUAAUGUUGGCUGGGUUUGGCUAUGUGGGGCCCGAUUAACGUUAAUAAAUAAAAGAAAAGGCCAAAAAGUCAAAAAUGCAAUAAAGGAAAAGAAAGGCGGGCUGCUCGUUCGGAGAAGACAGGAAAUGGGCUGCCAAAUAUCGUCGGAGUCGACUCAAAUUUCAAUAUUUUGUUAUAAGACCAAGACAGAUGAGUCGAGAUAGGUGCGUCCAUCAGUUUCAUUUGUCAAUCCGUUUUGUUCAUUGAACACUUUUUCUAAAUUAUCUCAAAUUUCUCCAAUUGUGACUAGGGUUUCUUACUUCAUAUAUAUUAAUCCGCUUUUACAGUGAUGAAAUGUCAUUAUAUUGUUGAUAUUGAUCUCUAAUAUAUUACUAAAGAAGAACCUCUAUGCAUCUUACUAUUUUUUGUGGUUAGUGAAAGUUUUUGAAUUGUCCAUAAUUUUUUUCGCAUUGAAUUUUCCACAUAAACUUGUCGUCGUGUUUGCUUUCGUCUAUUUUUAUCAUUUUGGCAUUAUUUUUAUUCAUUACAAGAUUAUAUUGUAGGAAUAUAUUGCCUGUUAUUAUAGGGUUGAGUCGAUUUUGGUCCAGUUAAUCUUGGGAAGAAAUUGAUUUUACAUUAGGUUAAUUUUUGAUGAAUUGUUGCCGGUUCUCUCGAACUUUGUAUCAAUAAUUUUGGAAAUCCAUCAAGUAAGGGAAAUUUUCUGCAUUUUCCUUUCACUACCUUGCACUCAGUCCCGAAAGCUUGCGUCAGCCACAUCUUUGAUUUUUUGUAUCAUCGACCAAUAGCAUUUGAUUUUAUGGUCUUCGUUGUCGUGAAAAAGUAUGAUUUUUGUACCGAUCGCGUCCUCAUCGGCAUCUUUGAUUUUUUUGUCUCAUCGACCAAUAGCAUGUGAUUUCAUGGUCUCCGUCGUCGUGAAAGAUAUGAUUUCUGCCCCAGUCGUGUCCUUAUCGGCCCAAAGCAUUUUACUUGCUUUUCCCAGAAUUGCCCCAGUUAAUAACACUUCAAUUCGUGUUAUAUUAUGAUAUGAGAAAUGGAUAUUUACUGCGGGAUUCGUCCAAAUCGGUUUCGUCCAGGGGCACGAUAAGAAGAGAUGCUCCAAUAUUCCUUUUUUCAAACUUUCUUGCAAGAUUGAUUGCAGUUUUAUUUUUCAGGAGUCGUGCUUUGAUUGGAUAUGUUCAUGUUUCGGAGGAGGCUUGUGAAAUUUUGAAGACGACUCGCAUCACACUUGUCGACAUGCAGGGAUGGAACUAUUAGGGGUGAGCAUUGGUCCAGGGUUGACCCUAGACCGACUCUGGACCAGCCCAACCCUGUCGGUCCAGGUCCAAUUCCCAAGGAGACUAGUCGGUUGUUGGUCCUAGAAAUCCUAGACCAGCACUGUGUAGGUCAGUCCUCGGUCCUGAGAAUUUCGGGUCAGUCCAACCUAGACCAACCCGGACACUAUAUAUAUAAAAUAUUAUUUAUAAUUUUUUUAUAUAGAGAAAACCUUAAAAUAAAUGGCGUCAACAACAUUAAAUAAUUUUUUGGUGAGAAGUUCAAGUAAUUUUACAUUGUUCUUUAAUAAUUUAGGUUUUAAUGUCUUUUAUGGCGUCAAUAGCCAUAAUUUAUGAAGGAGGAAAAUAUUUUUGUGAGGAGUCCUCACGGCGUCCAAAAAGGAACCUUAUGUCAUCCUCCUCUAGUAUUCGUUAUCUUCUGUCUUAUUUGUCCUCUUAGUUUUCCAUUUGCUAAAAUCGAAAAAAAUUUCUCCACUCACCGCUCGACACUUGCCUCACUGGCUUUGGGUCACUCUUGCUGCUCGCUGCUCGAUACUUGCUUGGCUUGUUGUUCCCCACUCGACAUUCGAUGCUCAUUCUGUUCGAUGCUCACCCCAUUUGACUCUCACUGCUUGCCUUUCUUAGUUGACCUUGUCCAUUAUCGAACCCAUUGGGUCGGUACAUUCAAUGAUCAUUCUGUUCGGCGCUCACCCCAUUUGACCCUCACCGCUUGCCUUUCUUAGCUGGCCUUGUUCAUUAUCAAACCCAUUGGGUCGGUACGGUCCUUGGUUGCCCUUUCAAGGAAUACAAAAAAUGAAAUAAAAAAUUAUUGGUUAGUCCUAGGUUGAUCUCGAAAUCGAACCGAACUUAUUGGGUCAGUCCGGUCCUCAAUCGUUUUUUUUAAGGAGUACAAAAAAUGAAAUAAAAAAUUAUCAGUUGGUCCUGGGUUAACCCUGGAAUCGGAUCGAACCCAUUAGGUCGGUCUGGUUCUCGAUCCCAAGCUUAAUAGGGUCGGUCCUCGGUCCCCAAAAUUGAGGACCAACACUGUGCGGGUUGCUCCUAGGGUUAGGGGGUGGACCGGCCCAACCCAGACCAUGCUCAUCCCUAGGAACUAUCAUAUAUUUUUAGUGGGGUCAAUGCCCUAAAGACUGUAAGAUAAGGUAUUUCAUUUAACAAAAAAAUUAUAAAGAUGCGAUCGAGCUAUUUAUUGAUUUGAAGUAGUUUUUCUAUGCAAAAUUUGAAAUCAACACUUUGACAUUGAAUCAUGAAUGUGAACAAAAUUCAGUUUCAAAUCCCUGUGCUUGAGCUCAACUCAAUAUAGUAUAUAGGGCUCGAAAUUAAACUUGAUUCCACUCAUUUGACUUGUUACGUAGGAUGUUUCUUUCUAUUUUUCCUAAUCAUAUAUUGUACCUUUCGCAUAGCCUAGUCAUGCCAUUUGAUUGCUUUAUCUUCCGACUCUAUCAAGCCUCGUGUUUGAUUGGUGGUGUGGUUGUCUAGUUGUGCAAUGUCUAAGCUCGAUAAUUUUUUGAUAAUUGUUUAUCUUUUUACUUUUCUGUUUUUUGCAUCACAAAGAAGUUUAUAGUACANNNNNNNNNNNNNNNNNNNNNNNNNNNNNNNNNNNNNNNNNNNNNNNNNNNNNNNNNNNNNNNNNNNNNNNNNNNNNNNNNNNNNNNNNNNNNNNNNNNNNNNNNNNNNNNNNNNNNNNNNNNNNNACAAUGGAAGUUACUAAAAAGGCAAAGUGGGGUUUCAUUAGGCAUUCAUCAGUUGGAUUUUAUUUCUUUAGAUAAACUAUAAGGAUCCCAUCCCACUGCUCCUUUUGCUCUUCCGAUUUCCAUCUUUUGGCAAUGGAAAACCGUAGCCACAACAACUCCGAUAUAAAUUAAGGAAUCGUUAUGCUAUCUGGAUCCUAUGAGAAACUAUUGAGGUUGUCUCAUCCAUUGAUCGUAAGACUUUUAGGAUUAUAUGUCACAACCGUACUUCCAUUCACUCAUGUAACACUUCUUGGAUAUGUCCUUCCUCAGCACUUCAUUUCGAGUUGGGAUUAAUAGUUCCCCCCGUACAGAUUGGAGUACGAAGCCCACCCAAAAAAUCGAAUAAAAUAGUCCGUUUUAUUUUGCCGGUAUCAGUAGCUGACUUAGUUCUAAUGACUCUCUUUGGAAUAUGAGGCAAUAACAGAGCAAAUCUAUCAAACAAUUCUCCACCAAGAGCAGAAACUCUUUUAUUAUGUAUGUUGGAUUGAUUAGUCGAUUUACGACAUUUUGUAUAGAAAUUACGAAAAAAUGUAAAUAGUUAUAAUUCGUUAUAAUUCGUUAUAAUUCAAAAAUUUGUUUAUCGAUGACCAUAAAACUGCUCAUAUAUUAUAAGAAGAAAUUCAAAAAAUCCUCCAACACAAAAGUUAUUCAUCACAUCGAAUCUCCAACAUUGUAUAGUAAAGUAGACGAUCUACCAUUGUGCAUCAUUCAAGUUUCACACACAAACAUAAAUAGAAACUUCUAAAUUCAUAAGCAUACAAUAAGAUAAGAACGACUAUUGUAAUUUCUGUCUCAUUUAUUGUCUAGAUUAGACAGGUCGCUUUGUCCAGUGCCCACAGUUAGGGCAUUUCUACUUGAAAAAAGCUAGUACUCUUCCAUGCUUGCACUUCUCACAAAUAAAUGUGCCAUCUGUGCAGGCUAAUUGCCCCACUGCAACCGUUGCCAGCCCCACUCUGUCGCCGUCCUCACCAUCGCCGCUACCUUCGCCGCCCUCACCGCCGCCGCCGCCACCCUCACAGCCACCGGCAUUGCCCCGUCAGCCACUGACACUGGCAUUGCCCCAUCGGCCAUUGGCACUGGCACUUCCCCGGCGGCCCUUGCGGCCCCGACUUGCCCUGCGGCCCUUUCGGCCCUAGCAGCCCCUGUGGCCUCGGCGGCCCCUUCUCCCCUUGCGGCCCCAUCUCCCCCUGCAGGCCCAGCAGCCUUGGCCGCUGGAUGCAAUAGAAAAGGAAACCACAAAGCAUAACAGCAACAAUGACUAAACCAACAAUAACCCAUGUUGGGAUGUUACUGUCAUCGGAUGAUACGGAAUUCGGAUCGACCCAUGCCGAUGGAUGAGGAAAGUAUUGGAAACACGGAUGAGUUGGGGACAGNNNNNNNNNNNNNNNNNNNNNNNNNNNNNNNNNNNNNNNNNNNNNNNNNNNNNNNNNNNNNNNNNNNNNNNNNNNNNNNNNNNNNNNNNNNNNNNNNNNNNNNNNNNNNNNNNNNNNNNNNNNNNNNNNNNNNNNNNNNNNNNNNNNNNNNNNNNNNNNNNNNNNNNNNNNNNNNNNNNNNNNNNNNNNNNNNNNNNNNNNNNNNNNNNNNNNNNNNNNNNNNNNNNNNNNNNNNNNNNNNNNNNNNNNNNNNNNNNNNNNNNNNNNNNNNNNNNNNNNNNNNNNNNNNNNNNNNNNNNNNNNNNNNNNNNNNNNNNNNNNNNNNNNNNNNNNNNNNNNNNNNNNNNNNNNNNNNNNNNNNNNNNNNNNNNNNNNNNNNNNNNNNNNNNNNNNNNNNNNNNNNNNNNNNNNNNNNNNNNNNNNNNNNNNNNNNNNNNNNNNNNNNNNNNNNNNNNNNNNNNNNNNNNNNNNNNNNNNNNNNNNNNNNNNNNNNNNNNNNNNNNNNNNNNNNNNNNNNNNNNNNNNNNNNNNNNNNNNNNNNNNNNNNNNNNNNNNNNNNNNNNNNNNNNNNNNNNNNNNNNNNNNNNNNNNNNNNNNNNNNNNNNNNNNNNNNNNNNNNNNNNNNNNNNNNNNNNNNNNNNNNNNNNNNNNNNNNNNNNNNNNNNNNNNNNNNNNNNNNNNNNNNNNNNNNNNNNNNNNNNNNNNNNNNNNNNNNNNNNNNNNNNNNNNNNNNNNNNNNNNNNNNNNNNNNNNNNNNNNNNNNNNNNNNNNNNNNNNNNNNNNNNNNNNNNNNNNNNNNNNNNNNNNNNNNNNNNNNNNNNNNNNNNNNNNNNNNNNNNNNNNNNNNNNNNNNNNNNNNNNNNNNNNNNNNNNNNNNNNNNNNNNNNUAAAAAAAAAAGCUAGGAAUUUCAUCCAUGUGCCUAAUAAGACCCAAAAUUAUCAAAUAAUAUAAUUUAUAUAUUGUGUCAAUGUAAUUUUAAACAGUUUUUUUUUUUUUACCAAUUGAGUAUUAAACCUUUUAUAUUUAUGUCCAUUUAGUUCGUCCGAUCAAAAUUGACCGGCCAGCACUAACAUGAACACGAGAUGUCUUACAUGGCGCCAUCGAUCCUGACAUGGAUAAUUUUUAGUAAUAUUGUAACAUUUUUUUAUUUAUUUUUAUUCCUAUUUUUCUUUUUAUAUUUUCUUUUCUUUUUUUCCUUUUUUUCUUUCUUUCGUUUUUAUUUUUUUCUUCACUCCCUUCUUUCUCCGGCUAGUCACCAGCGACCACUGGAAAUGAAGCUUUAGGAAGAAUGGAGCGAGCUUCAAAUACUGUCCAGACUCGAUCAUGUCUUCAUGGGUGAUGUUCAGGAGCUAGGAAUUAGGCCCAUUGAAAUGAUACAUGUGUUUGACUAUUCACUGUCUAAGGUGGUAAGAUUUCGGUGAAGGGCCAAGAAAAACAAUCAGGUUUGAAAUGAGAAAUUAUUAUAUGCUCUACAAAACGUGUGACCCGAUAUCAUCUUGAUCAUUAAUCAAGUAGAUCUCGCUAUGAGUCCCCGGGAUCAAUUGUUGAACUGGGUUUCAACAUAAGAUUUAUUGAAUGUACAGUAACAUUGCAUGCAAAACAGGGUUGCAUACGUGAUUUGAAAAAUAAAAUUCACUCUACUAUCCAAAGUCAAGUCCACAAAAACUUAUUUUAGAACCAAACUGUUAAGGAUAUAAGCGACCCACUGUCGAUUCGUUUCUACUUCGAGUAUUCUAAAAACGUAGGAAAAUGUUCUAAGAUCCUCCUGAACUUAAACUGUCUUAGAUGGGCACAUAAAAAAACCACUAAUCUCAGUCCGCACGUUGGUCUAUUCUUGUCCCCAUCUCUCUUAUGGUCACGGGACUCCUGUCCGAACGAUAUUAAAAGACAGCCAUGUGGCCAGCUAAUUAGAACGGUGGAAUUAAAGAAGAAACGUGGGAAAAACGACGUAAAGGCAAAGUCCGUCGUCUCGUCACCAUCGGCCAUGAUCGUGCAUUUUUAGAAUCUUGUCCCUCCGAUUUUAUUCGCCAUCACAUCGUUUUCUUCCCCCAACUGCGGGACUCUCGAGUCUGUCGCUACCCUUUCGUCGCAAUGAUGGUUCCAAUGCCAUAACAAAAGACGAUGGAUAGACCCACAAAUUGAAUCUAGUCAAAAAUGGUCAAAUUCAAAUUAACAUAUUUCAUUCAUUUUGAUUUAUUUUCAUGCAAUUCAAAUUAUGUUACUCAUACCCGACCUAAUUCAUAUAUGAUUUGACUCAUAUUUCUAAAACACUUCCAUAUUUAAACUAAUUUAAGAAAAUCCAAAAUGAAGUGAGUAAAUUGUGAACUUAUUUAAUACCCAUAUUAUUUUGAAUUUAAGUCAUUCAUAUAAUCAAAAAAAUAGUCUUAUAACCCAUUUUAACAAGUCUACCAUCAGAUAAACAUGAUAUCCCGACAUUUAUGAAAAAUUGUCCCAAUUAUGUCACAUCGCAUAUACAUGUAAGAAGGAAGAUUGGGACAUCUCCCAAAAAUCAAGUACGUAAUCGACAUUGCAUAGGUUGAGAAAAGAGCAAGAAGAACUAUAAAUUAUUCCUUUAAUUCUACUUGAUUCAAAUGGGAUGCUGACUGCCUUUGGGGAACGACAUAUGUGAAACGCAAUAAGCAAAAUACACAAAAGAUAGCGACUAAUUAAGAUAUGGAAAAACACAUAAUGGAAAUAUUGUGUCGGAUUCCAAGGAAUUGAUAAUGUUCAGAAACCACAGAGAAAAAGGCACCUUUUGUGUCGAGAACUGCACUCCUUUCUGAAGAUAAGUUGACAGCGUCCUCCACAGUGUCCGCAACCUGCAUAGGCAAGCAUAAAAGAGUUCAACCGGGUAAGCGAUUUUUGGAUACACUUUUAACCUUGGAAAAUUUGGAGAGAAGUCAAAUUCCCCAUAAAAGUUGCUUUCAAUUGGGGAUAUUUUGGAAAUACUGACAUUUUGCUAGGCUGAAGAAGGAAAAGAUUCAAUCAUGUUUCAUCCAACCGAUUUAGAAUUGACCGAUCACCCAGAGCAUAGCAAAUCAAGGUAUGUAAGUAUGGGAGGGUUUUUUACGAUGACAACUCAAAACCACUUGAGGCCAUGUCUGGUUCAUGGCCAUGGAAUCAUGAAAAGGAAUCUCAAUCUAAGCAAUCAAAUUCCUAGAUGUCGGGUUCAUUCUUUAGUGUUUGGUUUCAAUUUAAUUAUGAAGGGAGAAAUGUCCGAUGUGAGAUGCAAUUUGAGGUAAAAACAUGUCAGAAAUGGAAUGUGUAAAAUAUUUCUUCCAUACACAUAUCUAAAGUGGCUAAUGAAAAAGUAGGGAUAAAAACAGAAUGAAGAACCACAAACGAUGCCCCGACAAUUUCCCGAUUAUUGUCAUCUAAAAUGAUCAUAGAGUUCACACAAUCAUUUCACAAACACAUUACAUACAGUUCCUCAAAAUUGAGAAAAGCAUUUCACACAGAAUCUGCAACAAUGAAGAUAAAGUCAUUCCCGCAUAACUUCAAACUACUUCAAAGCUGUUACCUCAAGCCAUUGUGAUAUUCUUGUCUUUAUUGUGUUUAGAGUCAGACCCACUCACGAGAACAAAUGGAGUGACAGCAACUCAGCCAAGUGUGUUAAUGGAACUCUAUAUCCCCACCCAAGCCAACGUGAUGCUCAUAGUUGCCGUCUCCAUUAACAGACCAGAUAAGUUUCAUAAUAGCGAGAAAGAGAAAUAAUCUCACCUUGUAGAGGAAUGUGAGGGCCAUGGAAUCAAGAGGCAGGCGAAACUCCCAUGGAAGGAUAUGAAGAUGAUGAAUGGCGCGAGAGAGAGAGAGAGAGAGAGAGAGAGAGAGAGAGAGAGAGAGAGAGAGAGAGAGUUAUGGCUUUGUAGAAUUUGAAGAUGAUGAAGCUCAAGAGUAUUGAGCGUGUUGGGCUCCCGAAUGUUUUUUCCUCCUAGAAAUCCCAGUACCAUCUCUACCUAAGCAAUCCGGUUCUGCAUUAGGAGUAUCCAUUAACUAGGCACUUUGAUUCUAUGAUCAUAAAUCCAUCCAAAGAUGAGCUGUAAUGGCAUUCCAUUUCCUCUUUAUUACUCCAAGGUGAACCAAACAAGGCCUAAGUGAUUACACGAUGCACUAUACUUCUGAAUGUUUUCAUGGUGGAAUAAAUGAUCUGCAGUCUCAACCAUGACUUUCCAUAGGAUCACGUAUCUAAAAUCUCUAAACCAAAGAAGUGAAUAUGCUGGAAUGCACACAAUUCGCUUACUUAGGAACCUACCAUCAACUCACCCCAACGUACAUGCAAGGAGAGAUGGGAGAGACAGAUAGAGAAAUGUCUGGAUUUUGUUAAGAGUACGAAUACCUACCACGUCCAUGAGAAGUUCUGAAUGAUUAUCUUUUCCCUUGAAUACCCCAGUCCUUAUUAAUAUAGAAAACCAAGGAUCUCCUGCCUGAAGGAGUUGUUAUCAGUACUAGUGAUUGUGUUCGGAAAUAAAAUUACUGAUAAUACAAUUCUCAGUAUGAAAUAUACCUGUCGUGCGCCUCUAAUGUCGAUUUUGGAUUAUCCCCUAUCAUGUAUAGUGUUCUGAAACAACGGAUUCCAGAGUAUGUAUAAUUCUCCACAUCUAGGUUGCUUAACAACGAUGGCAUAAGAUUCCUUAACACGGUCUCAGCAUUUCCAUAGACAAAUGGAUUUGGCCUCCCAUACGAUGUAUACGUGUUGACACCUAAAUUUUGACAAUUUAGUUUAUUUAUUUAUUGCAUAGGAAAUUAGGGCUUAAUUUUAUUAAUUACAUAGCAUAUAGAUUUAGGUGCAUUUUAUUUUAAUUGGCAUUUUAUUUAUUGGACCGGUGCGGAUGGGUUCAAAUUAAUUGGACUAAGCCCACGAAGCGAGCAAGUUGGCCCAAGCUCGUGUUUUUUAAUAAUUAAAAAAUUAUCUCGUGGGAAUAUAAUAUUUUAAAAUUUUUCCGAGAUAUGAAUCUUUUUUGGAUAGGCCGAUGGGUAAAAGAAUAUUGCAAUUUGGUUUUGAAAGAUUUGGAUUUAGAGAAAAAUUCUAUCAUAAUCUUGAAUCCUUAUUAAUAUGGGAUAAAAUUGGUGAAGGAAUAUUGCGUUCGAAAAAUUCUCGUGGAUGUUGAUCUAAAACCCUAGUUCACUCACCUAUAAAUAGGUUGCUACACCACAGGGAAAAAAAAAGAUGGACACAGACGGCCUUUGAGAGUAAAACGUGAGUGGGGCUUCACAAUUGAGAGACACGUGAGAGAGGAGAGAGUGUGAGUUUUCUUGGCCAAUUCUUGACCAAGACCCACGUCGAUGCUUCUGCCGCGGUGCUUUUGUCGUCCCCAAUACAUUGUCAAUGAGCUGCUAUCCUGUUGAGUUAUUACUCGAUCGCUUGACAACGCCACCGCAGCCCCUUCAUCGAUGACGUCACUGCAGCUCUGACCCUCGUAGUUGCUGUUCCGACUAUUACCCAAUCGCCGUCGUCGCUGCUGCCGCGAGACCACACGUUGAUCUGUUGGCCAGCUGUUGCCUUGUUGACGCCAUCCCUGUCUUGCUGAUCUGUUCCGACCCGAGCAGCAACGUUGCAACGAUCUCAUCAAUUCUAGUGAGCCCCUCCAUGAUUUCGGGAGGUCAAAGUUUGACAAUCAGUGGGAUUGUCAGAAGGCUAGUGGAUUUCCUUGCGUCACCAAAUUCCACAAAACCAACAGUGGGAGACCAAGAUUAGCCAUCCAUCGACGAGUCCCUUGCCGAGCUUACAAAUUUUUGUUUCGCAGGUCUCGUGGAGCUCAUCGAGCGAUUUUCGAGCAACCAAGCACCGCCACGUUGGAUCGCGAGUAGCUAUUCGAGGAUCAGAAUUCGAAAACCAAUAUUCAAAUUAGGUGAAAAUCUUAUCUAUUUUGAUUUUCGAAUAUUCCGUUACCUUAUUUGAGAUAUUUGUUGAUGCAUAUGAUUGAAAUUGCCUCUCAAAUUAGGGACUAACAGUCCGAUUUUCGCGUCCGAAAUCCGACUCGCAAUCCCUUGCAAAAAAAAAAUCUACAAUCCGAUCUCAAGCCCGAGAUUUGAUUCGCGAUGUAAUUUAAAAUUGGCCAACUCGAUCUCAUGCGCGAGAUAUGGUUCGCUAAUUUUCGGAUAUCAAUCUCAUCUUGUUUGAUUUUGCUUGUCGUCAAGUUGGUUGAGUUAAUCGAAUUUUUUAAAAGAAAAAUCCAAAAAAAUCUGAAUAAGGAUUAGGUUUGUUUUUAUUAUCUUGCAUAUUUAGGAUUGCAAUUUUAUUUCGAAUUUUUAAAUAAAAAAAUCCAAAAAAAUACAUAGGAUGUUAGUUUUAAAUUUGAAUUACAUGUUUAAUUAUUUGGCAAUUUUAAUUUCGAAUUUUAUAAAAAAACACAAAAAGAAGUCAUCAUGCAUAUGUCAUAUAUAAUUAGGACAUUGUCAUGGCAUAUUAGAUAAAAUUGCAUGUUUCAUUUUAAGUUUAGAUUAAUUUUCUAGAUAGAUUGCAUCUUAGGUUAGAGAUUUGCUAGGUUAAGAUAAUAUCUUAGUUUUAAUUAGGAUUUAGUCUGACCUGAUUAAUAUAAGCUGGAUAAAAUCUUAAUCUAGAUAAAUAAUUUUUGCAUUUUUCUUAAUUUCGAAUUUCAUGAAAAAUACAAAAAUUGCCUUAGAAUAAAUUCAUUUCAUUAUCUAGAAUAGAUAUGUCAUAUAGAAUUAGGGCAUUGUCAUGGCAUAUUAGAUUAGAAUUGCAUGUUUCAUUUUAAAUUUAGAUCAUCUUUUUUAGAUAAAUUGCAUUUUAGAUUUAGAUAAUGUCUUAGUUUAAAUUAGGAUUUAAUAUAACUUAAUCCCUAGUUUAAUUAGAUAGAAUCUUAAUCUAGCUAGAUCAUUUUAAAUUUCAUAAAAUUUGUCUUAGGAUAAAUUAGUUGCAAUUUCUAGGAUAGAUUGCAUUUUUAAAAUAAAAAAAUGUCAUUUGCAUGUCAUAUAGAAUUAGGUUCAUGAAAUGCAUGUCAUUUUAGUAAUUAUUGUUAGGUUCAUUUCUAAUUAGAAAUUGUCCGUCAUUAGAUUAGGUCAUUUAAUAAAUGUCGCUUGACAUAUAGCUCGCGUAUUAAAUUAUAUGCUGCAUGUCAUCUUAGUUUAAAUAAUUUUGUAUGUCAUCGCAUCGCAUUGCAUGUCAUUAGAAUUAAGUCAUUUAGAUUGUAUCUAAUUAUUGCAUUUCUUCAUGUCAUAUAGUUUAGGUCAUGCUGCCAUGUCAUAUUAGAUUAUUAGAAUGCAUUACAUGAUUUUCAUUAAGAAAAGCGAAAACAUAAAAUUGAGUAAUUGCUUGUUAAUUAGAAACCAUAUCUAGGGUUGUUGAUGUGGAUUUCAAUUUAACACUGCAGAUGCUUUCGUUGCUUUGAGGUAAGUCCUGCAUUAUUUAAUUGUUUUCUUGGGUGUUAAAUUGGUGGUUUGCGCACCUGCAUGAACACCUCACCUGUUAGGAAAAUAGAUUUAAAAUCAAUCCAAAUUGCUUGCCAAACGUUUUUUUUUUUCAAAAUAAAAAGAAAGGUACCGAAAGGGCGUUAGAGAAAUCUAACGUAACCAAGUCCCCGUACCCUUAGUCUCUGGUUCGUAGGAGUAAAGUAAAUCUCCCGUUACUUUACUAGGGUUUCUAAUCGACCCACCAAAAAUAGAUUAGUGGCGACUCCUAGUUAAAAAUCAAUUGCAUGUUAACAAUUCAAACAUAAGUCGCGAAUUGGUAUGGGCUUGGGAGAGCCCGAGUUAAGUCUAGACUUAACAAUCCAUUAGCCAAACCCUAGGUGGUUCACACCCGAAAAAAUUGGUUGCGACAAUACGCCAGCGGAAUGGGAUGUAUUCUGCAGGACAAGGACAAGUAAACAAUGCAUAACACAAGAUUGAAGAUUAAUGCAUGUCACUUUGCUGCAUUGAGGUAAACUAGGCCCACGCAAGGAUCUUAUGGGCCUUUCUUUAAUUUUUUGUGCAGAAUAUUAGAUCAAACUCCAUGCAUAACUAACAUUAAGAAGUUGAAACCUCACUAUCUUACCUGUUAUAGAUUGCUUCUAAAGCAAUCCUGAACGCUCCCAUACCCAGACAUUCAGCAGGAAAAGUAGCCUGCCUUUGACUUUGUUAGCUAGUCAUCAGCCAGUCUUUAGUUCCACCAAGGCUUCAAAAACUCAAGAUUGCAGCUGGCGUUACAAAUGGCAUAGCUUACCUGGUAUUCGAGGUCAUUAUUUGCAAAAACUAGGUGCGGUUGCUUUCUAGCCUCCCUUCUAGGAAGCCCCCCAGUUCUUAAUAUGUCACAGAGCACCUAAACCCAAACUUGAGUAUCACAGAAUUGUUUUUAAUAUACACAGACAGAUAGAUAGAUGAUUACACUCCAUUUUAUCACUUUUUCCAAACUAGAUGUCAACACCCACUAGACUUUUAAAAAGAUGAUGACUAAAGUUGCAGAGCAGUUACCGAACAACCAAACGAAGCGUUGUGUCUUUUGAUAAUCAGUUCAAAGAUUUAGAACUAGUGUGAUGAAAAGCCUAGUAUGGACUCGACAGCCGAAUUAGAUAAUCUAAGAAAGGACAAGAUCCUUUAGAGUGGUUACAACCUAGAUAUCUCUGCUCCGGUCAACAGAGUCAGUCAACAGAAUCACUGACUACAAAUGCUAACUGAACUCUCUGUGUUUGCACAACAAUUUAAUUCUUUCCUAUCAUAUUAGAAGUGCUAUUUUGGUCAAUGUCUGGCUUAGUUGUCCAUCUCUUGUGCAUCAAACUGGCUAGCGUACUCAUCAAUUGACAGAACCUUUAUACAUAGAAAAGACAAGACCAGAAAGAGGGUCAACUGGAGGAAAAAGAGAGAGAGAGAGAGAGAGAGAGAAAAUCAAGUUGUUGGAGUUCUCAUUCUGGAUGAAACAGUGUUGAACACAGACAACUAAGAAGAUUUAUAGAGAGGACUUCUCUGUGAUUACUCGAGUCCCUGAGAACUUGAGUGAUUUUUGUUCACUUUACUUGCUCUUAUGUUUUAUCUAGACAUCUUCAAUAGCAAUUUUAUUAGAUACACAACUUUAUCCUUAUAACUUUCGAAAGCUUUCAGUAAACUUGACACCAUAUACUUUCGAAAGCUUUUAGUAACUUUGACACCAUAUAACUUUUGUUGAACUAUUGUUGUUUAAAACUUUUGUGUAGACUUUAAAUAGCAAGGGUAUGUGUGGGCUUGCUUUUAUUUCUCUUUUCAGUGAUUUGCCUUAACCAUUGGUAGCAAUCAUUUUUUUUUUUUUUUUCGGAAUGCAUUGAGCUCCUUGUCUACUUAGCUUCUAAAGUAGUUUUGGAUGGUUGUGCAGCCUGAAUUAUACUUGUGGCAACUCUGUCUUUUCCUGUUCUAAUUAUGAGGGUUGCUGAUGGACUAGAAGUUAUGACCAAUUGCCAGAUGCACAAAUUUAUGGAUUAUGUUUCGUUGUGGUAGUAGUAUAUCAAUUUACAAAUUGAAAAUGCCCCACAAUAUGUAGCAUUUUGGUAUCUCAGGUUUGUUUUUUGGAAGGUGGUGUGAUUGAUUGAUCUCUUGCAUCGAAUAACAGGGAGAAGUGGAUCUAGCUUGUAAUACUCUAGCUGACCAUUUAGGCUUGAAGUAACACAGAGUGUGAUCACUAAUUCGAGGAAAUUUUAACUCUGGCUAGGUGCUACAAUGGGCGGGAAUUUAUGUGGCUAACUGAGCAUUAGUACAUGCAUUGGCAUGCCGGAAUGGUUUUGUUAUGAGGGCAUUUUGAGCAACUGAUGAUGUUGACUUUAUCAAAGAAAAUAAGACAGUACUUUAGGUUCGUUUAGGUUAACCAAAAAAGAUGGAAUUACCAAUGCCCCUGCAGUAUGAUGAUCUAAAUAUACAAGCAAUCAAGCUAAUAAUACAAUUGCACAAUAUUUUAUUUCACGAUCACAGAUUUUAAUAAUCAUGAGUGAGAUAGAUGAAAAAAGCAAAUGUUAUCGAAAAUGCUCAGUCCUGAUUUACAUUAGCAUGCCACAUUUCUCAUUGGACAUUGGUCAUGGAGAUAAUCCAACAAAUCCUUACCUAUUUACCAGUUGUUUAAAAGGUGUGGCCCUGUAUGACCUGCAAAUUAUCUUGGUCAAAAUAUGAGAGAGAAAAGAAACAAAGUAGUUCUGGACCUGAUAACAAGCAAAAUCGUGAGGGCGAGCAGAUUUUGUAACACAAGAGAUGAACUACCUGUGAAGGUAGAAUGUUGACUCCUAGUAGUUGACCUAAGUCCUGGGCUCUUUUGGAUUCAGAAAAGCCACCUCCUGCAUCAGCCAUUGCUAUUAGCAACGUGCAGUAAAAACUAAUUGUCGCUUCUUCAGAAAUUAACAAGCGAAAUUUCUUAUUUCAAGGGAGUAACAUAAUGAACGAUUAUACGUAAGGACAUCUCAAAAGGCAUCACAGAUUCAAAUUUCUUGAAUGACUUAAACAUAAGAUAGCAGCAAUCUCAAAAUCAUCAAGACGAUUACUAUUAGAUCUUAAAAGUACCAAUACUUGCUGAUAACUGAAUAAUCAACCACAAUAACCGUAUGAUGCCCAGCAUGCAACUUGAAAACUUCAGUUUGACCAUCAUAUCACGGCACUCACCGGUGAUGAUUCUAUAGGAACGGUCACAUUUGCUAACACACAUCGAAAGUGAGAAAUGUAAUAGUAAAGGUUAGUAACACAUUUAAGCAAUCACGAACACUCACCAUUUGUUAAGAACACGAAAGGUAUCUUCAAAUUUCCUGAAAAGAUGUAGAACAUAAAGUAAGUGAUAGCAGGUUACAAAUAGCAGAUACGAAUCUCGAUAUCCGCCGCCCUUUACUGUCCAUCAGAAAUUUCGGUAGCAAUCAGUUCGCAACGUAGAACAUUGGAAGACAGGUGAGCCAGCAUGAGAUAAGCCUCGCAGGUAUAUCAGCAAGCGAUGGGGAAAGCUUUACCAAAAAUCGUCGUACAAUCUCCUGAGCGCACGCGGAGAACCCACGGGAGCGUGACCGAGGAGGAACACGCCGUCGAUGUCGAAGGCGAUGCCAAACGAAGGCCUGCACAACGAAACCACGAUCGUCAAUUCGAUCACAGACGAAAAAGAAGAAGAAGAGAACAAGAGAACAUCGGAGAAAGUCACGAGCAUAGUCGAAGCAUGACCGGAACGCACCGAUCCGAUUGCGAGCUUAGCCGCGAAAACGAGUGCGAGGCGAGCGGGGACGGCUGCUUUCUGCCCCGACUCCGCGAGGCGAUGGUGAAAAGCUGGCGCCUCAUUGUCCUGUUCGCGGCCAAUCGCUUCGGGAGAUCGAGGAGCUCGAGUCGCUGGAGAUGAAGCUCCAAGAAGAGCGGAGCGAGCUUCAACAGUCCACAGAGAGAGAGAGAGAAUGGCCCAAUCGCGCAGCGUCUUCUCGUUCGAUGUUCAGGAGCCGUGAAUUGGGCCCGUUGAAAUGAUGGGAGGGCCUCGAUAACGGAUCGGCCUUUCCUUCGGAUCCAAGCUCAACGGUUAAGCUUGAUUUUGGUGAACGUUUUUGAGCUGUUUUUUAUGGUGGACUGAGCACAUCGCGGAGGAGUUCGAUGUUUCGGGGACUUCGAGGCUACUGACAUAUCUGUGAUGGCUUCUGUGUCCUAUAGAUUUGAUUUUAGGCUUCGCUUCAUCCUUAGAAAGUAACCUGAAUUCACGAUAAAAACUAAAAUGAUUUGCGAUAAUGUCCUAUUUAUGCCUCAUGUGCGAUCGGCGCCUUCUUACUCAUUAUUCACCCAUGGACUUGAUCUACGAGUGUAUUAUAUGUCAGGAUGAGUUUCUCUUCAGUUGCUGAGAUAUUGGAAGAGAAUAAAAGUCUAACUGCGAGAUUCUGAGGCGGCUAAUGCAUCUUUUAUGACUUCACUGUUUGACUUUGACAAUUGUUGCUCCAUUUCCUGAGGAACAUUGAUAUGUAGUUACAAAGUCAGAUCAUAAUUCAUCCAUGGACUAUUUAUUACUUUGCGUGAGGUUUAUUUGAUAAUUCAUGCAUAAACUUUGAUCUAGGUGUGUAUCUGGUGAGGCCAAAACUGCUCGCAGUCGGAGGACGUGAACGAGUUAGCGAAGUACACUUAGUUGGCUCUGCCGUGAAGGAUAUUUCUCCUGGUGAUUUGGUCAUUCCUGUCAGAAACCGAAGGCAAGCAAGGAACGGACGAGAAGAAGAAGAGAAUGAUGAAGUUUAGGGAGAAGGUUUUUUUGUAUUCUGACUUGUAAUCAAUGUACAGGGCUUUUGCUGUUUAUAUUACAAGAUGUAUACAUAGAAAAAGGCAAUGUAAUAUUUUACAAAUCAAUCUAAUAUUUGGAUUGAUUCUCUAUAAUCAGAAAUUGGAUCAAUCAAUUCCCGGUAUAUUUCCAGGAUCUUCUGCUUAUCUUCCAACACUCCCCAUCAAGCUGGUGGCUUGUAAAUGUCUAAGACACCUAGCUUGCUUAGUAGAUAUGCAUGUUGUCUUUGACAUAGGGCUUUGGUAAACACAUCUGCAAGUUGUUCAGCAGUUUCAAUCUCUCUUGUCUAGAUUGUCCCUUCUUGAAUCUUCUCCCGAGUGAAAUGACAAUCCACUUCUAUGUGCUUGGUCCUUUCGUGCAUUACAGGAUUCGCCGCAAGUUUCAGAGCCGAUUUGUUGUCAUAGAAUAACUUCGUUGGACCUUUUAGCUGUAUUCCGAGAUCACCAAGUAAACCUCGUAUCCACACAAUCUCACAUGUGGUCUUUGCCAUGGCUUGAUAUUUUGCUUUAGCUGAGGAUAGAGAAAAUGUUGCUUGCUUCUUGGUUUUCCAUGAAAGAAGAGAAUCUCCCAACUUAAUGCAAAACCCAAUUAUGGAUCUUCAACUCAUAGGACACGUUGCAUAAUCUGCAUCGCAAUAUGCUAUCAUUUCCAUGUCGCAUCUUCUAGAUAGAAGUAUCCCGAGUCCUGGACAUCCCUUCAAAUACUUCACGACUUUUAGAGUGGCAUUUAUGUGAGAUUCCUUCGGUUUGUGCAUAAACUGACUGAGGUUCUGCACUGUAUAUGAUAUAUCAAGUCUGGUCAUAGUCUGGUAAAUAAUUUUUCCAACGAGCUUAUGAUAACUCGUUGGAUCCUGUAAUAUAGGAUCAUCCUGAGAUGUUCCUCUAGUGUGGUCUACUGUAGUCAAUCCGAUAUUUUGCUCGAUUGGAAUGACAGUUGGCCUACAUCCUGAUAAACUAGCCUCUGAUAUCCAACACAAACUUCCUCUGACUGAGAGAAAUUCCUUGUUGAGAUCGAGUGAUCUCAAUCCCAAGAAAAAUAUUUUGGUGCUCCUAGAUAUUUUAUAUGAAAUGUGGUAUGCAAGUAUUUUUUAAGGCUCUUUAUUGCAACUUCAUCAUUUCCCAUGAUAAUAAUGUCAUCUACAUAAAUUAUCAUGUAAAUAGAUGACGUACCUUUGGUCCAUGUAAAUAAGGCAUAAUCAUACUUGGAUUGUUUGAAGUUUGCACUGAUGAGAGCGUUAACAAAUUUAGCAUAUCAUUGUCUGGAAGCUUGUUUCAGCCCAUAAAGGGAUUUGCGGAGACGACAUACUUUAUUCUCCCCUUGUCUCCGUAAGCCCUGAGGAAUAUCCAUGUAAAUUUCUUCAUCCAUAUCACUAUGAAGAAAAGCGUUGUGAACGUCAAUUUGGUGUAACAGCCAAUCAUGGAUGGCUGCAACUGAUAAGAAUGAGCGGACGGUGACAUCUUUAGCAACUGGGGAAAAAGUUUCAUGAUAGUCGAAACAUUCUCGUUGUGUAUAUCCCUUCGCCACCAAUCGAGCUUUGUAUCGUUCAAUGGAUCCAUCAGCUCUAUACUUUACUUUAUAGACCCAUUUGCAUCCUAUGGAUUUCCUAUUUGGGGGCAAAUGAACUAUCUCCCAUGUGUGAUUAUCAGUUAAGGCCUAUAAUUCUGCUUCCAUGGCCUUUUGCCAUCGUGGGUCUUUGGAUGCCUCAUCAUAACUAGACGGUUCUUUCUCAUCUGAUAUACGACUAAUGCAACAUCUAUGCUCCGACAAAAGCUUUUCAAAUGAGACAUAAGAAGAUAUUGGAUAGUGAAUACUUGGUCCGUUAAGUGAGGCACAAACAUAGUCUUUGGUCCACGUUGGUGGUUUCGUAGCUCGCCCUGAACGUCGUGGAUGAUUCGUUGGCGGUGGAGGAGGAGAUAUUUCCGCAGCAUUGUUUUCUGUUUGUUCGCCAGAAUCAUUCUCAAUGUUUAAUGGAAGAGCAGGUACACUUUCCAAUGUUGCCGUAUGAGGUGAUUGAUCAAAUGAGGAAGGUGGAAUGACCUGUCCUGGUGAUGCUGCGAGAAAAUAUUCAGGAGAUAUAUUUUCCUCAAUUGAGGAGCGAUGAGAAUUGGUUGAGAUAUCCAAAUCCUCUGUAGACUCACGAAAUGGAAAGAUCGUUUCGUGAAAAAUGACAUCCCUGCUCAUGAAAAAUUCUCCCAUUGAUGGAUCGAGAACAUAAUAGCCCUUCUGUAGGUUAGGGUAACCCAUGAAAAUGCACCUCCUGACACGUGGACUCAUUUUGUCUCGAGGCCACAUAGUUGCAGUAUAACAAAGACAACCGAAAACUCGUAGAUGAUCUACUGCUGGUUUUUUUCCAUAAAGUAAUUUAAAGGGUGUUUUACUAGCUAAUAUUCAAGUAGGUAUACGGUUGAUGAGAUAGGUUGUAGUGAGGACACAAUCUCCCAAAUAUAUUGCUGGAACGGAUUCCUGAAACUUCAAAGCUCGUGCGACCUCCAGCAAGUGAUGAUGUUUACGUUCCACCACUCCAUUUUGUUGUGGAUUAUAAAUACAGAAGCUUUCAUGUAGAAUGCCAUGAGACAAGAAAAGUCAUAUGUAAUCAUGACUAAAAAAUUCCUUCCCAUUGUCAGUCCGUAUUCGCUAGAUUGAUUUCCCAAACUGAUUUUUAGUCAGGGUGAUAAACGUUUUCAAAUGAGAUGGAACUUGAGCUUUUGACUGCAUCAUGAAUACCCAUGUGACCCGAGAGUGAUCAUCCACAAUUGUGAGAAAAUAUCGUGAACCAUCAUGAUGUGCUGUGUGAUAGGGUCCCCAGACAUCCACAUGAAUUAAAGAAAGGAUAGUAGUGGAACGUUUUGCAUUCGAAGGGAAAGAUGUGUGAGACUGUUUUGCAAGAGGACAAAUGGGACAUUUAGAGUAUGGGAAAAAAAUACUAUGCCCCAUUCUUGAAUGUAAAAGAAAGUCUUUAUCAUUGGCAAUGACAUUACACAAUGACAACUUAUUGAAAGGAAUUGAAUUCAAAUCAAUAUGACUUGGAAUACUGGUCCAGAAAUAUAAACCUUCAGAAAGACUACCUAAGCCCAUCAGUUUUCCAGUCGAAAAGGCCUGAAAAAAACAUAUGUCAACAUCGAAGAGUAUUUUACAGGAAUUUUCCUUGCAGACUUUGGAUACGGAAAUGAGAUUGAACUGAAAUUGUGAGACAUAAAGGACAUUUUGCAGGACAAUUUGAGAGCUUAGUUGAACAGUCCCUAUCAAUGUGACAUGAGUAAUGUUUCCAUUUGGAAGUUGCACAGAAAUAGGCGUAUCCCAUUUCCUAUGCAUUUUUGAGAAAAAAAUUUAUAUAACAAAUGAUAUGAUCACUUGCUCCCGAGUCAACUAUCCAUGCCCUUUUUGAAAUUGAAUUAAUCAGGCAGUGGGAUAUACCUAAGAAACUUCCUCCUUUAUUUCCAAUGUCUGCUUUCUGUAGUGCCUGCAUCAAUUGCUGAUAUUGCCCAUAAGUAAUCGGUUGGUCACUACUUGGUCCAGUCACUUGGUAAGCUGCAGAAUACUCUUUCUUUUUCCCUUUUCUCCUAGCUUUCCAUGUAAUUUCCAGCAAUUAUCUAUAGUAUGAAGUGGACGUUUGCAAUGCUCACAGUAUAAUUUACCUCUCCCCCUUGAAUUUUGGUCGAAAUUCCUUAUUGAUGCGGAAAAAAUCUGGUCGUCGGAUGGUUUAAUCGUGGAAUUAUCUCCACCAUCCAAUGCAGUAGACACAUCGACCCUUUGUAGACCGUCAAAUCUCCAGGGGAAAUCAAGGCCGUCAGAUCUCCACAAGAAAUCCGAGCCGUCAGAUCGCCGGAUUGAAUCUAGGCCGUAGCUUCCUUCCCUUUUAAGGGCUCUAUCUAUGGUUGCGGACCCUAGCCCCUCGCGAUUUUCUCUCUCCCAGGCUAGGGUUUUCGCCCCCGAUUCUCUCCCAUGGUGUUCUCCGCGAAGAGCGAGAGCAACAGCCUCGCCUCCUUGUGUCUGCUCCGGUGUUGUGAGCCGUUGGCUCUCUUCUUGGAUGGUCAGUUGGAAAAUCCAGCCAAGGGGCGGCACGAGAUCCAUCGCCAAGAUCUGCGAACAAAAUGUUAGGUAUGUUUUGUUCAAUAUUAAAAGAAAUCGAGUGGAUUUCUCCCUCUCCUUCAUGGAUCUAUACUGCUCGAGAGUUUCUAGAGGUCCCUCGAGUUUUUCUAUUGCGGCCUCGAGCUCGUUCCAGAGCGAUGAGAGUUUGUUAUAAACCGCUGUGACAGACAUAUUCCCCUGCUUGAGAUUUGUGAGUUCCUGCAUGAGACAAAAGAUUUUUGCUUAGUCUAAUUUCCCGUACAUUUCUUUGAUGUUAUCCCACAUGGUUUUCAAAUCUUCCGUCGACGGGAGGCCUGCUGUGACGUCUGGAGAGAUGCAAUUGCCGAUCUAGGUGCAAAUCAGGUGAUUGCACUUUCUCCAGUGCCUCGCCAGCCUUUCGUCUGACAGAAUUGGUACGGUUCUGUCGGGGAAACCGUCUGUAUCUUUUGUCACGAGAGCCUGCUGGAAGUCUUGUGACCAUUUGUUGUAGUUUUCUAGCCCGGUUAGUUGCAGACUAAUUAGUCACAACUCUGGACCGUCGGCGGUUGACACGUGCAAAGGAUCGCCUGGCUCUGGUCAGCCGGUGAUAGCCGCAAUCGAAAACGGUAAAAAUUCAAGUGAAAAGUUUGGGUAGGGAUUCGUCCCUGUACCCGACCCAUUGAUUUCGGUUCCAUGACCUGCAUUGAAGAGUCCUGGGUGAGGGUUUGUUCCUGAACCCGCUUCUCCAUACCCAUUUACUCGUUCUGUCUUGGUGGCUGAGUUUGCCCCGCUUGCGACUAGUAGACUCCCGUCGGGCUGAACAUUAUUGUGACAUCCAAAUUUUCGGGUUCUGAUUUUAAUUAGAUAAAUUGGGCAUUUUAUCGACGUGACUACAAUGUUUUUCUCUGAGUUGGCCACUCACGAGAUAACUAGACUAGCUGGGUAAGCUAUUAAAAAUCGAAUUAAGAUCAGAGAUAGGUCGGUUUGACCAAGAUGAUGACCGAUUAUGGGUGACUCCACUAAAUUGGAAAAUUCUCAUUGACUAGCACUAAUUUGAUUUUACUGUCGUUUUGGUAUCCUGUGUCCAUAUUUGAAUUCUCGAGAUUUUCGCGACAAUCGAGAGUUGCUAAUGUGUCAAGUAGAUUCAUCGUGGCUCGAAGAAAAUCGACCACGGGUCAUUUGUCCUAAAAAGUUCUGAAAACUACAUGGUAGCCUAGGUCACGCUAAAAACACGUCGAAUGGAAACUAACUAUGAAUUCAAGUCCGAUUUCAGAAAUUGAAGAUUCUGUUAUAUCACAAUAAAUUUUAGGAGUGUCGACUUAGUCUCAGAAGAUUUUUCAGAGAUUCCGAGAUUUUUGCGGAAAAUUGUUCGGGUGUUUCGAAAAAAAAUUAAUGGAAAUUCGGAUGGACUCAAUUGAAGGAGAUUUAGACUUCCAAGACGAGCCUUCAAGUGUCAAGGACUUGCAAAAAAUUGUAUGGGCUUUUUCCUUGGCAAAAUUGGACCUUGACUUAGAGAAUUGGUGAAGAAAUUUAGGAUUGAUAGAGUGAAUUCGGAGCUGGAUUUUUAGGCAGAAAAAUGGGCUUCAAAAUUUGAUUAAUUGAGGAUUAUAAUUCAAGAAAGAAAUAGGGGACAAGAAAUUAAUGGAAUGGCUAAGGGUUGAAGAUAUUGGGUCCCUCGGUCCCUCCUUGGCUUCCUUAGCAAGAUUUCUUCCAUCUUCUUUGCGCGAGACACUUCUUCAUCCGAAGCCAGCUGGGUUGCCUUUCUUUCGUCUCCUUCGAAGCCCGCAACUCCAUCAAUUUCUUCUCCAGCAACGAAGACCGCCUGCUGCAGCUCUCUUCGUCCAUCACUUUACUUGUUCGGUCAACUUCAACAGCUCACGAAGCCUUGUUUGACCGCCCACACACGGAUCCAUGAGCUGCUGUCUGCUCCACCACUCAUCUUCUACGCCACACGUCCGCACAGCCCACAACCCAUCGAGUGAAGCCCUUUUGUUGACCAGCAGAGCCACCUGCUGCCUCCUGUUGUCACGAAGACCGAAGCUGCCCCAUUACGAAGCCACAAUCCACCAAGACUCCUCCAAGCUGCCAGCACGUUCGCAAGAUUUCCCCAGGUGGUGACCGAAGCUGCUCUCCCACAAUCUUUGGUCUUCUCUACAGUGAACCGGUCAACAAAAUUGUCCAACAAGCCCCACUCGAAGCCGCCCAUCUCCACGUCAAUGCUGCAGCUCCACUUCAGUUUGUCUUCACGGUCAACAAACCGAUGAAACUCUCCACCAAAUUUGACCGCAAGCUCCACGCGUCCAAGCCAGCGUCUUUGUCUCACCCUUGUUUUCCCCCAGCUCGAGCAUCGCCAGUGGUCUGUGCUACUUCAUUGAUCGGCGUCAGCCCACGCCUCUCCAAGCAGCAGCCCAACUUCUAUUCCUGCAAAGCCCGUUUCCGCAAGCCUUAGCCCAGUGAAUUUCAACAGCCCUUUUGAAGCCGUGGGCUUCAGCUUCAGCAGCCCAUUUCUGUGAAAGCUCAGCCCAAUUCAAUUACAAUUCGUUCCAAAGAUCUAGUAACUCAGGCCCAGUUUUGAAGCCCAAGAAGUUUCAGCAACUCAGCCCGCGAAGUUAAUCGACCCAAGUUCGGUCUAAGCCUAGAAUUUCUGUGGGUUUGCUUAGCUUUUGGGCCCGGCUCGGGAGUCCGCCGAUGCCGUCGAAAAUUUAGGUUUCGGCCGCCGUCGCGGUGAUCCAGUCUCCGCUUUUAACCAAGUGAGUUUUGCUCUUUAAUACCUUCUUAGUUUGCUAAUUAUACUUAAAGGUUGAUUAGAUUUAAUUAAGUGCAAUUAAGUGGUUAGAUUAGUUUAGAGUAAUUUAAUUAGUGACUUAAUGAUACAUGUCAGGUGAUUGAUUAGUGUAAUUAGCAAGUAGAGAUGUACUUCUAAUUAUUGAAUGCAUCUCGGGAUUUUUCCCGAUCCGCUCUGACAUCCAAUCAGGCAUUAUGGGCCUAAAUUGGAUUUAUUGCUAUUUAUUUAUUAAUUUUUGAAAUUAAUUUAAUUAAUUAAUUAUUUUUCGAAAAUUAGACUAGGAUGGCCAUUGAUCGAAAUUUUGUGCUGAUUGUCGUGGUGCAGUCCGUUUAUUUAUUUGAGCUCCACACUCGUGCUGAAUUGAAUUGAUGGUGCAAUUUGAAUAAUUGUUCCUUAAUUGAUUGAAAUUGAGUGGGAUUGAAUGAUUGAUCGGUAGAUGGCCGAGUUUGGUUAUUUAACCUUUAUACUUAUUUGAUGAGUUGUAAAUCGGAAAGAUCGUGAGAGUGAACGGGGAAUUCUCUUGAUUGAGACUGAUCAGGUACGAAGUAUAGACAGGCGUGGUUCGGUGAUUAAGAAUAUCACUAUGCGAAAACGGUGCCUUAAAGAACGCACGUAAACUGUCUAUGACUUGUGACAGGCGUGGUUCGGUGAUGAAGGACAUCACUAUGCAAAAACGGCGCCUUAAAGAACGCACAUAGACUGUCUGUGAUCUAUGAUGGGCGUGGUUUGGUGAUGAGGAAUAUCACUGUGCGAAAACGGCGCCUUAAAGAACGCACAUAGACUGUCUGUGAUCUAUGACGGGCGUGGUUCGGUGAUGAGGAAUAUCACUGUGCGAAAACGGCACCUUAAAGAACGCACGUAGAUCGCCUGUUACUUAUGUCACCUUGGCGAAAACGACGCCCGAGAAUAUUAAUGGGGCUCUGUGACUAAGUAUACUAUUGGAGGUUAUAUGGGAUGGAGUAAAUGACCUAGAAAUCAUCUGACUAACAUGUAAUCGACUAGGUCAAUGGAUAGAUGAUUCGAUCUAGUGUGAUUUGAUGUGAUUCAUUGCUUUGAUAUGAUGUUGUGAAUUGAUUGAUUGAAUGGAAAUGACCGUGAGUGGUCUUGUUGGCAUGUAAUCAAUUAGGUCGUUUGAUCGAUGCUUUGAUAAGUGAUGUGAUUGCUUGGAUGCCUAUUUGAUCUGUGCUAAUAUGCAGGUGGAAUCUGAGGCCAAGGUAAGUCCUCUGACUCAUGUUGUGCAUAGCUAGUCCUAAGGUGUAUUAAUUUACUAAUCGGGUCUUAGGGGGUAGAACUUGUUGAGACGUGGUCUCAAUGGUUAUUGAAUAACCAUUUCAGGACCUUGAUGAGGAGCCUGAGGAGGAGGAAUCUGAAGAGGAGAACCCUAGUGUGGAACCAGAUGAGGAGAAAUAUUUUGGAGAAGAAAAUGACCAUGAGGAGGAUCCUGAGUAUGACCCGGAUGAGGACUGAGAUCCCAUCCUGUUUUGUCAAACCUUGAUUAUAUGUGGAUAAGUAUUACAUCAGACCCUCAUGAAUAGUAUUGUGUUAUAUACUAUGAGGUGCUUGUAUAAAAGAGUGAUUGUGAAUUUUAGUAUGAAAAUUAUGGCACUGCUUUUCUAUCCCAUUUUUUUUUUUAUUGUCUAGGGAUUUAUAACUGCUUUCGCAUGUGCUAUUGAAAAUGAAAAGGUCGUCGAUUCGUAGUCCUGGGAUAUCGCAUUUUAAAAUCAACUAAAGGUAAGGGAUGUGCGCGUGCUUGAGGAUUAGGGCAUGACAGUUACUCUGGUAACUCAUUAACCCCAGCAAUGAUGGAUUCGGGCCUUGCCCGACAUACCAUGGAUAGGGUACCCAUUGGUAAGGAUGGCCCAAAAUGGGUUGCCCCAUAUUCGCUUGAGUUGAGAAUAUCUGCCAUUGAGUCUGGAUUUGUUGCUGGGUUGUGGGAAUUGCAGGUAUUGUGCUAUGGCCUUGUGUCUCUCCCAUUGGUGUGACGUCGCCUGUGGAAGGAACGCCAACAGUGCCAGGGAGCAGAUUCUCUAGAUUCAUGGUAAGAAAAAAAUUUCUGUUUCUUCUUCCUUCUUACAGAAUUUGAUUCUUUCAUAAUCAAGACGUUGAUCUGUCUUGCAGCUUCGAAAGUAAUCAGUUGUGGAAGAUGGAGCUUAAAGCCAAAGCUUUGAUACCAUGUCAGAAACCGAAGGCAAGCAAGGAACAGAGGAGAAGAAGAAGAGAAGGAUGAAGUUUAGGGAGAAGGUUUUUUUGUAUUCUGACUUGUCAUCAAUGUACAGGGCUUUUGCUGUUUAUAUUACAAAAUGUAUACAUAGAAAAAUGCAAUGUAAUAUUUUACAAAUCAAUCUAAUUUUGGAUUGAUUCUCUAUAAUCAGAAAUCGGAUCAAUCAAUUCCCGAUAUAUUUCUAGGAUCUUCUGCAUAUCUUCCAACAAUUCCAUCUUCACUCUCUUUUGGUAAAACAUUCUUUCAAUAUUACCUAAGUUUUAAAAUGAUAUAAGAUUAAUUGUGCAUACGCCAUGCUCAUCUAGUUGAUCACUUUUGAACAAUUUCUUACUCAGCCAAAGGAUAUAAUCUUCUAUAUUUGAUGCAGCAUGUUUAACGUUUAAUUUGAUUAGAUGAAGAACAGAAACAAAUGAAAUAUCAACCAAAAGAAAAAUUGAAACUGUUAUGCACAUCUUAGUGAUUGUCAUCUUAAAUAAAAGAUACUUUUGCAUUCCAUUAGUACUGACUUGUUUUGUUUCAGUUGUGCAAAAUGGGGCUACGAGUAUGGUGGGUCGAUGCCUCAUCCAAAUUGCAAAAUCCCGUGGCAUCCAUAGCAUCAACAUAAUCAGCGACAGGUGCUCUCUUGAAAGCUUUCAAUAACCUUGAUGCCACGUAACUCUUGUCAAACUACUGUUGUUUAAAACUUGUGUGUAGACUUUAGAUAGCAAAGGUAUGUGUGGGUUUGCUUUUAUUUCUCUUUUCUGUGAUUUGCUUUAACCAUUGCUAGGAAGCCCUUUUUUUUUUUUUUUUUUUCGGAAUGCAUUGAGCUCUUGUCGAAGUAGCUUUUGAUGGUUACACAGCCUAAAUUAUAUCUAAAAUUCAACCUCUGUGAUGACAAGUUGGAACUCUUUGGGGACUAAAUUACUUGUGGCAACUCUGUCUUUUCAUGUUCUAAUUAUGAAUGUUGCUAGUGGACUAAAAGUUAUGAAUAAUUGCUAGAUGCACAAAUAUGUUGACUAUGUUCGGUUGUGGUGGUGAUAUAUCAAUUUACAAAUUGAAAAUGUGCCAAAAUAUUUAGCAUUUUGGUAUCUCUGGUUUGUUUUUUGGAAGCUGGUGUGAUUGAUUGAGAUCUCUUGCAUCAAAUUACAGGGAGAAGUGGACCUUGAGCUUGUGUUACUGUAGCUGACCCUUUUAAGCUUGAAGUAACAUUGAGUGUGAUCACUGAUUUGAGGAAAUUAUAAUCUUUGGCUAGGUGCUACAAUGGGCACGAAUUUAUGUGGCUGACUGAGCAAUAGUACAUGCAUUGGCAUGCAAGAAUGGUUCUAUUAUGAGGGCAUUUUGAGGAACUGAUUAUGUUGAACUUAUCCAAAAAAAAGGUACUUUAGGUUCAUGUAGGUACAUUAACUAACAUCCUUUAAUCUCCCAAUAUAAAGAUGAGGUUUUGUGAUGUGGUAACAUGUAUUUGGAAAGAGUAGAAAGACUUGUUUUUUGAAUCUAUCGAAGGCAAAGGCAGUUUACUGUAGUGUGAAUUGAACAGAGAUCUUUUUGCAUUGCUUAUCAGAAGUGACUUGUUACUAUUGAUGGUUCUUCUACUAUUUUUGCAAUCAUCAUGUGUUCUAGACAUUGAUUGCUGGUAUGUUUAGAUCAUCAUGCUACUGGGCAUUGGUAAUUCCAUCUUUUUUGGUUACUGGUGGAAACUUCCUUUUAGUAUAUCUAAGACCUCUCUCUGCUUUGCAACUUCUUUUGGAGUGAAAUUUUCCUCCUUUUCUUUUAAUUCUGUGAUGAGACACAAAAAGAGGUCAAAAAACACUUUGUGAUGCUUGACGCAUUAAUUUAGUAGGGCUCUCUCAACCAGCUUAUUAGUUCAUGCUAUGACAUCUGAGCACAAAUUUGGUAGAAGUCUUUAUUUGUUCUCCAACUUAGCAGUUAGCACUGCAUAUCAGUAACUAAAUUUGAAUUUGACUGUGCUUUCAUGGUUGUCCUUUUCCUAUGACAGAGCUGGCUCUGAUGAAGCAAAAGAGGCGUUGAAGAAACUUGGUGCUGAAGAAGUGUUCACCGAGAGCCAAUUAGAAAUAAAGAAUGUCAAGAGUCUACUGGUAUCAUCCAUCCAUUAAUCCAUUCUACCAUAUUCUCAUGCAUGAAACACAUCCAUGUUUGGCCAUCGGCAUUUGAGUUCUUUAUUUUCAUCUUAUUGACUUGCUACUAGGGUGAUCUAAAAGAACUUGCCCUUGGAUUAAAUUGCAUUGGUGGCAAUGCUGCUUCCUUGGUGAUGAAAUUUUUGAGGUGCGACAAGUGUUAAAUUUGUGUUUAGUGCUUCCCUUAUCUUUAUGAAGAGUGUUGAUUUAGUUUUGUUCUCAAACGGGGAGGAACCAUGGUGACAUAUGGUGAGAUGUCUAAGAAACCAAUUACAGUGUCAACUUCAUCUUUUAUCUUCAAGGUAAAUUAAGAAGCGGCGAACUAAAUUUUCCGCCUAUGGUUAGGAGGUUAUUUUAGUCAAGCUUUACAAUUUGAUUUGUCUACGUUUUGGUCUCGGUCUUGGUCAAUGCCCUAUAGUUUUAUUAUUUUUGUUUUUGUCUAAAUUUGGCCCAAAACCUCAAUUUUAGUAUUUGACGCAACCAAAUUUGAGUGAAAAAAAUUAUCCCUGGAGUCGAGACUAAGAGGAGUAUUUAAAUCAAUGAGACAAUGGUUCUUAUGGUUUGCAGGAUCUUUCUUUGAAGGGAUUUUGGCUGCAUAAUUGGAUGAGUUCAAAUGAUGUAAAAAGGGUGCAAAAGAAUGAUGGAUCACUUGCUCGAGCUAGUGCGGGAUGGAAGUUAAAAUACGAGUAUGUCUUCGGUAACCACCACUCAAAUUGUUGUAUUUAGGUCUCCAUAUCUUUAUAGUGUCUCUAAUAGUAUUUAUCUUCAAGAUAGUGUGCUUGGACUAUGCAUGCAUAUGAAUUUCUCCGAAACUGCAGGACGGAGCUGGUUCCUUUUAGUGAUUUCCACAUUGCAUUGGAUAAAUCACUGGGGAAACUUGGAAGCCAUCCUAAGCAAAUCCUAAAGUUCUAGGGCUACUAAAUAUUUAAGGGCGGUGAGAAGAUCAAAAAAUUCUACGUCAUAUCCUUCAGACGAUCAACUGUUCUGACGUUGAGGCACUGGAUCAACCGAGCACGAUAACUAUGUAUCUUUUCCGUUAUUAUUAUUCUCUUUUCAUAAGUUAUGCAUCUUUUUUGUUGAGGUAAUUUCGUUGCUGCUUAUUUUCAACAAUUUCCAUUCUGAAUUUGUUUUGCAUCAUGCCUUCCAAUCUAAAACUAUUCUCAUGCUCUGCCAAAACAUGAUGGCUGAAUUUGGAGAUCCAAACAUCGGCCCGCUCGGUAUCAGAAGGGUCUAGAAAGGUUUCAAAUUUGCACGAUUCUCAUAUACACGUAAUAAGGAACAUUGGGAUAUACUUCCCAAAAAUCAUGUAAUCAACAUGGCAUGCAUUGAGAAAAAGAGCAAGAAGAAUCAUAAAUUAUUCAUUUGAUCUAACCUAAUUCAAAUGGGAUGCAGAGGGAAAACACAUAAUGGAAGGAUCAUGUUAGAUUCCAAAGAAUUGACGAUUGUUCAGAUACCACGGAAAGAAAAUGCAUCUUUUGUCUAGACAAUGUUAAGGACCGCACUCCUUUCUCAAGAUAAAGGAGUUGGACCAGGAUGAGCGAUUUUCAAAUUCAUUUUUAGCCUUGGAAAAUUUAGAGAGAAAAUAAAUUCCCCACAAAAGUGGCUUCCUAUCAUGCACGAUUUUGCUAGGCCGAAGAGAUGGGCCUAGCAAAAUGGCGGCCUAGCAAAAUGGAAGAUUAUAAGUAAUUGGAAGAUUAUCCACGCUGACACCUCAAAACACUUAAUGUAAUGCUUGGUUAAUGGCUAUGGAAUCAUGAAAGGAAUCCCAAACUGUAAAAGCAAAUAGAGGACAAUAAUCGGGAAAAUAUUCAAGGAUCUUAUGUGGUUCUUCAUCCUGUUUCUAUCCCUAGUUUUCCGUUAUUCGCUUUGUAUACAUUGAGUGAAGACGCAUUCCCUUUCUUAGACAUACAACAUAUUUGUUAUUUUAAGAGAUGGACUUCAUUCGGUGAGCAUAAUUCAACAUGGAAUUCCACUCUGACCCCAACCUAAGAAAAGAAUUUUUGAAUCAAUUUAGUAAUUUAGAUUUUUUCGUUUCUCAAAAAAUAAAUAAUUCGAUAAAAUUUUCCCUAAAAAUGAUCGAUUAUAUCACUCGAAAUAAUAUUUAAUAAAAAAUAUUUUUAUUAUUUAUAAUAAUUUAUGUCUAGAUAUUUUUCGUGGAAGGUAAACAAAAUUUUAGUUCGUUUAUUUUUAUAAGAAAUAUAUAUAAUUAUUUUUAUGAAAUGUAUUUUAAAUCAUUCUCUUAAUCAAAGAUACACUCCCUUUACAUCCGUGUUGUAGUUCCAUCUUCACUCUCGAUUGUAUUAAUUAAUCAUCAGAGCCAAAAGUAAAGCAAAAUAUUUUUGUGCUCUAAAUAGGCAAUUAUAUUCUAUACAGCUUUUCAUCAGCCAACAUUUAGUUUUUCUCAUGGACCAAUGGCAUCUGUUUUUAUGGUUGUGGUAGUCAAAAAUUAGAUUGGAAAUUAGAACACCUUUUAAAUAGAGGAGAUUAUGUAAAGCCAAAAGAAGCAAGGUGGACAGACCACUUUUCUUAGCCGUCGCAUCAACAAACAAACAGAGAAAAUGAUGGAGAUGCAAUCCUAAUUUUGAUGACAGCUUAGCAGUGUACUAUUGCUGGCCAAUGGAAGCAUGUGAUCAUCGUUUUUUUUACUGAAACAAUGAAUGAUUAGAUAGCCUCAUUGAUGACAUGGAAGUGACAAGCGGUACCUCCAUUAGUGCACCUUUUGAAUGGAAGAGAAUAUGUAAAGCCAAUAGAAGCAACAUGUACGGACGAUUUUUCUUAGCCAUUGCAUCAGCAAACAAACAGAGAAAAUGAUGGAGAUGCAAUCCUAAUUUUGAUGACAGCUUAGCAGUGUGCUAAUUGCCAGCCAACAGAAGCAUGUGAUCAUUGUCUUUUACCGAGACAAUGAAUGAUUGGAUAGGGCUUUUUCUUUGGGCAAGGAUGAAUUCCCAUUAUAUCAUUUUGUUAUGGUGCCUGGCAUUCAGGCCAAAGGAGGAGCAUUAAAUUCCCCAAAUAAGCCUAUGGACAUUUUUUAUUCAGGUGUUUAAUCCAAAAGAAAAACAGCGUCAUCUGGUCAUGUCAUGCGUUCCUCGUGACACUUAAGUAGUGGAAAAUAAUUGAACCACCCCAUUAGAUGAUUUCAUUCAGAUUUAGCUAAAAAGUUUUAUGCCAUUUCCCCUGGUAAGUUUAAGAUUACGUUAUUUCAGUUAAAAAGUUUAUACUUUGAUAAGUUUGAAAUUUCGGUAUAACAAUUUUAGGAGAGAUGGUGCAAUUAUCUUGGAAAUAUGACAAUUCGGUUUUCUCAAUCUCAUGGUCGCACUCAACUCAAUACAAUAUAUAUACUUGCAUCAGACUCGAUCCAACUCUAAUAUUAAAAACUAAAUUAUAGUGUAAAGCUUCAAACUCCAUCUCAAGUUCUCAUAAAAAAUUUCAAAAAUAAUGAUUUUUUUUUUCAUUGUCCCUAGUAAAAUCCUUUAAAUUAUUGACAAUGCUCAAAAGUCACAUUACUAUAGUAUUACAAAAUUUGACACCUCCGACAUGGCAAUCCAUAUCAUUAGGUCCAAAUAAAUAAAAGAAGGGGUGAAGUGGUUUUUUAUACAUAUAAAAAUAUUUAUCUUUCUAGAACCAGCACCUUAUUUAAAAACGUUUUUGAUAUGCAAUUAAACUGUUAAUUUACAAUAAGAAACUUAUAGAGUUUAGGGAAAAAGAAAUUACAAAAGCUAUUUAUAGAGUUUCAAUUAGGAUAUGUUUUCUCUUCUAGCUCUAGCAGCCCCAUUAGAUUGACAUUCACUACUUCACCAAUAGUGCAAUUGCCAAGAACUUUGUAUCGCGCAGACUCGACUCCUCCUAUGGCUAUCUCACUUUAGACUAAAUCAUUAUUAGAUCUCUUUCAAUAGCUAUUCUCACACCUUGUGCACACAACACGGUAGACAUAUUCUCCCCCAAAAUUAUUUAAUCACACUUCUAAGUGUUUACAAAUAAUCGUUCGCAUAUUUCGUCUCUUACCUAAACAAUUGCAUUCUCUCUAAGCACGAUCACUUCUUCCGUGUCUAUACAAAUGAUUUUGGUACCCUUGCUAACUUUUAGGAUCAAAACUAAAUAGAUUAUAAUGAAGCAGCAAAGAGAUAGAUCUCAAGAACACUCAAUGUGUUUCGAUUUUUCUUGUUGCAAGCACUCAAUCACAAGCUAUGUUUUACUCAUAGUUUGUCCUUAUAGGCCUCCAAAAACAACCCUCUUGUUUCAACCAUCUGAUUCAAGUCGAUCACAGAAUGAGUUUCAUUUCAUCACACGGAAAAGAGACAUUUGGAGGGGCUACUUAGAGAUCAUCAACAAAUGAAAAAAUCAAAAUGAUAAGGAGAGUGAGCAGAAGUUGGUAAGUUUAUAAAUUGACUUAUUAUAGUGUUUGCAAUUUAUUUAUGAUGCUUGUAAAAUUUCCAAAGAGUUGGUUAUUCUUUAAUUCAUUUCAAAGUUGGUAAAUUUCUAACGGCAUUGAUAAGUUAUUGAUAGGUUAUUUGGCAAUCAAAUUGACAGUCAUGCUUUUCUUUUUAUGACUGUACUAGAUGUUAAUGUUGGCUGGGUUUGGCUAUGUGGGGUCCGAUUAACAUUAAUAAAUAAAAGAAAAGGCCAAAAAGUCAAAAAUGCAAUAAAGGAAAAGAAAGGCGGGCUGCUCGUUCGGAGAAGAUAGGAAAUGGGCUGCCAAAUAUCGUCAGAGUCGACUCGAAUUUCAAUAUGUUGUUAUAAGACCAAGACAGAUGAGUCGAGAUAGGCGAGUCCAUCAGUUUCGUUUGUCAAUCCAUUUUGUUCAUUGAACACUUUUUCUAAAUUAUCUCAAAUUUCUCCAAUUGUCAUUAGGGUUUCUUACUUCAUAUAUAUUAAUCCGCUUUUACAGUGACGAAAUGUCAUUAUAUUGUUGAUAUUGAUCUCUAAUAUAUUAAUAAAGAAGAAACUCUGUGCAUCUUACUAUUUUUUGUGAUUAGUGAAAGUUUUUGAAUUGUCCAUAAUUUUUUUCGCAUUGAAUUUUCCACAUAAACUUGUUGUCGUGUUUGCUUUCGUCUGUUUUUAUCAUUUUGGCAUUAUUUUUAUUCAUUACGAGAUUAUAUUGCGGGAAUAUAUUGCCUGUUAUUAUAGGGGUUGAGUCGAUUUUGGUCCAGUUAAUCUUGGGAAGAAAUUGAUUUUACAUUAGGUUAAUUUUUGAUGAAUUGUUGCCGGUUCUCUCGAACUUUGUAUCGAUAAUUUUGGAAAUCCAUCAAGUAAGGGAAAUUUUCCGCAUUUUCCUUUGACUACCCUGCACUCAGUCCCGAAAGCUUGCGUCAGCCACAUCUUUGAUUUUUUGUAUCAUCGACCAAUAGCAUUUGAUUUUAUGGUCUUUGUCGUCGUGAAAAAGUAUGAUUUCAGUACCGAUCGCGUCCUCAUCGGCAUCUUUGAUUUUUUUGUCUCAUCGACCAAUAGCAUGUGAUUUCAUGGUCUCCGUCGUCGUGAAAAAUAUGAUUUCUGCCCCAGUCGUGUCCUUAUCGGCCCAAAGCAUUUUACUUGCUUUUUCCAGAACUGCCCCAUUCAAUAACACUUCAAUUCGUGUUAUAUUAUGAUCUGAGAAAUGGAUGUUUACUGCGGGGUUCGUCCAAAUCGGUUUCGUCCAGGGGGCACGCUAAGAAGAGAUGCUCCAAUAUUCCUUUUUUGGAACUUUCUUGCAAGAUUGAUUGCAGUUUUAUUUUUCAGGAGUUAUGCUUUGAUUGGAUAUGUUCAUGUUUCGGAGGAGGCUUGUGGAAUUUUGAAGACGACUCGCAUCAUACUUGUCAGCAUGCAGGGAUGGAACUAUCAUAUAUUUUUAGUGAGGUCAAUGCCCUAAAGACUGUAAGAUAAGGUAUUUUAUUUAACAAAAAAAUUAUAAAGAUGCGAUCGAGCUAUUUAUUGAUUUGAAGUAGUUUUUCCUCGCAAAGUUUGACUUGAAAUCAACGCUUUGACAUUGAAUCAUGAAUGUGAACAAAAUUCGGUUUCAAAUCCCUAUGCUGGACCUUGACUCAAAUAGUAUAUAGGGCUCGAAAUUAAACUCGAUUCAACUCCAUUAUUAAAAGCUCGAUUCUACUCAUUUGACUUGUUACAUAGGAUGUUUCUUUCUAUUUUUCCUAAUCAUAUACUGUACCUUCUGCAUAGCCUAGUCAUGCCAUUCGAUUGCUUUAUCUUUUGACUCUAUCAAGAUUUGUGUUUGAUUGGUGGUGUGGUUGUCUAGUAGUGCAAUGUCUAAGCUCGAUAAUUUUUUUGAUAAUUGUUUAUCUUUUUACCUUUCUGUUUUUUGUGUCACCAUGAAGUUUAUAGUAUAUGGAAAGACAAGAUACCGGUUUUGAUUUCUUGCAAGUUAGCGCAUGGUCCCUUAGAGAGCGAUGAGGCUAAGCCUAAUUGCAUCAAUGAACAAUGGAAGUUACUAAAAUGGCAAAGUGGGGUUUCAUUAGGCAUUCAUCAGUUGGAUUUUAUUUCUUUAGAUAAAUCCCAUCCCACUGCUCCUUUCGCUCUUCCGAUUUCCAUCUUUGGCAAUGGAAAACCAUAGCCACAACAACUCCGAUAUAAAUUAAGGAAUCGUUAUGCUAGCUGGAUCCUAUGAGAAACAAUUGAUGUCGUCUCAUCCAUUGAUCGUCAGACUUUCAGGAUUAUAUGUCACAAUCGCACUUUCCUUCACUCACGGAACACUUCCUGGAUAUGUCCUUCCUCAGCACUUCAUUUCGAGUUGGGAUUAAUAGUUCCCCCUGUACAGAUUGGAGUACAAAGCCCACCCAAAAAAUCGAAUAAAAUAGUCCGUUCUAUAUUGCCGGUAUCACCAGCUGACUUAGUUCCGAUGACUCUCUUUGGAAUAUGAGGCAAUAAUAGAGCAAAUCUGUCAAAUAGUUCUCCACCAAGAGCAAGAACUCUUUUAUUAUGUAUGUUGGAUUGAUUGGUCGAUUUACAACAUUUUGUAUAGAAAUUACGAAAAAAUGUAAAUAGUUAUAAUUCGUCAUUAUUCAAAAAUUUAUUUAUUGAUGACCAUAAAACUGCUCAUGUAUUAUAAGAAGAAAUUUGAAAAACCCUACAACACAAAAGUUAUUCAUCACAUCGAAUCUCCAACAUUGUAUAGUAGAGUAGACGAUCUACCACCGUGCAUCAUUCAAGUUUCACCCACAAACAUAAAUAGAAACUUCUAACUUCAUAAGCAUACAAUAAGAUAAGAACGACUAUUGUAAUUUCUGUCUCAUUUAUUAUUUAGAUUAGACAGGCCGCUCUGUCUAGUGCCCACAGUUAGGGCAUUUCUACUUGAAAAAAGCUGUUACUCUUCCAUGCUUGCACUUCUCACAAAUAAAUGGGCCAUCCAUGCCGGCUAAUUGCCCCACCGUACCCGUUGCCACCCCCACUCUGCCGUCACCCUUGCCAUCGCUGCUGCCUCUGCCGCCCUCAUCGCCGCCGCCACCCUCACGACCACUAGCACUGCCCUAUCGGCCAUUGGCACUGGCACUGCCUCGUUGGCCACCGGCACUGGCACUGGCACUUCCCUAUCAGCCACCGGCACUCCCCCGGCGGCCCUCGCGGCCCUUGCUCACCUUGCAGCCCUUGUGGCCCCGGCGGCCCCUUCUCCCCCUGUGGCCCCUGUGGCCCCUUCUCCCCUGGCGGCCCUUUCUCCCCUGGCGGCCCCUUCUCCCCUUUCUCCCCCGGCGGACCCGACUGCCUCCCCCAUCGGAUGCAAUAGAAAAGGAAACCACAAAGCAUUGCGGUAACAAUGACUAAACCAACAAUAACCACAAUAACCCACGUUGGGANNNNNNNNNNNNNNNNNNNNNNNNNNNNNNNNNNNNNNNNNNNNNNNNNNNNNNNNNNNNNNNNNNNNNNNNNNNNNNNNNNNNNNNNNNNNNNNNNNNNUUCUUUCUUUCGUUUUUAUUUUUUUCUUCACUUCCUUCUUUCUUCGGCUAGUAGCCAGCGACCACUGGAAAUGAAACUUCAGGAAGAAUGGAGCGAGCUUCAACUACUGUCCAAACUCGAUCAUGUCUUCAUGCGUGAUGUUCAAGUGCUGGGAAUUAGGCCCAUUGAAAUGAUACACGUGUUUGACUAUUCAUGCUCUAAGGUGGUAAGAUUUUGGUGAAGGGCCAAGAAAAAUAAUCAAAUCCGAAAUGAGAAAUUAUUAUAUGCUCUAUAAAACGUGUGACCCGAUAUCAUCUAGAUCAUUAAUCAAGUAGAUCUCGCUAUGAGCCCCCGGGAUCAAUUGUUGAACUGGGUUUUGAUAUAAGAUUUAUAGAACAUACAGUAACAUUUCAUGCAAAACAGGGUUGCAUACGUGACUUGAAAAAUAGAAUUCACUCUACUAUCCAAAGUCAAGUCCACAAAAACUUAUUUUAGAGCCGAACUGUUAAGGAUAUAAGCGAUCCACUGUCAAUUCGUUUCUAUUUCGAGUAUUCUAAAAAUGUAGGAAAAUGUUCUAAGAUCCUCCUGAACUUAAACUGUCUUAGAUGGACACAUAAAAAAACCACUAAUCUCAGUCCUCGCGUUGGUCUAUUCCUGUCCACAUCUCUCUUAUGGUCACGGGACUCCUGUCCGAACGAUAUUAAAAGACAACCACGUGGCCAGCUAAUUAGAACGGUGGAAUUAAAGAAGAAACGUGGGAAAAAUGACGUAAAGACAAAGUCCGUCGACUCGUCACCGUCGGCCACGAUAGUGUGUUUUUAGAAUCUGGUCCCACCAACUUUAUUCGCCAUCACAUCGUUUUCUUCCCCCAACUGCGGGACUCUCGAGUUUGUCGCUACCCAUUCGUCGCAAUGAUGGUUCCAAUGCCAUAACAAAAGACGAUGGAUAGACUCCACAGAUGCAUAAAUUGAAUCUAGUCGAAAAUGGUCAAAUUCAAAUUAAUAUAUUUAAUUCAUUUUGAUUUAUUUUCAUGCAAUACAAAUUACGUUACUCAUACCUGACUUAAUUCAUAUCUAAUUUGACUCAUAUUUCUAAAAUACUUCCAUAUUUAAACUAAUUUAAGAAAAUCCAAAAUGAAGUGAGAGUAAAUUGUAAAAUUAUUUAGUACCCAUAUUAUUUUGAAUUUAAGUCUAUUUUGAAUUUAAGUCAUUCAUAAAAUCAAAAAAAUAGUCUUAUAACCCAUUUUAACUAGUCUACCAUCCGAUAAACAUGAUAUCCCAACAUUUAUGAAAAGUUGUCCCAAUUAUGUCACAUCGCAUACACAUGUAAGAAGGAAGAUUGGGACAUCUCCCAAAAAUCAAGUAUGUAAUCGACAUUGCAUAGGUUGAGAAAAGAGCAAGAAGAACCAUAAAUUAUUCCUUUAAUUAUACUUGAUUCAAAUGGGAUGCUGACUGCCUUUGGGGAACGACAUAUGUGAAACGCAAUAAGCGAAAUACACAGAAGACUAGCGACUAAUAGUCACUAAUUAAGAUAUGGAAAAACAUAGAAUGGAAAGAUUGUGUCGGAUUCCAAAGAAUUGACAAUGUUCAUAAAUCACAAAAAGAAAAAGGCAUCUUUUGUGUCGAGAACCACACUCCUUUCUCAAGAUAAAGCCGACAACGUCCUUCAUAGUGUCUGCGACCUGCAUAGUAAGCAUAAAAGAGUUCAACCGGGGUAAGCGGUUUUUGGAUACACUUUUAAUCUUGGAAAUUUUGGAGAGAAGUCAAAUUCCCCAUAAAAGUUGCUUUCAAUUGGGCAUAAUUUGGAAAUACUGACAUUUUGCUAGGUUGAAGAAGGAAGAGAUUCAAUCAUGUUUCAUCCAACCGAUUUAGAAUUGACCGACCACCUAGAGCAUAGCAAAUCAAGGUAUGUAAGUAUGGGAGGGUUUUUUAAGCUGACAGCUCAAAACCACUUGAGGCCAUGUUUGGUUAAUGGCCAUGGAAUCAUGAAAAGGAAUCUCAAUCUAAGCAAUCAAAUUCCUAGAUGUGGGGUUCAUUCUCUAUUGGUUGGUUUCAAUUUACAAAUGAAGGGAGAAUGUCUUAUGUGAGAUGCAAAGUGAGGUAAAAACAUGUUAGAAAUGGAAUGUGUAAAAUAGUUCUCCAAUCCACAUAUCCAAAGUGGCUAAUGAAAAACUAGGGAUAGAAACAGAAUGAAGAACCAAAUACGAUCCCCCAACAAUUUCCCGAUUAUUGUCAUCUAAAAUGAUCAUUUCAUUUCACAAACACAUUACAUACAGCUCCUCAAAAUCUCUUGAGUAAAGCAUUUCACAUAUAAUCUGCAACAAUGAAGAUAAAGCCAUUCCUGUGUAACUUCAAACUACUUCACAGCUGUUACCUCAAGCCAUUGUGAUAUUCUUAUCCUUAUUGUGUUUUGAGUCAAAGACCCAAUCACGAGAACAAAUGGAGUGACAGCAACUCAGCCAAGUGUGUUAAUGGAACUUUAUAUCCCCACUCAAGCCAGCGUGAUGAUUGUAGUUGGCAUCUCCAUUAAUAGACCAGACAAGUUUUACGAGAGAGAGAGAGAGAGAGAGAGAGAGAAAUAAUCUCACCUAGUAGAAGAAUGUGAGGGCCAUGGAAUUAAGAGGCAGGCAAAACUCCCAUCGAAGGAAUUGAAGUGAAAAGAUAUGUUUAUGCAUUGCUUAUCAAAAGGGACUUGUUACUUUUGAUUCCGCUUCUACUUUUUUUUGCAGUCAUCAUGUGUUCUAGAUGUUGAUUGCUUGUAUAUUUAGAUCAUCAUAUUGUAGGGAUUGGUAAUUCCAUCUUUUUUGGUUGCUAGUGGAACUUCCUUUUAGUAGAUCUAAGACCUCUCUCUAUUUUGCAACUUCCUUGGAAUGAAAUUUUCCUCCAUUUUUCUCAAUUCUGUGAGGAGACACAAACGAGGUCAGAAAACACUUCGUGGUGCUUGACACGUUAAUUUAGUAGGCUCUCAUCAGCCAGCUCUUUAGUUCCUGCUAUGACAUCUGAGGACAAAUUUGGUAGAUUUCUUGAUUUCUUUUCCAACUUAGUAGUUAGCACUGCAUAUCAAUAACUAAAUUUGGUUUUUACCAUGCUUGAUGAUCAUCUUUUUCCGGUGACAGAGCUGGCUUUGAUGAAACAAAAGAGGCAUUGAAGAAACUUGAUGUUGAAGAAGUGUUCACUGAGAGCCAAUUUGAAGUAAAGAAUGUCAAGAUUCUACUGGAACCGUUCGUCCAUGAACCCAUUCUACCAUAUUCUUAUGCAUGGACACAUCCAUUUUUGGCCAUUGGCACUUGAGUUCUUUAUUUACAUCUUAUUGACUUUGUACUAGCAUGAUCUAAAAGAACCAGCCCUUGGAUUAAACUGCGUUGGUGGCAAUGCUACUUCCUCAGUGAUGAAAUUUUUGAGGUGCAUUAAAUUUGUGUCGAGUGCUUCCCUUAUCUUUCUGAAGAGAGCUAAUUUAGUUUUGUUCUCUGGUGGGGAGGAACGAUGUAGACAUGUGGUGGGAUGUUUAAGAAACCAAUUACAGUGUCAACUUCAUCUUUUAUCUUCAAGGUAAAUUAAGAAGUAGUGAACUAAAAUUUUUGCUUAUGGUUAUGAGGUUGUUUCAGUCAAGCCUUACAAUUUGACUUGUCUACAUUUCAGUCUCAGUCUUGGUAAUGCCCUAUAGUUUUAUUUUUUGUUUAAAUUUGGCCCAAAAUCUCGAUUUCAGUAUUUGAUGCAACCAAAUUUGAGUGAAAAAAAUUAUCCCUGAAAUUGAGACUAAGAGGGAUGUAUAAACCAAUGCAAUAAUGGUUCUUAUGGUUUGCAGGAUCUUUCUGUGAGGCGAUUGUGGCUGCAUAAUUGGAUCAAUUCAAAUGAUGUAACAAAGUGCAAAAGAAUGAUAGAUCACUUGCUAGAACUAGUGCGUGAUGGAAAGUUAGAAUACGAGUUCGUCUUUUGUAACAACUACUCCAAUUGCUGUAUUUAGGUCUCCAUAUCUUUCUAGUAAUUUUCAAUAGUAUUUAUCCUCAAGAUAGUGUGUUUGGAUUGUGGAUGCAUAUGAAUUUCUCCAAAACUGCAUGAAUUUCUCAAAACUGCAAGACCGAGCUUGUUCCGUUUAGUGAUUUCCACGUUGCACUAGAUAAAUCACUGGGGAAACUUGGUAGCCAUCCUAGGCAAGUCUUAAAGUUCUAUGGCUACUGAAUAUAUAAGGGCAAUGAGAAGAAGGAAAAAUUCUGCAUCAUAUCCUCCUGACGAUCAGCUUGUUCUGAAGUUCUGAGGCGCUGGAUCAACCGAGCACAAUAACUAUGUAUCUUUUCCCUUACUAUUAUUUUCUCUUUUCAUAAGUUAUGCAUCUUUUCCAUUGAGGUAAUUUCGUUGCUGCUUAUUUUCUCCAAUUUUCAUUCUGAAUUUGUUUUGCAUCAUGUCACCCAAUCUAUAAUUAAUCUCAUGCAACAUGGGAUCCGUCUACCAUGGCUGAAUUUGGAGAUCCAAACAUCGCCCCGUUUGGUGAGGGUCCAUAAAGGUUUCAAAUUUUCCAAUUACAAUUCUCAUAUACACGUAACAAAGGACAUUGGUAUACUUUCCCAAAAAUCAUGUAAUCGACAGCGCAUGCAUCGAGAAAAGAGUAAGAAGAACCAUAAAUUAUUCAUUUGAUCUAACCUAAUUCAAAUGGGAUGUGGACUGCCUUCAAGGAACGUCAUACAUACACGACAAGCAAAACCAAUAGAAGACUAGCUAAUGGUAGUUACUUUUUAUGGUAGGGAAAACACAUAAUGGAAGAUCGUAUCGCCUUCCAAAGAAUUGACGAUUGUUCAGAUACCAAAGAAAGAAAAGGCAUCUUUCAUCUAGGUGAUGUCAAGAACUGCACUCUUUUCUCAAGAUAAAGUCGACAGCAUCCUCAACAGUAUCCACAACCUGCAUAGGUAAACAUAAAAGAGUUCGAUCAGGAUGAGUGAUUUUCGAAUUUAUUUUUAACCUAGGAAAAUUUAGAGAGAAGACAAAUUCCCCACAAAAAAAUAUGCUCGAUUUUGAAAUACUGACAUUUUGCUAGGCUGAAUAGGGAAAGGGUUCGUUCGGUCAUGUUUCAUCCAACCAAGUUGGAAUUCACAGAUCACCUAGAGCAUAGCAAAUCAAGGUAUAUAAGUAUGGGACACCUCAAACACUUAAGGCCAUGUUUCAUGGCCAUGCAAUUAUGAAAAGGAAUCCCGAUCCAAGCAAUCAAAUUCCUAGGAGUGGCUUUUUUUCCCCUUUAUUGUUUGGUUUCAAAUUACCAAUGAAGAGAGAAAUGUCCAAUGUGAGUUGCCAAAUGAGGUUAAAAACAUGUCAGAAAUGGAAUGUGUCUCCAAUCAACAUGUAAAAGUAGAGGAUAGAAACAGAAUGAAGAACCACAUAAGAUCCCUCAACAAUUUCCCGAUUAUUGUCCUCCAAAUGAUUUUACAGUUCACACAAGCAUUUUUACGAACCGAUUAUACAAAACUCAUCAAAAUCUUGCGAGUUAAGCAUUUUUCGCACAAAAUCCACAGCAAUGAAGACGAAGCCAUUUUUAUGAACUUCAAACUACUGCACAGAAGUUCCUUUAAGCUUUUAUUUUUUUUUUUUAUCCCCUUUGUGUUUGGAGUAAAAGACCAAUCGCGAGAACUGAAAAGGGGGGGACAGCAACUCAGCCGAGUGGGUAAAGGGAACUUUAUGUCCCCCCCCAAGCCAACAUGAUGCUUGUUGCUGAUGUCUCCAUAAAGAAUCCAAACAAGUUUCACAAUGACGAGAGAGAGAAAGGAUUUCACCUAGUAGAGGGAUGUGAGGGCUAUGGAACCAAGAGGCAGGCGAAACUCACGUGGGAAGGAUUUGAAGAUGAUGAAUGGAGGAAGGGGGGGGGGGGGAGAGAGAGAGAGAGAGAGAGAGAGAGAGAGAGAGAGUUCUGGUUUUGUAGGAUUUAAAGAUGAUGAAGCUCAGACUACUGAGUGGGUAGAGUUCGCAAAUGUUUUUCUUUUCUAGGAAUUCCGGUACCACCUCUACUGAGCAAUCCAAUUCUGCAUAUUAAAGAGAAUCCAUUACCUAGGUAAUUUGAUUCCACAAUCAUAAAACCAUCCGAAGAUGAGUUGCAAUGGGAUUUCAUUUCCUUUUCUUACUCCAAGGUGAACCAAACAACGCCUAAGUGAUCACCUAGUGUAUUAGACUUCCGAAUGUUUUCCUGGUGGAAUCUAAGAUUUGCAUUCUCAACCAUGACUUUCCACUAGGAACACGGAUAUAAAAUCUCUAAACCAAGGCAGUGAAAAUGCUGGAAUGCACACGAUUUGCAUACAUGGGAACCUACCAUCAACUCACCCCAACAUACAUACGAGGAGAGAGAGAGAGAGAGAGAGAGAUGUCUGAAUUUUGUUAUGAGUACAAAAACCUACCAAGUCCGCAGGGAACUCUGAAUGAUUAUCUUUUCCCUUGAAUACCCCAGUCCUUGUUAAUAUAGAAAACCAAGGAUCUCCUGCCUGAAGGAGUUGUCAGCUCUAUUGGUGAUUAUGUUUGGAAAAAAAUUUACUGGUAUAAUAAACUCGAUAUUUGGUAUGAAAGAUACCUGUCGUGCGCCUCUAAUGUCGAUUUUUGGAUUAUCUCCUAUCAUGUAUAGGGUUUUGAAACAACGAAUUCCAGAGUUUGUAGUAUUCUCCACAUCUAGGUUGCUUAACAAAGAUGGCAUAAGAUUCCUUAACACUGUCUCAGCAUUUCCAUAGACAAAUGGAUUUGGCUUCCCGUAUGAUGUAUACGCCAGCAGAAUGGGAUGUAUUCUGCAGAAUAGGGACAAGUAAACAAUGCACAACAUAAGAUUGAAGAUUAAUGCAUGCUGCUAUGCUGCAUCGAGGAAAGUUAGGCCUACACAAGGAUCUUAUAGGCCAAUCUUUAAUUUUUUGCGGAGAAUACUAUAUCAAACUCCAUAAAGAACUAUACAUUGAGAAACUGGAACCUCACCAUUACCUGUUAUAGAUUGCUUCUAACGCAAUUCUGAAAGCUCCCAUACCCAGACGUUCAGCAAGAAAAGUAGCCUGCCUUUACAUUUUGUCAGCUAGUCAUCAGCCAGUCUUUAGUUCCCCUAAGGUUUCAAAAACUCAAGAUUGCAGCUUCGAAUCACAAAUGGCAUAGCUUACCUGGUAUUCUAGGUCAUCAUUUGCAAAAAAACAGGUGCGGUUGCUUAUUAGUCUCCUUUCCAGGAAGCCCUCCAGUUCUCAAUACGUCACAGAGCACCUAAACCCAAACUUGAGUAUCAUAGAAUUAUUUUAUUGUACGCGGACAGAUAGAUAGAUGAUAACACUCCUUUUUAUCACUUCUUUCAAACAUAUUUCAGCGCCCACUAGACUUCUAAAAGGAUGAUGACUAAAGUUGCACAGUAGUUACUGAACAAACAAACAAAAGCCUGGUGUCUUUUGAUAAUCAGUUCAAAGAUUUAGAACUCACAUGACAAAAAGCCCAGUAUGGACUCAACAGCCGAGUUAGAUAAUCUAAGAAAGGACAAGAUCCAUUAGAGUGGUCACAACCUGAAUAUCUCUGCUCCAGUCAACAGAAUCACUGACUACAAAUGCUGCCUGAACUCUCUGUGUUUGCACAGCAAUUUUUCUCUUCGCCAUCUCAUUGGAAGUGAUAUUCUGGUCAAUGCCUGGCUUAGUUGUCCAUCUCUUGUACGGUGCCAGUGGAUCAAUGGCAUCAAAGUAGCUAGUGUACUCAUCAAUUGACAGAACAUUUCUGCACAGAAAAGAUCAACCAGAAAGAGGAUCAACCGGAGAGAAAUCAAAGAGAAUAAAGUUGUUGCGAUUCGCAUUCUCGGUGAAACAGUAUUGAAAACACAGACAACUUAAAUGAAUUAAGGAGAGGACUCCUCUGCGAUUACUCAAGUCCCUGAGAACUUGAGUGCUUUUUAUUAACUUUGCUAGCUUCUAGGUAUUACCUAGACAUUAAAGUAAUAUCCAUCAAUAUCAAUUUUAUUAAAUACAUAUCUUUAUCCCUAUUGGCAACCUAUCUCUCUCUUCCCCUCCCCCCACCCACACACCUGCAUGCACAAGCAAGUAAUUGAGACAUUGCUGGGCACAUUUGCAAACCUAGAGAAGUGGUCAAAAUAUUUACUUGUAUCCAUAUUCGGACAUCACAGUAGCAGGUUCUCCUUUGCCAACAGCAACGACAAGUUCGUUCUCGAAUCUGUGCAAAAACCUCAAUUAGGAAACAAAUGAAUAAAAUAGAGAAGCAUAUUCGUUAGUAAAACAGAAAAGCCUAUUCAGAAUUCUUUUAGAAUAGUUAGCACAUGCAUUCACACUCUUCUAUGUCUUUUCAAUCCAUAUAAUAUAAUAUAGGUAGUGCAUUUCCCUAGUAUCCAAGAAGAAAGCACAUGAGAUGAAGAUAUGAGAUGUGUUCUUUGAUAUCCACGUACAUAUCCCAGAUAGGGUACAUUCAAUAAAGUCCAAUUUCACAGUUUUGAACCUACUAAAUCGUGUACUUAUAAAUAAUUCUUUUACAGGAGAAUUCUUAUCAAUCUAAUAAUACACAUGCACAAUAUUUUAUUUUGCGAUCAUUUAUUUUAAUAAUCAUGAGUGAGAUAAAUGAAAAAAGCAAAUGUUAUCGAAAAUGCUCAGUCCUGAUUUACAUUAGCAUGCCGCAUUUCUCAUUGGACAUUGGUCAUGGAGAUAAUCCAACAAAUCCUUACCUAUUUACCAGUUGUUUAAAAGGUGUGUGGCCCUGUAUGACCUGCAAAUUAUCUUGGUCAAAAUAUGAGAGAAAAUGAAACAAAGUAGUUCUGGACCUGAUAACAAGCAAAACCAUGAGGGCAAGCAGAUUAUGUAACACACGAAACGAACUACCUGUGAAGGUAAAAUGUUGACUCCUAGUAGUUGACCUAAGUCCUGGGCUCUUUUGGAUUCAGAAAAGCCACCUCCUGCAUCAGCCAUUAGUAUUAGCAGUGUGCAGUAAAAACUAAUUAUCGCUUCUUCAAGAAUUAACAAGCGAAAUUUCUAAUUUCAAGGGACUAACAUAUUGAGCGAUUAUAGGUAAGGGCAUCUCAAAAGGCGUCACAGAUUCAAAUUGCUUGAAUGACUUAAACACAAGACAGCGGCAAUCUCAAAAUCAUCAAGACGAUUACUAUUAGAUCUUAAAAAGUACCAAUACUUGCCGAUAAGUGAAUAAUCAACCACAAUAACCGUAUGAUGUCCAGCAUGCAACUUGAAAACUUUAGUUUGACCAUCAUAUCACGGCACUCACCGGUGAUGACUCUAUAGAAUGGUCACAUUCGCUAACACACAUCGAAAGUGAGAAAUGUAAUAGUAAAGGUUACUAACACAUUUAAGCAAUCACGAACACUCACCUUUUGUUAAGAACACGAAAGGUAUCUUCAACUCUCCUGAAAAGAUGUAGAACCUAAAGUAAGUGAUAGAAGGUUACAAAUAGCAGAUACGAAUCUCGAUAUCCGCCGCCCUUUACUGUCCAUCAGAAAUUUCGGUAGCAAUCAGUUCGCAACGUAGAACAAAAAAGAGAAAUUAGAUUGAUUUCCCGGGCUUAAUUUAAGUUAUGGGUGAAGACAUUCUCUUUCAGGUUAUACUCUGUGUGGGAACUGUAGAAAUGAUCUGCCUUGGUACAGAGAAAGGAACUCACUUUAAGCACGUGAAACAGCACGAUCGCCAGCAUGAGAUAAGCCUCGCAGGUAUACCAGCAAGCGAUGGCGAAAGCUUUACCAGAAUCGUCGUAGUACAAUCUCCUGAGCACGCGCGGAGAACCGCCGAUGGGAGUGUGACCGAGGAGGACCACGCCGUCGAUGUCGAAGGCGAUGCCGAACGAAGGCCUGCACGACGAAACCACGAUCAUCGAUUCGAUCAUGGGCGAAACAGAAGAAGAAGGAGAGAAAAAGAGAACAUCGGAGAAAAUCACGAGCGUUGUCGAAGCAUGACCGGAAGGCACCGAUCCGAUUGCGAGCAAAGCCGCGAAAACGAGCGCGAGGCGAGCGGGGACGGCUGCUUUCUGCCGCGACUCCGCAAGGCGAUGGUGAAAAGCCGGUGCCUCAUUUUCCUGUUCGCGGCGAAUCGCUUCGGGAGAUCGAGGAGCUCGAAUCGCCGGAGAUGAAGCUCCAAGAAGAACGGAGCGAGCUUCAACAGUCCAUAGAGAGAGAGAGACAGAGAGAGAGAAUGGCUCAAUCGCGCAGCGUCUUCUCGUUCGAUGUUCAGGAGCCGUGAAUUGGGCACCGUUGAAAUGAUGGGCGGGCCUCGAUAACGGAUCGGCCAACGGAUCGGCCUUUCCUUCGGAUCCGAGCUCAACGGUUAAGCUUGAUUUUGGUGAACGUUUUUGGGCUGUUUUUGAUGGUGGACUGAGCAUAUCGCGGAGGAGUUCGAUGUUUCGGGGACUUCGAGGCUACUGACAUAUCUCCGAUGGCUUCUGUGUAUUAUAGAUUUGAUUUUAGGCUUCGCUUCAUCCUUAGAAAGUAACCUGAAUUCACGAUAAAAACUAAAAUGAUUUGCGAUAAUGUCCUAUUUAUGCCUCAUGUGCGAUCGGCGCCUUCUUACUCAUUAUUCACCCAUGGACUUGAUCGACGAGUGGAUUAUAUGUCAUGGUGAGUUUAUCUUUGGUUGCUGAGAUAUUGGAAGAGAAUAAAAGUCUAACUGCGAGAUUCUGAGGCUGCUAAUGCAUCUUUUAUGACUUCACUGUUUGACUUUGACAAUUGUUGCUCCAGUUCCUGAGGAAUAUUGAUAUGUAGUUACAAAGUCAGAUCAUAAUUCAUCCAUGUACUAUUUAUUGCUUCGCGCAACGUUUAUUUGAUAAUUCAUGCAUAAACUUUGAUCUAGGUGUGUAUCUGGUGAGGCCACAACUGCCCGCAGUCGGAGGACGUGAAGGAGUUGGCAAAGUACACUUAAGUCAUAAAGUGAUAUCAGAUUAACAGUGGACCAGCCAUGCUCAUCUAGUUUAUCACCUCCGAAUGAUUUAUCCAGCCAAAGGAUAAUCUUCUAUAUUUGCUCCAGCAUGUUGAACAUUUUCAACCUGGCGAAAAUUUGAUUAGAUGGAGAAGAGAAACGAGUGGAAUAUCAACCAAAAGAAAAUCGAAAUUUUUAUACACACCUCAGUAUACGACUUGUUUUGAUACUUUUACAUUCCAUAAGUACUGACUUGUUUUGUUAUGAAGAACAUCCAUGUCUAGCACUUACCCAUUGUAAAUUUGAGUGUGUUGAAAAGUGAAAUAGUUUUUGUGCUCAAGGACAUGGCAGACUUACAUUGUGAAAGACCAGAGUGUGUGGCAAAAAAUUGAUAAGAAUUCUCCUAUUGAAUAUGCCACAACAAUUUCAAUUAAUCCUCCAACCGCUUUCAAAAUGCUUGAAGACUUCACCUGUUUGGAACCAGGUAUAUAGACAGUACAGAAGUCCUCUUAGCUAUCCCCCAACUUUCACUGUAAGCAAUUUAUACUAAGUUGUCCUAAUCAAUUGUGAUCAUUACGGGAUUCGAUUGUGCAAAAUGGGGCUACGAGUAUGGUGGGUCGAUGCCUCAUCCAAAUUGCGAAAUCCCAUGGCAUCCAUAGCAUCAACAUAAUUAGGGACAGGUGCUCUUUCGAAAGCUUUCAGUAACCUUGACACCGUAUAACUUUUGUCAAACGAUUGUUGUUUAAAACUUUUGUGUAGACUUUAGAUAGCAAGGGUAUGUGUGGGUUUGCUUUUAUUUCUCUUUUAAGUGAUCUGCCUUAACCAUUCCUAGCAAGCCUUUUCUUUUCCCUCUUUCUGGGAAAGCAUUGAGCUCUUGUCUACUUAGCUUCUAAAGUAGCUUUGGAUGGUUACAUGGCCCGAAUUAUAUCUGAAAUUCAAGCUUUUGACAAGUUGGAACUCUUUGGGGAUUGAAUUACUUGUGGCAACUAUCUUUUCCUAUUCUAAUUGCGAAUGUUGUUGGUGGACUAAUAAAUAUGAACAAUUGCCAGAUACACAAAUAUGUUGAUUAUGUUUAGUUGUGGUAGUGGUAUAUCAAAUUACAAAUUGAAAAUGUGCCAACAUAUUCAGCAUUUUGGUAUCUUAGGUUUUUAUGGAAGAUGGCAUGAUUGACUGAGAUCUCUUGUAUCGAAUAACAGGGAGAAGUGGAUCUUGAGCUUGUGUUACUAUAGUUGACCCUUUUAAGCUUGAAGGAACACAGAGUCUGAUCACUGAUUCAAGGAAAUUAUAAUCUUUGGCUAGGUGCGUACAAUGGGAAGGAAUCUAUGAGGCUAACUGAGCGUUAGUUCAUGCAUCGGCAUGCAAUAAUGGUUCUAUUAUGAGGGCAUUUUGAGAAUUGAUUAUAUUGAACUUAUCAGAGAAAAUAAGACAAUACUUUUAGUUGGUUUUGGUACAUCAACGUCAAUCUGCCAAUAUAAAGAUGAGGUUUUGUGAUGGGGUAACAUGUAUAUGAAAGAUUAGAAGGACCUGUUUUCUGAAUCUAUUGAAGGCAAGGGCAGUUAAUUGUAGUGUGACGUGAAAAGAUAUGUUUUUGCAUUGCUCAACCUGUUACUGUCGAUGCUGCUUCUACUAUUUUUGUAGUCAUCAUGUGUUCUAGAUGUUGAUUGCCGGUAUGUUUAGAUCAUCAUACUACCAGGGCAUUGGUAAUUCCACCUUCUGUGGUUGCUGGUGGAAACUUACUUUUGGUAUAUCUAAGACCUCUCUUUGCUUUGCAACUUCCUUGUAGUGAUUUUUUUAAUUCUGUGAUGAGACAGAAAAAAGGUCAGAAAACAUUUUGCAAUGCUUGACACAUUAAUUUAGUAGAGUUCUCGUUAGCCAGCUCAUUAGUACCUGAGUGACAUCUAGGAUGAAUUUAGUAGAAUUCGUAAUUUAUUUCUCAACUUAGCAGUUAGCACUGCAUUUCAGUAACUAAAUUUGGUUUUUAUUGGGCUUUCACGACCCUUUUUUUCCCGUGAUAGAGCUGGCUCUAAUGAAGCAAAAGAGGCGUUGAAGAAACUCAGUGCUGGAGAAGUGUUCACCGAGAGCUAAUUCGAAGUAAAGAAUAUCAAGAGUCUACUGGUAUCAUGCAUCCAUUAACCCAUUCUACCAUAUUCUCAUAUGCAUGGACACACAUCCAUGUUUAGCCAUUGGCACUUGAGUUCUUUAUUUACAUCUAAUUGACUUGCUACUAGGGUAAUCUAAAAGAACCUACCCUUGGAUUAAACUAUGUUGGUGGCAAUGCUGCUUCCUUGGUGAUGAAAUUUUUGAGGUGCAACAAGUGUUAAAGUAGUGUUGAGUGCUUCCCAUAUCUUUACGAAGAGAGCUCAAUUCGUUUUGUUCUCAAGCGGGGAGGAACCAUGGUGAGAUAUGGUGGGAUGUCUAAGAAACCAAUUACAGUAUCAACUUCAUCUUUUCAUCUUCAAGGUAAAUUAAGAAGUGGCGAACUAAAUUUUCCACCUACGGUUUUAGUCAAGCCUUACAAUUUGACUUGUCUAUGUUGGUCUUGGUCAAUGCCCUAUGGUUUUAUUUUUUGUCUAAACUUGGCCCAAAAUCUCACUUUCAGUAUUUGACACAACCAAAUUUGAGCUAAAAAAAUUAUUACUGGAGUCAAGACUAAGAGAAUUGUGUAAACCAAUUCUUCCAUAUAUUCAAUCGUGCGGGGAGUUUUUUUUUUUUUUUGGGGGGGGGUGGGGGGGGGGGGGGGGGAAUGUAAUUACCUGUUAAGAAAUGAAGCAAAUUGUGGAUUGGUGAGAAAAUCAUGCGCGUGAGAUCAAGAGAUUAUCCACGUGGAUUUCUUAGGGCCAAAGAAUCAAUAUCACUUGCUCCCUUAAUCGAAAGUAGUAAUUGUUGGGGCUUCAUGAAUCAUGUAUAGAUAAAAUUUAACAAAAGAACACAACGGAAACAAAAAUGAUAUAUUUUAUACAUGAUUCUCCGAAGGCAUUGUUUGUGCGUUUUAAUAAAAAAAAUCUGAAUGUAAAAAGAGAGGCUAAGGAAUUACUUCUCGAAACGCGCUUUAAACAAAUUGGUUCGGAUGUUUUUCAGUUCGAGUCCCACAAACGUUAGAACUCUAGUUCAGACACACCAACAAUGGACGUCGAAUGGAAGAGAGAACUUUCGAAUAAUCACCACUAUGAUCGUGCUAGCAAUCUUGUGGAGACAAUCGAUCGUAUCCUUGAUGUAUUAUAGUCACAGCCCAAACGAGAGAACACUCUUCUUUAUCGCGUCUCAAAAAACACAAAAACAUACACAUUUUACUCUAUUUUCAGCAACCUUAUUUUCUGUCCUCAAUGCAGCAUUUUAAAAUGAAAAAUGCUUGAAUCAGCAACCGUUGCUGAUUGAGGGGACAAUAAGCAACCAUUGCUGAUCAUCCGUUCAUGCACGAACGAUCGUGCAUGAACGGUCAGCAGUUGCUGACAUCCAAGUUUCAUGCAUGUGCUUCGUGCACAUGCAGGAAGCUUUAAAUAUUUGUUUAUUAAACAUUAAUUAAUUAAUUAAUUAAUUAAACUAAUAAUUAAUUAAUUAAUCAAUCCCCUUUAAAAAUAAAAAGAACAUAAUCUUUAUAUGUACAUUUGGGAAUACAUUAACAUGUAUUCACUUUGGGCAUAUAUGUGCAUUAUAUGCAAAUAGGUUCAUGAUUAUAAUACAAAUUAAAUUAAAUCUUAUUUAAUUUAAUUUCAAGUUGACACAAUUCGAUUGUAGUAAUUGUAAACAAAUUUGCAACAUUAUUUAUUUCUUGUUCCACGUUAUCCUAAUUGUUUAUUGUGUGUGACAUCCCUAGGUUCAUCACUAAACUGGUACUAAGACUUGUACAAACACAUCAGUACUCUCAAAGAAUUAAUUGUCCUGAUUAAUCUUUGGGUCCUACAAGUCAUGAUUGACAUCUAGCAAUAUGUCAUGGCUACCCAGAUAGUGUGAAUGCUUUAAGAACAUAAUGAACUUGUCAACUUUGACUACAGUGUAAUUCAAUCCAUCUGUCUUACUAUGUCCCGAUUAAACAAAGACCAUGGAAUAAUUGUCAAGUCACCAAUUCGAUCAUAUGCACAAUCUAAUUGACAUGCAUUUUAUUCGAGACAUAAACAAUUUAUUAUCGGUUAUAACCCCAAAAAGAAUACCUGUAAUCAUCAUACAUUCAUCCAUACAACAAUCACAAUGAUUAAGGAUUUUUCCAUGAUCACCACCCUUCAAAAUUUAAAGCUCCAGAAGGCAAAGAUAAAAUUCUGCAUUUAAUCAAAUUUAAAGUUGAACAACGCAAGUCAAGAAAUCAAAUCGAUGAAACAAAUUUCACGAGCGUGAUUCCGUACGGAAGUCGCGUUGUCAACUUUAAAUUCACAAUCACGAAUCAUUCGCAAAAUGUAAACACAAAGUAUAAGAAGUUACAGAUUUUUUUAUUCAAAAUUGAUUUAGUUCUAAUUUUUUCUUAGUUGAUUAAAUUUAUCACAUAAAUGAAUCAACUUCUAUAGGCCACAUAAGAGCAAGAGAACCAAUUCUCUUAACAAAAAUAAAUUGGCCAUUCAAACACAAAAAUAUGUUUGAACUAUAAAUUCAAUUAAACACACGAGAAACGCCUAAGGUUGGCUCUGAUACCACUGAAAUCCCUAAUAUGUAACUAUUAUAUAGUAGCUUUAGGGCAUACAUCCAACAAUCUCCCACUUGCACUAAAGCCAACUUGUUUGGUACCUUAAACCCAUUUUGUCAAUAUGCCUUUCAAAAGAAGACUGAGGUAAGGCCUUAGUGAAGGGAUCUACCACAUUUUCUGUUAAGGCAAUUUUCUGCAAGGCAAUAUCACAUCUCCCAACAAUUUCUCUGAUGAGAUGGAAGUGUCUCUCAAUGUGCUUGGACUUUUGGUGAGACCUUGGUUCCUUAGCUUAAGCUAUCGCCUCAGUGUUGCCACAAAACAAUGGGGACAAGGACCCCUGGAGUGCAAAAAGUUGGCACAAAAGGACACUUAAGUGCCAAAAGUUACGAAAGGUACACUUAAGUGCCAAAAUCGGAGCAAAAUGGAUCACUUGAGUGCCAAUCCGGCCAAAAUGCCGACGUGGCAUUUUUCCAGCGAAUCGAGCCCAAAACGACGUCGUUUUGCAUGCUGACAUGGCCAAAUAAUGCAAAAACGGCGUCGUUUUGGGCUCAUGUGAUAAAAAAAAUAAUAUAAAAAUUAAAUAAAUUAAAUUUAAAAAUAGAUUUAGUUAAAAUAUUAAAAAAUAUUAAUUUUAAUAGUUAAAAUAUUAAAAAAAUAAUAAAUUUAAAAUUACAUUUAGUUAAAAUAUUAAAAAUAAUAAUUUUAAAAUUACAUUUAGUUAAAAUAUUAAAAAUAAUAAUUUUAAAAUUAAAUUUAGUUAAAAUAUUAAAAAUAAUAAUUUUAAAAUUAAAUUUAGUUAAAAUAUUAAAAAAAUAAUUUUAAAAUUAAAUUUAGUUAAAAUAUUAAAAAAUAAUCAUUUAAAAAUUUAAAUUUUUUUAAAAAAUUAAAAAAUAAUAAUUUUAAAAUUAGAUUUAGUUAAAAAAAUAAAAAUAAAAAUAAAAUAAAAUUUAGUUAAAAUAUUAAAAUAAUAAUAAUUUUAAAUUAAAAAAAUUAUCAAAAUUUUAUAAAUUAAUUAAAAGGGGGGUGGCUGAGGGCAGCCUAGCCACCGCCCCCCUUUUUUUAAAUUUUUAAAAUUUUAAAUUAUUAUUUUUUAACAUUUUAAUUGAAUUGAAUUUUAAAAUUAUUAUUUUUCUAAUAUUUUAACUAAAUCUAAUUUUAAAAUUUUUAUUUUUUAUUUUUUAAAUUUUUUUAUAAUUAUUAUUUUUUAAUAUUUUAACUAAAUUUAGUUUUAAAAUUAUUAUUUUUUUAAAUUUUUAACUAAAUCUAAUUUUAAAAUUAUUUUUUAAAAUUUUUAACUAAAUUUAAUUUUAAAUUUUUUUAAAUUUUUUAUUUUUAAAAUUAUUAUUUUUUAAUAUUUUAACUAAAUUUAAUUUUAAUUUUUUUAAUUUUUUUAACUAAAUCUAAUUUUUUUAAAUUAUUUUUUUAUAUUUUAAUUAAAUUUUAUUUUAAAAUUAUUAUUUUUUAAAUAUUUAACUAAAUCUAAUUCUAAUUUUUUUUAAUAUUUAACUAUUAAAAUUAUUAUUUUUUAAUAUUUUAACUAUAUCGAAUUUUAAAUUUAAUUUAUUUAAUUUUUAUAUUAUUUUUUUACCAUAUCAACCCAAAGCGACGCCAUUUUUGCAUUACUUGCCACGUCAGCAUGCAAAACGGCGUCGUUUUGGGUUCACUUCGCCGGAAAUUCGUCGGAAAAACGCCACGUCAGCCUUUUGGCCGGACUUUGGCCAGAGUGGCACUUAAGUGAUCCGUUUUUUUUCGAAUGUGACACUUAAGUGUACUUUUCGUAACUUUUGGCACUUAAGUGUCCCUUUGUGCCAACUUUUGGCACUUGAAGCGUUCUUAUCCCCAAAACAAUGUAAUCGAUUGCUCAAUUGAAGGAAUGAAUCCAAGUUCAAAAAUAAACUCCUUCAUCCAAGCGGCUUCUUUUGUUGCUUCAGAAGUGGCUACAUACUUUAGCUCAGUGGUGGAAUUGGCAGUUAUGCUUUGUUUGGAAUUUUUCCAACUAACUGUGCCACCAUUGAAUGUAAAGACAAAUCCAGAAGUAGACUUGUAAUCAUUAGGAUCCGAUUAAAAAUCAGAAUCAGUAUAAGCUACAAUUUUAAAUUCUCAUUCUCCAUUUAUCAAGAAUAGAUCCCUAGUCUUUCGCAAGUACUUAAAAAUAUUCUUAAUUGCUAUCUAGUGCUCUUCUCCUAGAUCAUACUAAUAUCUUAUAGUAUUACAACAUGUGAUAUAUCAGGUCUAGUACAUAACAUAGCAUACAUUAUGCUUCCAAUAGCAGACGCGUAUGGUAUAUUUGCCAUCCGCUCUCUUUUUUCAAGAGUGUUAGGACACAUCUUUUGAGAAAGAUGAAUCCCUCACCUAAAAGGCAAUAAUACUCUCUUGGAACUUUGCAUGUUAUUAACACUUUGUCUAUGUACGUAGAUUGUAAGAGGCCAAUCAACCGUCUUGAUCUAUCUAUAUAGAUCUUGAUACCUAAAAUGUAGGUUGCCUCUCCUAAAUCUUUCAUGGAGAAUUUCUGUGACAAGAAUAGUUUUAUCGAUGAUAUUAUCGGUACAUCAUUCCCAAUCAAAAGUAUAUUAUCGACAUACAAAACUAGAAAUGCAAUUGCACUCCCAUUGAUCUUCUUGUAUACACAAGGUUCAUCCAUAUUUUUGAUGAAGCCAAAAGAUUUGACUACCUCAUCAAAAUGAAUAUUCCAACUUCUGGAGGCUUAUUUGAGUCUAUAAAUGGAUCUCUUAAGCUUACACACCUUAUGUUUUUCACUAUUGUAUUCAAAACCCUGUGGCUAUUCCAUAUAGAUCUCCUCCUUGAGAAAACCAAUUAGAAAAGCAAUUUUGACAUCCAUCUGGAAUAUCUCAUAAUCUAAGUGUGUAGCUAUAGCCAACAUAAUCCGAAUGGAUUUUAGCAUGGCCACAGGUGAGAAAUUUUCAUCACAAUCAAUUCUUUAUUUCUGACGAUAUCCUUUCGCCACCAACCAUGCUUUGUAAGUUCCAAUUUGACCUUCAGCAUUCAUCUUCCUCUUGAAGAUCCAUUUUCAGCCAAUUGGUAUAAUACCAUCAGGUAGGUCAAUUGAGGUCCAAACUUCAUUGGAAUACAUUGAAUCCAUUUUGGAUUUCAUGGCUUCUAGCCAUUUACCAGAAUCGAUGUCCAACAUCGCCUCCUCAUAGGUUUUAGGAUCACCAGGUUGAUCACUAUCAUUCACAAUGAAUAAUGGUUCAAUAUGAUCAAUUGAGUGUCUAUAACAAGCAGGUGGGCAAGACGUUUUCGCACUUCUCCUAAGAUGUUGUGUAUCAGAAGCUCCCACUGAAUCAGAGAUUGGUAUUUGAACUUGGUUGUUUAGUACUUCAUUAUUUUCUUCUUGUAAGACUAUUUUCCGCCCAGCACCACCUUCUUGGAUGAACUGAUUCUCCAGAAAAGAAGCAUGCUUCUUACCAAAAUUCUUUGAUCUGAAUGAAAAUAGAAAUAAUAUCCAAGAGUUUCCUUUGGAUAUCCAAUGAAGCGACCUUGUUCAAAUCUUGCUUCCAAUUUUUCCAUUUUUAGCUUUUUCAUGAAAGCUAGACAACCCAAAAUCUUAAUAUGAUUAAGACUAGGUUUCCUACUAUACCAUAUCUCAUAGGGCGUAGUUGCAACGGAUUUGGACGGUACUCUGUUAAGUAUAUAUACAAUUGUCUCAAGGGCAUAUCCCUGAAGGGAUAUUGGUAAAUCAGUGUAACUCAUCAUAGAUCAUACCAUAUCUAAUAAAGUACGAUUUCUUCGUUCAAAUACAUCAUUAUGUUCUGGAGUUCUAGAAGGUGUCCAUUGUGAUAAAAUGACAUUCUCUUUAAGAUAGUCCAGGAAUUCAUUACUAAGGUAUUCACCUCAUCGAUCCAAUCGAAGAGCCUUAAUACAUUUUCUUGUUUGUUUCUCAACUUCAGCCUUGAAUUCCUUGAACUUUUCAAAAAAUUCAGAUUUAUACUUCAUGAGCCUUAACCAUACCGUGAUUGAUCAUCGGUGAAGGUAAUGAAGUAAUUAUAACCACCUCUAGCAGUUUCAUUAAUUGGUCCACAUACAUUUGUAUGUAUUAAUCCUAAUAUGUUAGCAGCUCGCACACUGUGUCCCACAAAAGGCGCUUUGGUCAUUUUUCCUAGAAGACAUGCCUCACAAGUCGAGUAUGACUCAAAAUUUGAUAGAUCAAUAUACCCAUCAUUACUCAACUUGUUAAUUUUCUCUUCUCUAAUAUGACCUAAUCGGAGAUGCCAAACAUACUUUUUAUUUGGACCUCUCUAGGGCAUUUAUUAGUUAUGACAUUUAUAUCAAUUUUAUUUUGCUUAUUGACAUCACUAAUCGCAUUACCGGACAUUAUAAUGGUAUAAAGAUUAUUGGUUAAUAAGCUAAAACCAACAUAUUUUCUUUUAUGAUAAAUAGAACAUACAUCAUCAACAAAAGAAAAUUCAUAAUUCUCUUUACCCAAAUGAGGUAUAGAGAUGAUGCUCCUAACAUCAUUCUUAUAAUGCAAAUAGUUCUUUAAAACCAAUACAUGUCCAUAAGGCAAACAUAAACGAAAAGUCCCCAUAGCUAACGCAACAACUCUUGCUCCAUUGACAAAUAUCAGGACAAUCUCAUUUUGCCCUAGCAUCCUACUUGCUUCCAGAUUCUGCAAAGACAUACAAAUAUGUGAAGUCGCAACAAAAUCUAGAACCCAUGAGCUGGAUUCAACUUUAACCAUAAGAUUAGUUUCAAUAAGUAUAGACACCAUACCUUCAUAAGGUUGGUCCUUGGGCUUGACCUUCAAGCUCACGAGAUACUUCUUACAGUUCCUCCUCCAGUGCCCCUUGACACCAUAAUAGUGACAUUUCCCUUUAUCAAUCUUGGGUUUUGGUUGUACAAUAGGUUUGAUAGGCCUUUUCCAUUUCUUUUUCUUUAAAACAAUCUUACCUCUUGAAGAAGAAGCCUUAGCCAUAGCCACUACAUUUGGUUUCGUGUUGUGCAUUUCCUUCUCAUAAACUACCAGCAUGUUAUGUAACUAAGCGAGAGUUUUCUCAAUCUUAUGCAUGUGGAAGUUUUGGACAAAACCAGAGAAGGAAUCGGGUAAAGAUUGGAGGAUCAAAUCCACAGCUAACUUGUUGUCCAUAACGAGAUUCAGCUUAGCCAAUUCUUCAAUGUGCCAGAUCAUUUCCAAAGCAUGAUCAUUAACUGAUGAUUCUUCAACCAUCCUCAUACAGUACAAUGCCUUAGAUAUCUCAUAUCUAGAGGUUCAACCAUUCUCAUCAAAAUAUUCCUUUAAAUGCAAAAUGAUCGACCUAGCAUCUUCCAUAGAUUCAUACUUCUUUUGUAAUUCAUUAUUAAUCUAAGCAAGCAUAUAUGACCUGAAUUUUAAGUCAUCGUCACGCCACUUAUCAUAAGUGACACGCUCCUCUUGGGUCCCACCCUCAGGAAAGGAGGUUGGCAUCUUUUCAUCAAGCACAUACCUAAUUUUUUUUUCUGAAUUGAGAACAAUUCUCAAAUUCCUCACCCAGUUAGUGAAAUUGGGUCCAGUUAAACAAUUCUUGUCAAAUAUAGAAGUGAGUGGGUUUGUGGUCACCAUUUUCAGAGUAAUAAUAUAUCUGUUGCAGAAAAUAAAUUAUUAACCGUUGUAUCUUUCAAAAUAACUAUUUCAUUUUGGCAUUUAAAUGAAAUAGAUCCUCCUACUAAAUUUAUAUUCGAAUCACAUACUCUUUAAGAUGGGAAGCGGUAAUCUUUGUUGGGUAAAGAUUACUAGUGGGGAUUGGAGUCCCACUAACCCAAAGCCCGCCUCACCUAGCAGUCAUUGGUGUUCUAUGAACUUAGUGAGUGAACCAACUUGUUCAAUGCAUCAUAUGCAAGUUCCAAUCAUAACUUCGGCCUCUAGACCAUGAAAGCCUCACCUAAUAGUUAUUGGCAUCAUGAUCAUAGUUAAGUCUAGCCCAUCGUCUCAUGUAAGUAUUGAAAGCACAAACGAUUCCCUUACCUAACAGUUAUUAGAAAUCAUUUGGCUCCAACCCCACAGCAUCACAUGCAUAAUGGAGUGGUCCAAUAUUAAGAGUGGUAAUUAACUCCUAUGUACCCAUAGCUUGUCAAUUAACCACUAUAAUAUUGGAUCAAACCAUGAUGAUGGAAGGCCACGAAUCCGAAACCCAUUUCGACUUAAUAUUAUUAAUCAAGAGAUUUGGGUCGUUAUUUAUUAUCUCACUUUGCACAUUAACCGGUUUAACAUGCAUGAUAACAUAAACACAAUAAAUAAAUAGAUAUUACAUAAACAUCUAUCCUACGUGGUGAUCAUGGAAUUAUGGUUCGGUGGGUCUUGAGCCAAAGAGACCCAUUUAGCCAUUUUAAUGUUUUAAUAAUGGGGACAUGCUCUUCACUUCUUCUUGAAUCUUUGAAUUCUUCAAAGACUAGGCCCAUAGAGCUCACUGGCUUAAUGGCUCCUCCAAUGACUCCUCCUCUCUCGUAGCAUUUACAUCAACAAUUCAUAUACUAAACUAUGCUAAAAUUACAUUUCAUAAAAAUAUAUAUAAAAGGAAGGAUGCACGAGAUUUUCUCCAUGAGAUUGCUAGCACAAUCAUAGUGGUGAUUAUCUGAAAGUUAUCUCUUCCAUUCGACAUCCAUUGUUGGUGUGUCUAAACUAGAGGUCUGACAUUUAUAGGAUUCGAACUAAAGAACAUCCGAACCAAUUCGUUUAAAGCGCGCUUCGAGAGGUAAUUCAUUUAACUCUCUUUUUACAUUCAGGUUUUUUAUUAAAACGCACCAACAAUGCCUUUAGAGAAUCAUGUAUAAAAUAUAUCAUCUUUGUUUCCGUUGCGUUCUUUUGUUAAAUUUUUACCUAUACAUGAUUCAUGAAACCCCAACAGUAAUUGUGGCAUAGCUCAGGCAUCUUUAAGCUUGUGGUAGGUGCUGAACAUCAUAAGAGAAACUUGUACCCAUAGGAGGCGUUCUAUAAAAGAUCUAGAGCAAAGAAGAAGGCAUAGAAACAAUGGUUCUACUAUUGUCUCUUUCUUGAUUUCAUUGCGAUAUCUCAUGCUAAAGUUCAGUUGUACCCAUAGAAGGCAUUUUAGUAAAAGAUCUAGAGCAAAGAAGGCAUAGAAACAAGGAUUCCAUUAUUGUCUCCUUGUCAAUUUCACUGUGAUAUCUCAUGUUCAAUUGUACAAAUACUGCUGACUUCUGGAAUUAAUUCCUAAAUCAUAAAGCACAUCUGGAGUGUAUGAUAAUGGUUGUUAUGGUUUGCAGGAUCUUUCUUUGAGGGGAUUUUGGCUGCAUAAUUGGAUGAGUUCAACUGACGUGACAGAGUGCAGAAGAAUGAUAGAUCACUUGCUAGAACUAUUGCGUGAUGGGAAGUUAAAAUACGAGUAUGUCUUUGGUAACCUGUACUCAAAUUGCUGUAUUUAGGUCUCCAUAUCUUUAUAGUAAUAUCCAAUAGUAUAUCGUCAAGAUAGUGUGUUUCGAUUGUGGAUGCAUAUGAAUUUCUCCAAAACUGCAGGACGGAGCUGGUUCCUUUUAGUGAUUUCCACAUUGCACUGGAUAAAUCACUGGGGAAACUUGGAAGCCAUCCUAAGCAAGUCUUAAAGUUCUAAGGCUACUGAAUAUUAAGGGCGGUGAAAAGAUGGCAAAAUUUUGCAUCGUAUUCUUUAGACGAUCAACUUGUUCAGAAGUUCCCAUGCGCUGGAUCAACCCGACACAAUAACUAUGUAUCUUUUCCAUCAUCAUCAUCAUCAUCAUCAUCAUCAUCAUCAUCAUCAUCAUUUUCUCUUUUCAUAAGUUAUGCAUCUUUUUCUGUUGAGGUCCCUCUUGUUGCUGCUUAUUUUCAGCAAUUUCCAUUCUGAAAUUGUUUUGCAUCAUGCCUUCCAAUCUAAAACUAAUCUUGUGCUUUGCCAAAACAUGAGGUCCGUCUACUCAAUUUGGAGAUCCAAACAUCGGCCCUUUAUGGUAUUGGAAGGGUCCGGAAAGUUUUCAGUUUUUGCCAAUUACAAUUCUCAUAUACAUGUAAGAAGGAACAUUGGGAUACUUACCAAAAAUCAUGUAAGCAAGAUCGCGUGCGUUGAAAAAAGAGCAAGAAGAACCAUAAAUUGUUCAUGUGAUCUAUCUAAUUCAGAUGGGAUGCGGACUGCCUUCAGAGAAAGUCACACAUGAAACACAAUAAGCAAAAUCAAGUGAAGACUAGCGAAUGGAAGUUACUUUAUAAGAUGAGCAAAACACACAAUGGAUAGAUCGUGUCAGCUUCCGAAGAAUUGGCGAUUAUUCGGUAAUCAUAGAAAGAAAAGGCAUCUUUCGUCCAGACAAUGUCAAGUCCCGCACUCCUUUCUCAAUAAAAGUUGACCGCAUCCCCAACAGUAUCCACCACUUGCAUGGGUAAACAUAAAAGAGUUCGACCAGGAUGAUCGAUUUUCAAAUUCAUUUUCAACCUUGGAAAAUUUAGAGAGAAAACAAAUUCCCCGUAAAGUGGCUUUCCAUUAUGCACGGCUUUGAAAUACUGACAUUUCGCUAGGCCGAAGAGGGAAAGGGUUCGUUCAGUCAUGUUUCAUCACACCAAGUUAGAAUCUACAGAUCGCCUAGAGCAUAGCAAAUCAAGGUAUAUAAGAACUUGGAAGAUUAUCAGCACUGACACCUCAAAACACUUAGAGCGCAUUUGGCAACGAUUUUGUUCCCGGGAACAAUUUCUAAUCAGAAAUAAAAAAUAAAAAAAAUUAUUAUGUUCCCGGGAACAAUUUCUAAGCAUUUUAAGCCGUUUGAUAACUGUUCAAAAUUUCUGAUUCUGGAAUAAAAUUGUGUUUGAUACCGUGCUCAAAAUUUCUUCUCAAAAUCAUUUUCUUUAAAUUUUUAAAUAUUUUUUUUUUUACUUUUUUCCUUUUUUUUCUUUUCUUUUCUUCCUUUCUCUCUCAUAUUCUUCUUCUUCAAGUGGUCGGUCGCUAGGGCCGGCGACCUCAUCGGAGCGUUGCCAGCCCUUGACGAGGCCAACCCUCAUUGGUCGAGCCUCGGCGAGGCUGGGCGAGGCCCGCCUGGCCAAGGCUCGGCCUCGGCGGUGGCCAGGUGGGCCUCGCUAAGGCUGGGUGAGGCCCUCCUAGCCACCGGUGAGGCUCGUUUAGCCCCGCCGAGGCUUGGCCUUGCUGGUGGCUAGGCUUGCCUCUAGCGAGCUCGUCGGACCAGUUGCCAACGACCGGCGGCGAUAGGCAACAGACGGUGGACGGCAACCACAAUGGUGGCAAUAGAUGAAGAAUAAGAAAAUGGAAGAAGAAGAGAAAAUAUUAGCUUGAUUCUUAGAUUUGUUCAUGGGAACAAGAAUUAACUUUUUUUGGAUUAUUGAUUAUGUUCCAGAUCUAGCGAGGCUAGGUAAGCCUCGUGAUCUGACGAGGCCGAGCCUCGGCAAGGCUGGACGAGCCUUGCGAUGUGGCGAGGCCGAGCCUUGUUGGUGGCCAAGCAAGCCUCACCCAGCCCCAACAAGGCUCGGCCAACAAGGGCCGGCGACGCUCCGGUGAGGUCACCGACCACUUGAAGAAGAAGAAUAGGAGAGAUAAAGGAAAAAAGUAAAAGAAAAAAAUGAAAAAUGUAAAAGAUGUAUUUAAAAAUUAAAAGAAAAUGAUUUGGAGUAGAAAUUUUGAGCACAGUACUAAACGCAAUUUUAUUCCAGAAUCAGAAAUUUCGGACAGUUACCAAACGGCUUAAAAUGCUUGGAAAUUGUUCCUAGAAACAGAAUAAAAAAGAAUCAUUUAUGAUCAGAAAUUGUUCCUGGAAAGAGAAUUGUUAACAAAUACGCCCUUACUUGCUGUUCCCAAAACCACUCCAUUAUUGCCUCGAAUGUGUUGACGCAGCUACGUUCCACGACUUUUAGCCAUUUCGUAUCCACCUAUCAAAGGGAUGAUCAAGUCAAAAAUGUUGUCCAGCAAAUUCCUUGUUCUCCCCCAUUUUUUUAAGUUGAUAAUUUUAUGCUCAAAUGAAAAUCCUAAUUAGCUACUCCUGAUCAAAUAUUGAUAUUCCCUCUCCUCUUUCAAUAUAGUCCAAUUCGAGUCGAUAGCAAAGAGAAAAGAGGGCAUGUCUCGAUAACAAUUAUAGAGCGCUUCUAUGCGUACCAUAUGUAGAGAUCAUCAGCAAAUGAAAUAUCGAACAUAAUAAGGAGAGCGAGUAGAUUGGUAUCGACUUCAAUUGAACACUGCAAUUUGGAACCAUCGUGUGCAAAUUUGAGUUCAGAAAAGGUCCACUCAGAACAGUUCAAGUUAAAGUUAAAGAGAUAUUUUUGAGAUAUUUUUCUUUAUUUGUUUAUUAAAGUUAAACAGAACAAGCCGGCUAUGUUGGGCGUGGAAUACGCGUUUCCCAAAUAUCUAUUCCUCCCUUCCCUCUCCCUCGACAGACAUUUUUUUUCAUUGCAUCUACAAAUUCCACAGUAACACGCUCCUCAUAUUAUCGUCAGUCAAUUUCAUCUAUUUUCAUAAUAUUUUAAGAAUUCGAAUGGUAUGUUCACCAAGCAAUUUUGGUCUUUUGUUUACUUCGAUUCUCGUGGACUAAUAGCAUUUGAUUUUAUGGUCUUCGUAGUAAAUUACUAUGAUUUUCUGAUUCAACCAUGUUCUCGCAGACCCAUGGCAUUUAAAUUGGUUUUCUUAUAAACACUCCAUUACUUUGUUAAGAACAUCGAGUCAGUGAGAGAGAGAGAAAAGAAAGAUCCACCAAGCGGAGCACGCUACUGCUAUGGCGAGCUCAAAUGCAAGAACGUCAUGGAGAGUGAAUAUCAAGUGAAUAGCUUAACUUAUUUUGGAAUUUAUGUCUUUCGAGAUCGAAGAGCUACAUGUUGGUGAAAGAAUUGACGAAUCGCUUCAACGAGCGAUCGAUGACUCCAAGAUCUACAUACCAAUCUUCUUUCGAACUUAUGUUUCAAGCCUAUGUGUUUUUGCAAGCUCGUGUAGAUUGUAGAAAACUCAACUCAAAAAGCAAGCAGUCCUUCGCCUGUGCCAAGGCCGGCAUGAGGCUAGCCUCGCCCAAAUUUGGGAGAAGCCACCUAGCUCAUGACCCUGGGCAAGGGUCGUGACCCUCACCACCCACUACAAGGAAUCCAAUGCGGAAGAAGAGAAAAAGAAAAGAAAAAUGAAAAAUUAAUUAAAAAUUUAGAAAUAAAAAAUAAAUUGUCAUAUCAAUGUUGGUCGGACGGCCGAUGUUCACAUCAACGCUGAUAGAUCACAAUUGAGCAGAUAAAUUGAAUUAGUAUCAAUAUAAAAAUAAUAAUAAUUGAAUUAAUCCAAUUAAAAAGUUUAUAAUUGAAUUAGCAUUAACAUUAUAAAUUUAGGUUUUUUUUUUUUUUUUAAAAUCAUUUUUCAUAGCUAUCGCAUCAACAAACAAACAAACGGAGAAAAUUAUGGAGAUGCACGUGCCCUGAGCGCCUGCCAACAGAAGCACGUGAUCAUCAUCUUUUAACGAGACAGUGAAUGAUUGGAUAGCCUCGUUGAUGACGCGGAAGUGAUAAGUCGUAAUUCCACUAGGGCAUCUACCGGAAAAGGAUGGAUUCCCACUUUUUUCUUUUGUAUAUUGGCUUACGGUAAGGCGCAAGUGAGAGCAUUAAAUUCCAAAAAAACAAAACAAAAGGCCUAUUGACUUAUGUCUUUGUUGGGUGCUUAAAUCAUGUCACAUUGUUGUCGUUAUACUUAGCUGAAAUCUUUUAUUACUUUUUGUUCUGGCAAGUUUAAAAUUACAUUGAUUCAAUUAAAGAGUUUAUACCUUUAUAGAUUCAAAUUACAAUAUAAUAGUUUUAGGAUACAUCGUGUAAUUAUCUUGAAGACAUGAUAAUUUAGUUUUUUCAAUCCAUGCUCACGCUCAACUCAAUACAAUAUGUAUGCUUGCAUUAGACUCGAUUCAACUCUAAUGGCAAAAACUAAAUUAUAGCGUAAAGCUUUAAAAUCCAUCUCGAGUUUUGAUAUAAAAAAUGAUUUUUUUUUCUUUAUCCUUAGUAAAAUCCUUUAAAUUAUUGACAAGGAUUGCAAGUCACAUGACUGUGGUAUUACAAAAUUUGACACCUUUGACAGGCAAUCCAUAUUGCUAGGUCCAUAUAUAUAAAAGAAGGGGUGAAGUGCUUUUUUAUGUAUGUAAAAAUAUCAAUCUUUCUAGAACCAGCCCUUUAUUUAAUUUUUUUUAUAUACAAUUAAACUAGUAUUUGUAACAAGAAAAUUAAAGAGCUUAGAGUAUUCAAUUAGGAUAUGCCUCCUCUUUUAGCUCCAUCAGCCCAAUUAGGUUGAAAUCCACUACUUGAGCCAACAGUGCAAAUGGCAAGAACUUUGUAUAGCGUGGACUCGACUCUUUCUAUGAUUAUCUCACUAUAGACUAAAUAAUUAUUAGAUCUCUUCCAAUAGCCAUUCUCGCACCUUGUGCAUAUAGCGCAGUAGACACAUGCUCCCCAAAAUUAUUAACCACGCUUCUAAGUGUUUACAAAUAAUCAUUCACACAGUUUGUCUCUCACCUAAACAAUUGCAUUCUCUCUUAGUACAAUUACUUCUUCCGUGUGUAUACAAAUAAUUUUGGCACCACUGAUAGCUUUAAGGAUCAAUACUUAGCAAAGAGAUAGAUCUCAAGAAUGCUCGAUGCUCAAUGUGCUUCAAUUUUUCUUGUUGCAGGCACUUGAUGACAAGCUACGUUUAACUUGUGGUUUGUCUUUAUUGUAAGUGUUACUAUGAACACCUAGAGGGGGUGAACAGGUGUGAAGACAAUUUUCACAAAGAGUUAUAAAAAUAUUUUGCUUUUGAAACUAAGUCUGAAGAACAACAUAUUUUGAGUGAGUUCAGACUUUAACUAUAAACAGAACUAUGAACAAAGAAAAAAAGUUUAGGGAAGAGAAUAAGAACACAUAAUUUAUAGUGGUUUGACUUAAAUCAAGCCUACGUCCACUCUCCCAUGCUGACAGCGUCCUGACUGGUUUCCACUAAGAAUCAAAAGAGAAUUUAUAAUCUGUGAUCUCAACUUCACAAUGAAGAGUCUCACCUGCUCUCUCACGAAGUCACACUAUAAGUCUCUCUCUUUUGAGUAUAACUUUGAGCCCAGUGUAAGAAGUAACAAGAGAAUGAAAGCUUCAGACUUUAGAAUUUCUCUUUCAUGCACUCUAUCGAACACCUCCUUAAAUACUCCUUCAUGCCUUCUCAACCAUUGGCACUUUCCAAAGAAAUUCUCUCAAUCAACCCGUUGGACAGAAUCAAUCAAGGAGAUCUCGAACCGUUUGAAGAUUGUGACGAAAACCCGUCAAUCAUGUUUGCCCAUACAGUUAGGAUCUUGGUUUCCAUAAAUAGAUUCUUUCCAAAUUUACUUGCCUUCCAAAAAGAUUUGAUAUAUCUAAAUUGAUUUCAAUAAAGAUAAUCAAUUUCCUAUGUGAUAUUUCCAACCAGAAGACCAUAUAUAAUCAAUACGAACUGAACUCUUGAAAAAAGAAAGAUAAUCACACAUCUGAAUAAGUCAUCAUUCUUCACUUAUGUUCAGUAUGGAAUUUGUCAUCAAUCUGGAAUUUGUCAGAGUGGGUAGACUUCUGAUGUAAAAACAGACUUUGACAUAGAAGUCUGAAAAUCUUCAAAACAAAAUGUAGAUAAGUUUUUGUCAGCUUCAAAACAUCAAAGGAGUUUUCUCCAACACUUAUAGGCCUCCAUAAACAACUCUGUGAUUCAACCAUUUCCUCACUGUACCAUAGCAUUUGAUUGUUUUGCCCGUAUAACCACUACCUAUUUUUCUUCAUGAUGAGUUGUCGCGGCCACCUUCUACAACUCUCAACCAUUUCAUAUUCACAUAUCAAAGAAAUGACCUGCUCAUAAACGUUAUUAGAAAAAAUCCUAAUUAUUAAACUGCAUCACCGACCUCCCUCCUCUUUUUCUUUAAGGUAGCAAUUUUAUGUUCAUAUGAAAUAUCCUAAUUAACUGCUCAUGGUCAAACAUUGCUAUUUUGCUCCCUUCUUUCAACCAUCCAAUUUGAGUUGAAAUGCAAAAUAAGUUUCAUUUUCAUUUUCAUCACAUGAAAAAGGAACUUUGAGAAAGAGUAUUUAAAGAUCAUCAGCAAAUGAAAAAAAAUCAAAAUGAUAAGAAGAGGGAGCAGAAACUGGAGCUUACAAAUAUAGUACAAUUCUGCGAGACCUACUAUACUGUUGGCAAUUUAUUUGCCAUACUUGUAAAAUUUCAAAGAAUGUGGUUAUUCACUAAUUCAUUUCAAAGUCGGUAAAUCUCCAAUGGUGUCGCUAAGUUUGAUAAGGACGCGCAUGAGAAAAUUUCUGGAAUAGAAAUCAAUUUUUGGGUAGAAAUUGAUUUCUCAAUUUCUAUUCCAUGGACAAGUUUCUCCACAAAGAAACGCAUUUGAUAAUGAUUUAGAAUUUCUAUUUCUAGAGUAAAAAUUUGUUUGAUAAGAGAAUAAAAUUUCUAUUUCUAGGACCGGUGACAAUCGACAUUCGGUGGCCGGAGUUUGACGUCCGGCGAUCAGCGUCUAGCAUUCGGCGAUCGGCGGGUGGUCGGAGUCUGGCGUCCGGCGGCUGAAGUUCGGAGCCUAGUGGUUGAAGUUCGGAGUCUGGUGGCUAAAGUCUGGAGUCUGGCGUCCAACGUUUGGAAGCUGACAACCAGCAACUAGUGGCGGGUAGCUAAUGGCUGAAGUCAGGUGGUUGGCGAUGGGUGGCCAAGCUGGAGUCUAGCGGCCGGCAGCAAGUGGCCAACGGCCAAAGUUCGGCAGGCGGCGACCAGCAAUUGGUGGCGAUGGGCCUUCGAUGUCCGCUGGUUGGUGAUGAGCAGCCAACGACUGACAAACAUCCAACAUCCGAUGGUCGGCGGUCAAUGACAAGCAACUUGAGUCCGAUGGUUGACGGCCAAUAUUCGGUGGCCGACGAUUGGUGGUGAGCAGCUAAUGGUCAGGGCCGGCGGCGAGCGGCCAGCGACCGGCGGCGAGCGUUCGGCAUCCCACAGGUGGCAGGUGGGCAACAGGUGAUACGAGAGUGAAUGAUGAAAAAAGUUUUGAUUCUCAUUUCUAUUUCAGAAAUAGAAAAGCUAAACAUUUUAACUUCUGAUUUCUACUCCAAAUCUAUUUCUAAAAUAGAAAUUUGUUCCAGAAAUAAAAAAAUAAAAUUGCGUUACUAAACGCAUUUUUAUUCAAAACCUAUUCUGGGAAAUAGAGAAACAGAGAAAUAGAUAAAUAAAAACGUUGUCAUGCGCAUCCUGAAUCAUCUGACAAUCGAAUUGACGGUCAUGCUUUCUUUAAUGGACUGUACUGGAUAUUUAGGUCAUGCUUUCUUUAAUGGACUGUACUGGAUAUUUAGGUUGGCUGGGUCCGCCUCUGUGGGGGACCAGCUAACUUUAAUAAAUAAAAGAGAAAAAAAAAGGUUAAAAGGUCAAAAAAAGCAAAAGAGAAGAAAAGAAAGAUGGGCGGCUCGUGCGUGGAGUAGAGAAGAGAGGACAGAGGGCACGCGGAGAAGAUAGAAAUCAUGUAGUUAACAUUUGAUUAACUAAAAAGAGAGAUUUGGUGUUUUAGUUUACUUAUUGUUAUCGGACCAAUGAAGAUGUCAUUGACAGAUAAAGAUGCAUUCAGCUUGAUCUCUUUUAUUUUGGCACACCUGCAAGUUUUAUUACCCAAUUGUGUUUUCUCGUUUUUCUUUUCUCGAUUUCUACUCCUUUUUCCACUUUUUCUUUCCUUUCCUUCCUUGAGAAAGUUUCAAAAUUUUGGAUAAGCUAGGGGACAAGGUCAGUUGGUAUCAAAAUAAGUGGAAGAACCUCAGUAAUCCAGAAGAAAUGUCAUCAUUCAGUUUGUUAUUAUUUAAAAAAGUUAUUUUCUACUCAUUUAACUUGUUACAUAGGAUUACUCUCUCUCUCUCUCUCUCUCUCUCUCUCUCUCUCUCUCUCUCUCUCUCUCUCUCUCAUAACUCAUACCAUACUUUUACUCAAUCAUCUAUGAUAAACAUAAAAACUUACUAGUUGAAUCGAUAAGAACCAAUAUAGAAGGUUUUGAGGUUGUGAUCUAUAAAACUUGACCUGAUGAGGCGUCUGUAGGCAUGUACAAUUUUGAAUAGAAAGAGAAACUGCAGGUCAAUAAACAACAAAGAGGGAAAGAGGAGAGGGAAGGCUUUGUCUACUUGAUUUCACUAGAGAAUUUUAAUUGGAUGAUUUGUAGUUAAUAUGACGAGGCUUUGUGAACCUGGAAUGUGUUUUCAUGAGUAAUUGAUUGAAAAACCAUACCUUCUGCAAAGCAUGGCCAUCCAACCCAGUGUUUGAUUGUUGGGGUGGUUAUUUAGUUUAGCAUUGUCUAGGCCUGGUACUUUUUCGAUACUAUGACACUGUUUCUCAUUUUCUUUUCCUUUUUCUUUUAUUGUGUCACGAGGAAGAUUAUAUUUUAAUUGGAUGUCAGACCCAUGAAAUAUCCUAUUAACCUCAUGUACCUAGUAAGGUUUGAGCUAAAACUCGGUUUCUUGGUACCAACAUGAAUUGUUUGCAGUGGUUAGUGAGGAAAACCCGAACUUAUGUUGUGCAUAUUACCCCUCACACAUUUUUCUAUUCCUUAAGAUUUUCUAUUCUAAAAAAAGCAAUGGAAAUCUAAUUGGUGGAUGAUGUAUUUCUAAAUCCUCCCUAUUUUCAGGCAGUUUGAAAGUCACUUAAAAUAGGAAUUAAAGUAGUUGAUCACUCAAGAAUUUAUUUUUCAAUCGUGAAGAUUUUAUUUCAGCUAGAAUGUAAAGUCAAUUUCUGCCACUCUUUUGACUUUUGAUUCGUAGGUUGACUCUUGGCUUUAACUUCCACAAUAAUUUAGCCGAUUGUAUGCUUGAAAAGUUCUUAAUUUAGCUGGAUUGGGAACAAAUUAGUUUUCAUCAAAAUUGUGAAAUACCUGAUGAAACAUAUCGUUUCAUUAUCCUUCUUGUAUAACUACGCUAAAUAGAAAGGGGAAAAAGGAAGAGGGAAGGCUUAUCUAUUGAUUUAUAACUAGGCUUGGUCAAAUUCUGGUAAUAACAUGUUUAUCUAUCUUGGAAGCUUUUAUCUAAGGCAGAUUAGGCACCAAGCACGUAGAAUAUCUUAUUUAUCUCAUGUAGCAGGUAUGGUAUGAGUUAAUGACCAGGGGGAUGUUGCUUCGAUGUGAAAAUGUUUGCAUAUGGUGAUGUGAGAAAUUCCCACGAGAUUUAUAUUUUUAUAAGAUACUGGUUCCUUUUAUAUAUAGAUCAUUUAUCGUAUUUCAAUCUCAACAAACGCAGUUGGACCUACAUAUUUGACUUUCAUAAGUAUCUUUCGAGAAAUUUAGAAGAGCCUCUAUCUGUGUUCUUGCAUAUAGUAUACAUUGACAGAGAUUAAACGCAAAGACAUUAGUUGAUAUGUAUUACCGGUUGGUUUGAUUGCAUAAUUUUAUCAUCUUAUUCCUUUUUUUCAAACUUUCUUGCAAGAUUGAUUGCAGUUUUAUUUUUCAGGAGUCAGUGCUUUGAUUGGAUAUGUUCAUGUUUCGGAGGAGGCUUGUGAAAUUUUGAACACGACUCGCAUCAUACUUGUCAGCAUGCAAGGAUGGAACUAUCAUAUAUUUUUAGUGGGGUCAAUGCCCUAAAGACUGUAAGAUAAGAUAUAUCAUUUAACAAAAAAUUAUAAAGAUUCGAUCGAGCUAUUUAUUGACUUGAAAUCAACGCUUUGACAUUUGAAUCGUGAAUGUGAACAAAAUUCGGUUUCAAAUCCAUGUGCUCGACCUCGACUCAAUAUAGUAAAUAGGGCUCGAAAUUGAACUCGAUUCAACUCCAUUGUUAAAAGCUCGAUUCUACUCAUUUAACUUGUUACAUAGGAUGUUUCUUUCUAUUUUUCGUAAUCAUAUUACUGUACCUUAUGCAUAGCCUGGUCAUGCCAUUCAAUUGCUUUAUCUUCCGACUCUAUCAAGCCUCGUGUUUGAUUGGUGGUGUGGUUGUCUAGUAGUGCAAUGUCUAAACCCGAUAAUUUUUUUAUAAUUGUUUAUCUUUUUACUUUUAUGUUUUUGGCGUCAUAAAGAAGUUUAUAGUACAUGGAAUGACAAGAUACUGAUUUUGAUUUCUUGCAAGUUAGCGCAUGGUCCCUUAGAGGGGGACGAGGCUAAGCCUAAUUACGUCGAUGAACAAUGGAAGUUACUAAAAAGGCAACGUGGGGUUUCAUUAGGCAUCAUCAGUUGGAUUUUAUUUCUUUAGAUAAACUAUAAGGAUCCCAUCCCAUUGCUCAUUUUGCUCUUCCGACUUCCAUCUUUUGGCAAUGGAAAACCGUAGCCACAACAACACCAUUGAUCGUCAGACUUUCAGGAUUAUAUGUCACAAUCGCACUUCCAUUCACUCACGGAACAUUUCUUGGAUAUGUCCUUCCUCAGCACUUCAUUUCAAGUAGGGAUUAAUAGUUCCCCCUGUACAUUUUGGAGUACGAAGCCCACCCAAAAAAUCGAAUAAAAUAGUCCGUUCUAUUUUGCCGGUAUCACCGGCUGACUUAGUUCCGAUGACUCUCUUCAGAAUAUGAGGCAAUAAUAGAGCAAAUCUGUCAAAUGGUUCUCCACCAAGAGCAGGAACUCUUUUAUUAUGUAUGUUGGAUUAAUUGGUCGAUUUAUGACAUUUUGUAUAGAAAUUACAAAAAAAUGCAAAUAGUUAUAAUUCGUUAUAAUUCAAAAAUUUAUUUAUCAAUGAUCAUAAAACUGCUCAUGUAUUAUAAAAAGAAAUUCAAAAAAUCCUCCAACACAAAAUGUAUUCAUCACAUCGAAUUUCCAACAUUUUAUAGUAGAGUAGACAAUCUAUCACUGUGCACCAUUCAAGUUUCACACACAAACAUAAAUAGAAGCUUCUAAAUUCAUAAGCAUACAAUAAGAUAAGAAAGACGAUCUAUCAUCGUGCAUCAUUCAAGUUCCCACCACCCCUGCUCCCAUGGCACCUGUGGGCACCCCCACCCCGGCGGCCCUCGUGGUCCCCGCGGCCCUGGCUGCCCCGGCGGCCCCGGUGGCCCUUGCAGCCCCCGCGGCCCCUACAGCCCCACCGGCCCCACCAGCCCCCGCUCCCCCUGCGACCCCUUCUCCCCCUGUGGCCCCUGCGGCCCUCGCCCGCAGGAUGCAGUAGAAAAGGAAACCACAAAGCAUGACGGCAACAAUGACUACACCAACAAUAACCCAUGUAGGAGUGUUAUUGUCAUCAGGUGGUACGGGAUUCGGAUCGAUCCAUGCCCAAUGGAGGAGGAAAGUACUGGAAACUCGGAUGAGUUUGUGGAUAGUUAUUGUUCUCCAUCAAGAAAACUUUGUGGAGGUAGUUCAAUGUGAGCAGUGAGUCUACAAACAUAUUAUGAAGCACCAAUCCAAGAGCCAAUUUAACUUUUCAUCAUGAUGAAUUGAUCAUAUG
rnacentral:lncRNA from 1 species